GUGGUUGGAACUCAAAGUAACCCACCGCCAGAAAUAGAAGUGGACGACGAAGCUGAGUCUAGGGUUAACGAAAACUCUACUCGAACACUUGAAAGUGAAAAAGUAGAAGUCGACUCACCAGAAGAAGUGCUUAACGCUAGGGUUAACGAAAACCCGAAUUUAGCACACCAACUAAUAGCUCAAACAAUUCGCCAACUGGCCAAAGCUCCGACAGAACAACCGCCAUUGUGCAUCGCGUAUCCUACUAUGGAUACUGAUUUUGAGUUGAAGUCAGGUUUAAUCCAGUUAUUGCCAACUUUUCGUGGGUUACAAAAUGAAAAUCCCCAUAAGCAUUUGAAAGAAUUUCAUAUGGUUUGUCUUAACAUGAAAUUAAAUUGUGUGCUUUCUCUUUCUCCCUAGCAGAUUCUGCUAAGGAAUGAUUAUUUUAUUUACCCCCUGGAUCUAUUACAACUUGAGCUGAUCUAUCUCGUUUGUUUCUGAAUAGGUUUUUUCAGCGUCUCGAGCAGCUGAGCUAAAAAGAGAAAUCGUUAGAAUAAGGAAAAAAGAAGUUGAGUCCCUUUACGAUUAUUGGGAGCGGUUUAAGAAGUUGUGUGCAAGCUGCCCACAACAUGGUAUAACGGAGCAAUCUCUCUUCCAAUACUUUUACCAAGGUUUGAAGCUCAUGGAGAUGAAUAUGGUAGACGCUGCUAGUGGAGGAGCAUUGGUCAACAUGACUCCCCAACAAGCGAGCGACUUGAUCUCCACGAUGGUUGCAAAUUCUCAGCAGUUCUGAGCCAAUACUGAACCCCCUAGAAGGGUUCACCAGCUAAGUAAUUCAACCUUAGAGGAUAAAGUUGAUAGACUUACUAAUAUGAUGAACUCUAUUAUUGCAGAAAAAGUGAAGACAACUCGGUUAUGCGGAAUAUGUGCUACACCUGAUCACGCAACUGAUGCAUGUCCCAGUUUGUAUAAUGAUACAACGGCCCAUCUGGAUGCUGUGGGAAAUUUCCCUGGGCCGCCACAAAGGUAGUACGACCCCUACGCUAAUACCUACAACCCAGGGUGGAGGGACCAUCCUAACUUAAGCUUUGGGGCCAAUCCACGAAAUAACCAACUAUACCAAAAUCGGUUUCCGCAACAGUCGCAAGGUUCAGGUAAUUUUCUAGAAACCAUGGUUAAUAAGUUAGCAGCUAAUGUUCAUGAUUUUCAGCAGCAAAAUCUUAAUUUCCAAAAAGAGAUGAUGAAUUUCCAACAGAAAACCGAGGUGUCCAUCAGAGAGUUGACUACAUCGAUCGAGAAAUAGACCUCUCAAGGGAAGCCGUCGUCACAAAUAGAACCAAACCCUAGACAAAAUGCAAAUGCAGUGACGUUGCAAAGUGGAAAGGUACUAGAAUCGAUUCCUGACAGGAAUCUUGCCCAAGAAAUCGCCCAAGAAAAACCGGAGAAAGAUAAAAAGGUCCGAUCGAAGCCUCCAUUGCCUAAAAUUCAACCUCUAUUUCCAGAACGAUUCAACCAGUGUCGAAGAGGUAAAGAGGACAAUGAAUUUCUUGAAACAUUUAGAAAUGUCGAGAUCAAUAUUCCGCUGUUGGACGCCAUCAAGCAAAUACCGCGGUAUGCCAAAUUUCUUAAAGAGCUUUGCACCAACAAGCGAAAAUUACCGAGUAAUGAAAGGGUGAAUGUUGGUGAGAAUGUAUCUGCAGUGUUACAGUGGAAAAUGUCGGUAAAAUGCAAGGAUAGGGGCAUGUUUGCAAUACCAUGCAAAAUAGGCCAUCUAGGACUUAAGAAGGCUAUGUGUGAUCUAGGGGCUUCUAUAAAUGUAAUGCCGUAUUCUAUUUAUGAAUCACUUAACGCAGGUUUUUUGACAAAAACAAGUGUUAUAAUUCAAUUGGCGGACAGGUCUGUUGUGCAUUUAGAAGGAGUCCUUGAGGAUGUUCUGGUAAAAGUUAACGAGCUUAUUUUCCCUGCAAAUUUUUAUGUGAUCAAAAUAGAGGAGGAUAGCACUCCUGGAUCUUCAGAUCUCCUGUUGGGUCGAACGUUCCUUAGUACAACAAGUACUAAAAUUGAUUUUCGAAGUGGAACUCUCACGAUGGAGUUUGAUGGGGAGAUUGUAAAGUUUAAUGUCUACAACGCCAUUAGCCAUCCAAGCGAAAUCUUAAGCGUAAAUCGUAUUGACAUAAUUGCCUCUUUGGUGGAAGAGAAUUUUGAGUCAAUUUAUGGAGAUAAUUCUGAACUUGAUGAAAUUGAAUUUGUUAAUGAAUUAUUAUCUCCAAAUACUAAAUUGUUACCUUCUGUUAUACAGGCACCAGAGUUGGAGUUAGAACCCGCAGAACAGGCAAGGAAAUUAGACAUCCAAGAGUUAGAAGAAAUUCGCAAUGAUGCCUACGAGAAUGCUCACAUUUAUAAAGACAAGACAAAGUUGUUUCACGAUAAGAGAAUAGCUCAGAAGCAUUUUUUGGUAGGACAAAAAGUUUUACUUUAUAGCUCCGUGUUAAAGUUAUUCCCAGGUAAGCUUCGAUCACGAUGGCAGGGGCCUUUUAUUGUUACUAAAGUGUUCACACAUGGAGUGGUUGAAAUAGAGAGUGAAGAAUCUGGAAGGCGAUUCGUAGUCAAUGGCCAGCGGUUGAGGCCGUUUUAUAAGAAUUUUCAAGCCCACACGGUUAAGAAAAUCCAUUUGGAACCACCAUAGAACCAAUAACGGCGUCGAGCUAACGACGUUAAACAAGUGCUUGUUGGGAGGCAACCGAAUUUUUAUUUUUAUUUUUACUUUAUUUAUUACUUUAUUUUAUUUUAUUUUACUUAUUUGGAUAUUAAUAAAAUUUUCUUCUUUUGCUUAGAUAAAACAGAGCGAAAAUGCGAAGAAAACCGUUGAGCAACGCUUAGAGCGCAUUGAGGCCCGACUUGAAACCUUUGGCCAGCAACUGACCAAGCUCAUUGCCAUCAUUUGCGAUCGACAGUAACAACACGGGGAGUUUUUCUAAACUUUUCUACCUAUUUAUUUCUUUUCGUCCACAUUGAGGACAAUGUGCUUUCAGUAGGGGGAGGUACUCUUCGUUAUUACUAUCAUUUUCUGCUGUGAUUUUGGUUAUUGUUGCUGGUGUUGCUGCUUGAGAUUUUAUUUUGUCCAUAUUUAUUUUUUUGGAAUCUCCUGCCUCUUUUCAUUCCCAAGAUUUUUACCAGGAAUUGCCUACUAUUUGACCUACAAGCAUGAUUCUUGUUUUCUGAGAAAAUUACGAAUUUUCCAUAAUUGAUGCCAUCUCCAUUGUUUUAUUCUUAUCAGACUAAAAAUAAUUGUGAUUCAUAAAGAUAAAUUUAUCUUGCUUUUCGUAAAAUUGAUCAAGUUUAAAUACAAAGUAGACACUUAAUAUGUUUGCAUGCUAAAAUAUGUUGAUGACUAUUAAGGUAAUUACUGAAACUUAUUUUUGACACUUGAUUAUUUUUCUCUAAAGUCCUCAUAAAAAAAGUUAUUAUUAAAAUCUCGUUUAAUGUUUUCGUGGUUAUGAGUGCAGCUUAAAAACGUGACUGACUAAGUAACCGGGGUAGGGUGCUUGAGUUGUCAUCCUAUUUUGCGUCAAAAGGUUGAGUGACGUGUUAGGUAAAACUCCGCUAACAGGAAUUAAUUUUUAAGAACAUGUUGGGCUGAGUAACUGGGGUGGGGUGCUUGGCUGUCAUCUCUCUUCGCGUCAAAAGGUUUGAUGUGUUCUUAAGAAAAAUUAUAAUAAAUUAGGAGUUUGCUGGGCUGAGUAACCGGGUUGGGGUGCUUGGCUGUCAUCUCUCUUCGCGUCAAAAGGUUCAGUAUAUUCUUAAAGCAUAAAAAAAGAGAGAAAAAAACAAAAAAAAAGAAAAAAAUAAUUUGGGGACUAAAGGAGGAAACAAAUAGAGUGUCUUGGUAGGUUUUGGUAAUUUACCUAAUUUUCAUUAAAUAAUUCAAGUUGAUUCUAAUUUUUGUGUGUAUUAAUUAGAAAACUUUUUCUGUUUUACUUAAAGCAAGCUUAAGGAUCUCUUUAUUUUUCAUAUCCAUUUUUGACUGAUUUUUAUAAAACUUUGGAGUUGUAUUUCUUUUAUGGCAGAAUCUAACUUUCACAGUAGAUAGGAACCAUACUUGAGGGCAAGCAUGGGCUAAGUAGGGGGAUUUGAUAACACUCUAGAAUAACGUAUUUUUAUGUAUUAAUUAUGUAUUUAUUCUGAGUAUGAUCCUGCUAAUUUGAGCUAUUUAUAAUCUAUUAUCUCAUAGGGACUAAAUUUGAGGCAAAAGCAAAAUUAAGGCCCAAAAGCGUGAAUUUAGAGAUAAAAUGGGUCAAUGUGCGACACAAGGAAAAGUUAGUGCCAAAAGUGCAAGCAUGGAGGACACAAGGGUUGAAAUGCAAAAAGAAGAGAUUUUAUUCUGUUAAACUGUAUUUUAAUUAUAUUAGGAUAAUUAAUAUUGAGAUAAUUAUUAAGGAUUAUUUUUAGGAUUUUAUUUUAUCUUUAUUUAUCUUCAAUUAAAUGUAUUUAUCUUUUAGGAAUUUAAGUAGGAUUAGACUAUCUCCCCUAGCACUAUAAAUAGGGGGUGAAGAGACUCAAAAGGGGAUCCCAUCUUUUUCUGUAAACACUCUCUCCUCAAAAGUCUAGGCUUUUUUUCUUUUCAUAUUUCUUUUCAAUAAAAUCUUUAUUUUUAUUUAUUUAUUUUUUUUCUACCACAACCAUGAGCCACUAAACCCAUCUAGCCGAAGGUUGCCAAAAAUCCCCAAAAGGGUUCAUGAGGCUUAGAAUCCAUACUUAACCUCCUUGCUGAGUAUUCAUCGUUUCUCUGCACUACGGGGCUGACGCUUCCGUCCAUGUCACUUAAGAAGUAAGCUUUUCAACGUAUGUAAAGGCGGCCGCUUUGUAUGUUUUGGGAAGGUUGCACAGUCGGUUCGUUAGCUUACUGCGUCAGAGGUUGGCGAGCCCAAGAGACAAAAUGGCGUGGGAUUCGCCAUUGAGAAUCAUUGAUCUAGCAUAAGACGAUCCCACAGAAGCGAUUGUUGGCUAGAGUCAGGUUCCGCCACAUUGUAAGUCUAAAUCAUUGGAGCUGGUAGUCAUAGGCGUCCUCUUCCACUAUAACUGGCUUAUUUGGUUUGGGAAGAAUCAUCUAAAAGCCGAGGAUUGAACCCAAGGCGGAAUGAGACAACUGGAGGCUGGAAUCUCCCAUAAGAAUUUCCUUUCUUUUAAUUCUAUUUUUAAUUUCUCAAAUUUUUGAUUCAAUAUUCUUAAUUCUGUUUUUAUUUUAUUUUUCGUUUCCAGAUCCAACCCUUUAAUUCUGUUAUUGUUUUUAUUUUAUUUUUUUCAGGCACGCAAGUUUUCUUGGGCAAGAUUCUGCCUAGGAUUUCAUGGAACAAGAUAUUUUGCAAGUCCAGUCCCUGAGGAUUUGACCCUACUUCCCUUUUACUAUUCUUUUUCAUUAUUUAUUAGGGAUAGGAUAUUUUUGGUUCUUUCAACGACUGCAUCAAAUUGACAUAACUUAUCGAGAUUUAUUAUUUUCUUUUAUGUGAAUUUUCACAUUUGGAACUUGUAAUGAGUUAUCCUUGUUGAACUUUUGGUUCAAAUUAGUCUCCGCCAUAACUCAUUACAAGUUAUUAUUUCUCUCCCCUUAAUGUCGGGAAAACUAUUGAAUCAAAAUAGUUAUCACAAAUCAUGUCAUAAUUGAAUCUCCAAUACAUUUAAAAUAUAUAAUAAUACAAUGAGACUUAUAAUUAAUAUAUAUUCCCAACUUUCUUUGAGGAUUCACUCAUCUUUGUACGUUUUGGUGGAGCAAUUGGAACAUAUACGCACAUACAAAAAUUUAAAGAUGAGAAAUAUUUAGCUCUUGACCAAAAACCAAUUGUAAUGGGGAGUGUUUAUAACUUAUUAGCUUAAUGUGUACAACACGUAAAUCAACAUAAUAUCAUGUUGAAAUAGGAAGUUUAUUUCUCGUAAGUAAUGGUUUAGAUACUAAUCAGAGCCGUUCAAUCAAUAAUUUCUCUAAACUAUUAUGCGCAUAAAUAAAAAAAACUUUUACAAAAGUUUUUCAAACUCAAUCAAUAAAAGACUAAGAUAUAAGAUCAUCAGUAUUAACAAGAUGAGCUGUCUUAAUUGCAUAAUCUAAAAUUAAUUAUUUAAACAAGCAAUCUUGCAAAUGACAGGUUGCAAGUUGAUAACACAUAUGUGAUUAUUUUGUAGAUACAUCUACCAAAAUCAUAUAAUAUCAAAACCAUCCACAUGGUGGAUGAAUGAGACCAUAUUCAUUUUAGAAAUAUAAGACAUUAAAUCUCAACUUUAGCUAGUGAGUUUCUAAUAAGCAAUUUUCACUAAGAACAAGCAACAAAUGAGAAUUAUUUAAAUUAAAGAAUAUUAUAGUUCUUUAAUGAAUGUCCAUAUGAAUUUUCAAUUAAUUUUUGCAUCAUAAUAAACCUGGGAUGGCCUAACCUGUCAUGGCAAAUAGUAAAAGUAUUUGGUUUUACGAACUUCAAGUUUGUAGUAACAUGUGCCUCAAUUGCACUAAUAUGUGUAUAGUAUAAACCUGAUGAAAAACAGAUAGUCUUUCCAAAACAUAUUUCUUUUCACAUUCAACAUUUAUAAUAUAUAGAUAUUCAAUAUUUUUCUUAUUCAUAGUCUCAAUAUGAUAUCCAUUAAUAUGAAUAUCUUUAAAACUCAAUAUAUUUCUUUGAGACUUAGUGGAAAAUAAAACAUCAUCUGUAACACCCCUAACCCUUAUCCGUUGCCGAAACAGGGUUACGGAGCAUUACUGGACUUUUCAGAUCAAAUACGAACAUUUCAUAUCAUUUAACAUAUAUAUCAGAAGCUAAUCAUAAUCACUCAUAUUGUCCCUUAUAUGAGCCCUCAAGGCCCAAAAUACACAUUUGAAAUAAAUCGGGACUAAAUUAGGAACUCAGAAAAAUUUUCAGAAAAUAUCAAAAAUUUUCAAAUGAGCACGGGACACACCCUCGUGUGGCUAGGCUGUGUGGCUCACACAAUUAAGAGAGUCGCCUGUGUCUCAGCCGUGUGGGCAUUCAAGAUUGGGGCACACGGUUGUGUCCCAGCUCGUGUCCAAAUUAGAGUUCUUAUUGACUUGGGUCACACGGCCAAGCCACACGCCCGUGUGCUAGGCCUUGUGAGCAUACUGACUUGUAAAAUUAAAGUGCAGGGGUCACACGGCCAAGCCACACUCCUAUGUGCUAGGUCGUGUGAAUAUUUUGAGCAUUCUAUUUCUCAAUUUUAAAGAUACAGGGGACACACGGCUAAACCACACGCCCAUGUGCUAGGUUGUGUGUCACACACAGCUGAGACACAUGCCCGUGUCUCUGCCUGUGUGGACGAAAAUAGGCCAUUUCAAGGCCACAUUUCUCACCCAUUUAGGUAUCAACCUAAACACAACAUUUUAACACAUCAAUAUUCCACAACAAAGCAUUCAAAACAAGCCAAAGUCAUGUAUUAUAUACAAUAUAUCAUCACAUCUACCUUAAAUACUCAAACUUACCUAUUUAGUCUAUUUAGCAAAUUUUAUUAAGGUUUACUACUAACUAAAUACCUAUAAGCAUAUAUCCAUCAUAAUCACAUCACAAUUUACUUCAUUUCCAAACCAAAAUAUAUAUCUAGGUUGAUUAUGUAAACAAAACAUCAUUCAUAACAUCUAUAUAUGUCAACUUUAAUCUAAUCCAUAUCAAUCCCUAUGCAUGCCAUAUAAGUCAUGUUGAACGCUUCAAAAACUACCGGAAUAAGUUGGAUAGUGUGACUUGGUGUGCUGAUCUGAUCUUCCGACCUCACGAAAAUCUACAAAGACAUUAAACCACACAAGUAAGCUUAAUAAAGCUUAGUAAGUUUGAUGGGUUAAACAUAAAUCUUACCGAACCUACUAUAACACAUCAAUUAAAUAAAUUUAUUCAACGUAAACUCCCUGCCAAUCACAGCUUCAAUCGAUGAAUAUGCUUAUUUCAAAUCAAUACCAAUAACAAACAAUAUGUCUUUCAAUUUCAAUUACAUAGUUACUUACCAAAUCUUCCUAAAUCGGAGAACGACUUACAGAUAAUAGUACCUCCUUUUCAAAAGCCCAAAGGCUAAUCAGAAGCUCAUGAGAGCUAAACAGAAACCCAUAAGGGUUGAGCGGAAGCUCGUAAGAGCUGAACGAAAACCCAUAAGGGUUAAAUAGAAGCUCAAUGGAGCUGAACGGAAACUCGUAUAAGUUAAACAGAAACUCGUGAGAGCUAAACGGAAAGUAAACAUGAAAUUUCUCAAAAAAUGCUAAACCUCGAUUUACUUGGGUAAUUUGCUGUCAUUUUCCUCCAUUGCCGUCAAUUCGCCGAACGCCGAAUGUACUCAAAUCCCGUGUUCCAUUGAAUUUGAGUAUUCAAUUCAAAUUUAUAACUUUAACAAUAUUUUAUUUUCAACAAUAGAGUAAACACAUAAUAUCAUUCAUCAACUCAAUAUAAAUAUUAAAGUUUAAUCGUAUGAACUUACCUGGGUUAAAUUUGUAAUAUUUGCAGAAGUUUAGGGACUAUUUAGCUAAUUUCUCUUUUUCACGAGUAUCUACAAGAUCUUGAUCUAAAUUAUAAAAUUACUCAAUCAUUAGCAUAUAUUUCAGUUCUAAUUCAUUUCACAAUUAAUACCCUUCAAUUUUUUUCAAAUUUACAUAAUUACCCUAAACUUUCACAACUUUUGCAAUUUAGUCCUUAACUAAUUAAUCUUAUCAAAUUAACUAAUUUUUAUCAAUUAAUAAUUUAUCUAAAUAUUCUAGGCUAUCAUACAACCCUUGAUAAAACAUGAAUUUAAUAUCAAACCCUAAUUCUUUAAUUCUUCACAAUUUGAUUCUAAAAUUAAUAUUUAACAAAAUCACUUUAUAAAAUCAUCAUAAAACAAAAUUAAAGCUCUAAAUCCAUGUUAUUCAUCUAAAACAUCUAAUACUCAUCAAUGGCAACCUUCAAAAUUUUCAAUAAAAUCAAGAACUAAGAUAAUAUUAAGUUGGACUUAAUUGUAAAAGUCUCAAAAACAUAAAAAUUACAAGAAAUAGGAAAGAAUUGAACUCACUUGAAGUAAAAAUAUGGAAAGCCAUCUUAAGGAGCUCUCCUAUGGCUGUUUUGGCUGAAAAAUUGAUGAAGAAAUUGCUUAGAAACCUUUUAAUUUUCUAAUUUGUAUGUUUAAUUUCACUAAAUUUACCAUUUUGGCAUUAAUUCACAUUAUUUUAUUAUUUUUUCACACUUAUGCCGCCUCAGUCAUCCCCUUUAGGCUUAUUUACUCUUUAAGUCCUCCCUUAUUUACUAUUUAAGCCAUUUAAUCACUAUUUCUUAUAAUUCAUAAGUUUAUCACCUUUUUUAAUUUAAUCAUUUUUAAUUAAUUAACUAUCAAAAUGUUAAAAUUUUUCUAUCGAAACUUUAAUUCUACUUUAAUGACACUCCGUAAAUAUUUUUAUAAAUAUUUACGGCUAGGUUUAUAGAAACGAGGCCUCAAUACCUCAUUUUUUUAAAACCACUUAACCUAAUUAUUAUUAAAUACAAAUCACUAAUUCAAAAAUCUUUCAAAAACCAUAUUUGACUCGUAAAUACCAAAUAAUAAAAUUUACGAACUUACUCGUCGAAUUUAGUGGUCUCGAACCACUGUUUUCGACACCACAGAAAAUCGAGCUAUUACAUCAUCAAUGACAAAUUUUGUACUUUAGGUAAUAAUAUAAUAGCUCUUCUAGAGCCUUCAACUAAUUUUAUAGUAUCAAAUAUUGGAAUAAUAUUUGUUUGUUUCAGUACCAAAUAAGAUAAAAAAUUUCUAUCUGUAAUGAUAGAAUUCAUUACUGCAUUCUCAUAUCCUUCCUCAAAGAAUAUUAACAGAAACAAAAUAUUUAGGCAUACGCCACAUAUGUAGUCAAUAAUCUUUCAUAUCACAUUGAUAACAUAAGUUAUCUUUACCCUUUGAAGAGUUAUCUUGAGAACUCUCAUUGUUCUCUUAUUUAUUACUAUAUUCCCAUUUUUAGUGGAUCUUUUAUUUUCUUUAUGUUUGCAUUCACUUCGGGGAAUGCAACAAAUCUAGUAUGACAGACUUCUAAACGUCUCCAUUGAUUCUUUAUUUCAUAAUCACCAUCGCAAACAUAUGUGAAUUUCAAAUCAGAAUCUAUUUAUUCAUAUUGUCAUGAUUAGUCUCCAAUUAUCAUCGUUACAACCCACGUAAUGAUUAUAUAAAUUUCUUUGCAUAAUGAUUACCCAUAGUGAGAAGGCCCCACUUGAAGACUGAAAUAAUAGUAGCUCUAAAAGGCAAUCGACAACAGCUUGAGCAACAAAUUUGGAGCGAUCAUAUUAUAAAAUAAAAGAGAAUCGUGCUAAUAACGUGUUAUAAAAAAAAGACAAAGAAAAUAGGAGAGUAAAAGAGAGAAUGUAUUUAUUGAUCAAUGAGAUAAUUACAAUGUUUCUUCAAAGUCUCUAUUUAUAGGCAUAAGAAGUAUAAAUAAAGUAGAUAUCUAAUUCUAAUGACUAUUAGAAUUUAAAGUAAAUCAAAACUUAUCUUAAUCUUAAUGGAUAUCCACUAAAUCAGAUAUUCAUAACAAAAAUUUACUUUUCAUAUUUUUAUUAUUAUAAAUUUUAGCAUUUCUAAUAGUUUAAAUAUUAUGUCAAUAAUGAAUUUGAACACAUAGAUACCCAAAUUUUAAUCCAGAAUGAACCUAGAUAAAUAGAUGUAUGUUUAAGUGCCAGACUUGAAUUUUUUUUAAAAUUUUUUUUAAUUUUGCAUUAUAACAACUGACUCAAUGACUAUUAACGGUUAUGUCAAUAAAAUAACAGUUAAUGAUAGAAAGAGUUAAUCAAGAGAUGUAAUUGACAAAAAUUUUAACAUUCGAAGAUUCAAUUAAUGCGUUACUUCGAAAUAUUUUAAUUAAAUUUUUUUUGGGUAAAAGUUCAAUGUUUCUAUAUCCUUGAAACUUUUAAAUAUUAUAUAUUUUAUGAAAUUUUAGUUUGUAGGUAAACUAAAAUGGAUUUUUUGACUUUGUUGACGUCAAAUCGAAAGCUAAGUACGUUUUUUUUUUUCUUUUUCCUUCAAGGGGAAUAUGAUUUUUAUAACUUUUAAGGUUAAUUAAUUAAUUGAAUCUCGUGUGUUGGCCUAAUAAUUGGGGUGUUUAUUAUUCUAGAUGUAAUCUAGGUUUGAGUCGCGUUAGUCGUAUUAUUGUUAGGGCUUUAUCCUUCUUUUAUAAUUCAUCAAAAGAAUUAAUUAAUCAAUCAAUCAUACAAUAAAAUAGUAAUUAGUUUUUCUAGAAAAAGACUUGAUUAAUUAGUCAAAAUUCAAAAAUAUUGAUCUUAAACAAUUUAUAUUUACAUAAAGGAGGGAAAUAUAUUUAUUUAUCUAGUCAAAGUCAAAGAAUUUUAUCUUAUAUAAUAUAAAAAUUGUAUGCGUGUACUCUUUUUUCUCCCGGAACAUGCGCGUGCUGCUUAAGGACCGGUAUUUUUUUUUUCUUUGAAAAAAAAUAUAGUAGAGGUUUUCUCCAAGGAAACUAAUGGUUCUUGGUGUUGUCUUUUGGAAGAAAAAUUUUGAGGUAGUAAUUGAUUUGAGUGUAAUUCUGUGUAAUUACAUUGUGAUGACAUAUUUGGGUAAUCAUUAUAAUUGGUAAAUCUUACCGAAUUAGAUGUAAUUAGAGCAUCUGGGAGGUGAGAAUUGAAGUAAUUAUAUAGGUAAUUAUACUCAAAUCCAAUUCUUAGGAGGAUAGUUUCAUUUUAGAGUAGGUAGGUAAUUGAUUUUUAAAUUUGUUAAUUAUACUAAUAUUAAAUUUUUGAUUGAGUUGGUAUUACGAGUUUUUUUUUAACAUUAAUCUCAUUAUAGGUUCUUAUCAUAUUUGCUCUUUUUGAUAUAAUGCCUAGAACUAUCCACAGCGCCUCCCCAAUCUUUAAAUAGGAGGAUAAUGUGCUUCAGCGCACUUAAACGCAUGUCCUCCUACACUGGCAAUAAUACCAAUGCCAAUCGAGUUAAGAGUUAACCGACUGGUAUUAUGAAUUAAUAAGACACCAAUUUUGUAUGUUAAAUGUCAAAAAACCCAAUUUAAUAAAUGAUGCUUGGUGAUGCUUUUUUGUGGUAGGUUGAUGCAGUCAUAAUAGAUUGUGUGAUGAGUAAACUGCAAACUAAAAUGAGAUUAAGAGUGUUAGAAUUAGCACUCCGAAGCACCUUCCGAUAGAUUUGAUAAUGAAAAUUAUAGUAGAGUAAAGGUGGCUAAGCUGAAAAAUGGCCAUACCUACAUACAUGUUGCAGCAUAAUAUUUGUAAGGACUUUGGGGUUGCCCUGACUUGCCCAUUUACAUGCUCAGAUCUAAUUACUAGUUCUCCUUUGUUGAUCGUAGCGCUUUGUCCUUUUAGGCGGCCACUCAAUUUAUUGCAUGCUUUGCUGAAGGUGGAAAUCUGUGUAGGGUCUUCUCUACGAGAAAGAAGGUUAUUAGAUGGUGUCGUAUUCUAUUUCUUAAGCAUUUACUUGGUGCUUUGGGCUCGUGACAAGUUUAAAAAAUAUGAAAAUUUAUAUAAAUUUAUAAAAAUUAAAAAAAUCAUAAAAAUUUAUAAAAGUAAUAAAAACAUAUUUAAAAUAUUUAAAAAUUUAUAAAAACGUAUUAAAAUUCUAUAAAAAUCAUAAAAUUAUAAAAAAAAGUAUUAAAAUUGACAUAAACUUAUAAAAAUUAUAAAAACAAUAUAUACAAAACUUGAAUUGGACCGGAUCAGUCGGUUGGACCGCUUAGACCGAAAUCGACAAGGGUAUCGGUUCAAAGAAAGCCGUUAUACCAGUUGACUUGGAAAUCGGAUGGUUGAACUGAUUUUGUUUUUUAAAAAUAUUUAAAUUUUUUAUUUUUAUUUAAUUGAAUUAGACAAAUCAAUUGAAUUGGCAUAUUAGUGGCCUAACUAGUUUGAUUCUGAAAAACUUGGUCAGAAUAUUUCAUUCUGACAUAUGGUAAUAGUUGGAUGUUGAAAUUUUUGUUUGAUAAAAAAUAUUAAAAAAUAAAAAAAUCGGUUCCACCGCCCGGUUCCCAGGUCAAUCAAUCUAAUGGCUUUCCCUAGACCGGUACCCUUGCUAAUUUCAGGCUAAUCGGUCUAGUUCAAGUUUUUAUGUUUUCUUUAUAAGUUUAUAUCAAUUUAAUAUUUUUAUAAUUGUUAACAAAUUUUUUUAAGAACUCUAAUACAUUUUUUAUUUUAAAUAUUUUAAAUAAUUUUUUAAAAUUUUUUAAAAUUUAUUUUUUAUUAGAGUUUUUAUAUUUUUAUAAUAUUUAUAUGUUUUUAUAAUUUUAAUAAGUUUAUAUCAAUUUUAUUAUUUUAUUAUAUUUUUGUGAUUUUUUAUAAUUUUUUAAAGAUUUUUAAUCAUUUUUCAUGAAAAAUAUUAGAUUAAACCGAAACUUGCCAUUUAUCACUAUCUGAUUGGUCCGCCAAUUUAUUUUAACAGUCAACUUAGUCAAUGGCGAAAACCCUUAACGGAGGGGCUUAAUUGAUUAUUUUAAUUAAUGACAACAGCUUAAUUAAGUGCGAAUUUAAUACAAGAAAAUUUUUUGACAUAUAAGAAAAAGAAAAGAAAGUGUCAAUCUUUAAUGGUGAUGCUUGGACAUGCUUCAAAAUAGAACUAUCUUUUAUGAGUAGGGAGGAAGGGUGAGGUUGGUUCUUCCCAACAUAGAAUUUGAAUUUGAAACCUAAAAUUCUAUGAUUUCCUUUUGAGAUAAAAUGCAUGUUCUAUUAUUUUAAUUGGUAAUACAUCAUUUAAUUUUUAGAUAAGUUUAGGUAAUAUGUAUUUUUUUAUUAUAAUUAUUUGAUCAUAUGGUUUUAAUAAGGUUUUCUAUGUAUAGAUGUCAAAUAUUAGAUAUUUAUUAUUAUAAACUUAUUUUAAGAUAAUUUUAUAAUUUAUUGAAGUAACCCUAAUGCGAAAUGCUGAUAAAGUAUUUAUCUUAGUCACUAUUUUUAUAUUUUAUAUUAAACAUACAAUCAUUUUCCUUAAAUUAUGGCAUCCACGUUUGGUGUUAGGCAAUUGGAGUUGGAAUAUAAUAAUGAUUGUGAAAAUUAUGUUAGCUGAUGGUGCUGGUGUUAGUAUAUUAUUAGAGUAAUGUUUGAUUAGUUAAUUUUUAUGUUGAAGUUGAAAACUUCGUUUUCGACACAUCUUUAAAAAACAUAACAGAGUAGCUGAUUGGAUAGAUAAAUCUGGAAAUAGGAACUAUAAUGGAAUACAGGUAUAUGAGAAGACCCCAACCUUAUUACGGGAGCGUGUUAAAUCUAUUAUACUAUUAUUAAAUUUGGUAUUGUGAGUUAAAUCUUACAAAUGAUUCAAAUAUCAUUUUUUUUAAAUCAAUAAAUUGUAUUAUAAAGGGUUUUUCAAUUAAGCUGGUUUACAUCAACUAAUAGGUGGGAAUUAUUCAACUUUCACGUCUCUAUAUAUUUUUUGCUGUCAUAUUAUUUUCUUUAUAUUUUACUUUCUCUAUUUAGAAAAAUGAAUAAAUUAAUCUUUAUACGUUUGAUCAAAGAGUACAUUGUCUUCCUGUUAAAAAUUCCAUCCAGAUCUACCAUUAAAAAUUGAUUAAAAACUGAUUCUAUACUUUAGCAUGAAGUACACGUGACAUGUCACGUGCCAGUGUUUGAUUAUUCUAUCAGCCAUGUCAUGUUUUUGCAAUACAAAUGGAUAAAUUUUUUAACUAAAAAGACCAAUUUUACUUUUUGAUCUAAUAUAUAAAAAUUAAUUUACCUAUUUUUAUGUAGAACACGAGUAACCUGUCAACUACAACAUGCAUUAGCAUAUACGUGAGCAUGACAUGUGAUGGAAUAUAUAUAAGCAAGAUUAUUGUUAAUGGCUUUAUCGCCAACACUAACACACACAGUUGACAUUUUUACGUAAUAUUAUGAAUGUCAAAAUGCCAAACAUUUACGUUCCAUACUUGAAAUCUUCUAGGUCAAACUAUUCGGUCUUGACCUAUCUUUUUAAAUAAUUUAUUUAGUAUAAUGCCUUACAAGUUGAUUACACCCAAAAAAAACUUCCCUAUAAAUUCCUUAAAUCUUCUCACUUCAACACAAAACAAUUCAACAAAAUUCAUCAACAUGGCAAUUUCAUGGCCUCUUGUUGUUUCACUUCUUCUUUCAAUUUCAUCCCUUGCAACUUCUGCUUCAAAUUCUGAUUCAGUCCAUGAAGCUUUUGUUCAAUGUCUUUUAGACAAUUCACAUCCAUCUCACCCUAUUAGUGAAGCCAUUUUCACACCUCAAAGCCCGUCAUAUGCCACAGUCUUACAAUCCUACAUUCGAAACCUUCGAUUUAAUGAGACCUACACACCCAAACCCUUCCUUAUCCUCACUGCAUUACACCAAUCCCAUAUCCAAGCCGCCAUUAUUUGUGCCAAAAAGGGCAACAUUCAAAUGAAAAUCCGAAGUGGUGGACAUGAUUAUGAUGGUUUAUCAUAUGUUGCCACUGUUCCUUUCUUUGUCCUUGACAUGUUCAACCUUCGAUCCAUUGAUAUAGAUAUGGAAACCGAGACUGUUUGGGUUCAAAGUGGAGCAAUUCUUGGUGAACUUUAUUAUAGAAUCUCUGAGUUGAGCAAAACACAUGGUUUCCCAGCUGGUGUUUGUCCUACAGUGGGUGUAGGAGGUCAUUUUACUGGAGGUGGCUAUGGUAAUAUGAUGAGAAAAUAUGGUUUAACAGUUGAUAACAUCGUGGAUGCUUAUUUCAUUGAUGUUAAUGGUAGAAUUCAUGAUAGAAAAUCAAUGGGGGAAGAUCUUUUUUGGGCUAUUAGAGGUGGUGGAGCAGCUAGUUUUGGUGUGGUCCUUGCAUAUAAAAUUAAGUUGGUCCGUGUACCUGAAAUAAUUACUGUUUUUCGGGUUGAGAAAACAUUGGAAGAUAAUGCCACUGACAUUGUUGAUCAAUGGCAACAUGUUGCAUCUAAACUCCCUAAAGAACUCUUCGUUAGGCUCGUCAUUGACGUCGUAAAUAGUAGUACUCGUACCGGUGGAAGUACCGUUAGGGUUUCAUUCAUUUCCUUGUUCUUAGGAGAUUCCAAGACACUUGUUUCAAUCAUGAACGAGAACUUGCCUUUACUUGGUUUAUCUCAAUCGGAUUGCAUCGAAACAAGCUGGAUUCGAUCGGUUCUUUUUUGGACCAACAUCACCAUCGAUAGCCCAACCGAUGUUUUAUUGAACCGAACCCCGUCGUUGAGUUAUCUCAAAAGGAAAUCAGACUACGUAAAACAACCGAUCCCGAAGACGGCAUUGGAAGGUAUUUGGGAAAAAAUGAUCGAACUACAGCCGGCGCAAAUGAUAUUCAAUCCAUACGGUGGGAGAAUGGCUGAGAUUGCGUCCACAGCGACUCCAUUUCCACACAGAGCUGGCAAUUUAUGGAAGAUUCAAUACUUAGCGAAUUGGAACCAAGGUGGGGCUGAAACAGCCCAGCGUUACAUAGAGUUGACAAGGAAGCUUCAUAGGUACAUGACACCCUUUGUGUCCAAGAAUCCAAGGGAGGCAUUUCUUAAUUAUAGAGACAUUGAUUUGGGUGUCAAUCAUAAUGAUAGAGGAAGCUAUUUGGAAGGGAGGGUUUAUGGGAUCAAAUAUUUUAAGGGUAAUUUUAAUAGGUUGGUCCAUAUUAAGACUAAGUUUGAUCCUACUAAUUUCUUUAGAAAUGAACAAAGCAUUCCUACUCUUCCCUAUUAAGAGAAGACAGAUAUAAUUAUUAAUGUUUAUUCAUUUUAAGUUUUAGUUCAAUUAGUUUCAUUGUUGUUGUAAUAAUUAGAAAAAUAUGAACUCAAAUGUAUUGAAGCAUGUUUUUCUUUCAAUUUAAAGCUUGUUGAACAUAUGUUUGUAUUUUUUAAGAUAUAAUAAUAGAUUCAAUAUGUGUAAUUAAUAAAUUUUAUUUUAUUAGGAAUGUGAUUUAUGGAAACAAGAAAUAAAUAUUUUAUUUUGUUAAAUACUUCAUCAAAUUUGUGGCAAAUCUUUUAUCAAAUCCUGAAUGAAAACAACAUAUCAUCUAUCUUAACUUAAAUUUUUUAAUUGGGAUGAUAUUUCGAAUUAAUAAAUAGGUUCUAAUCAUAUCUGUUUUUUAUACAAUGUCUAAAACUAUUCAUAGCUUUUUCCCAACUCAUAAAUAAAAAGAUAAUGCACUUCACUGCAUUCGAACCCAUGUCCUCCAGGGUUAACAAUAAUGCUUAUGUCAAUCGAAUUAAAACUCAAUCGGCUUACAAUUUAAUAUUAUAAAUAAGAAAACUGAUGUUUACAUUUUUAUAUUUUAUAUUUUAUUUUUUACAGGAUUUACAUGUUUACUUAGAUGCUGCAAUUAUGCAAAAUGAUUGAACAAAAACAAAAAAUAAUUUACUCUUUGACCUGCUCAAACAAAUACGGCUAUAUGAUGCUUGGGCAGUUAGGUUGCCUUCUUCAUGUGGUUAGCCGAGAGGAGUUGAAUAACAUCAACUCAAUCGAUUCGGCAACUUAAUUGAUCUUUUAUUUAUUUAUUUUGCAGUAGGGUGUUGAUUUUUGUAGUAGCCUCCCGUUUUAGGGAUUUUAAUAAAAUAUUUAAUUUGGCAAGAAAAAAAUAACUUUAUUAAUAAAGGUGAAGGCACCAUACAAGAGUAUUAAAAUAUAAGGUAAACUAGGGGUGAGCAAAAUUUGAUUUGAUUUAAAAAUUCGAUAAAAAAUUAAUUUUUGAAUUAAAUAAUUCAAGUUAUUUGAGUUAAUUAAAUUAUUCGGAUAAACUCGAAUAAAAAAUUAAAAUUCUUGGUUUAACUCGAAUAUAAAUUACACAAUUCGAGUUAUCCGAAAAUCUGAAUAAGAAAAGACAAAACUACGUUGUUUUGAUAAAUGUUUACCUUUUCUAAAGUUAAAAGUCAAAACCAUUAUAUUGUAUAUGUAGUUAAAUAAUCUUGUACCUCAUCAAUUGAUUAAAUAAUCGAUUCAUGUAAACACAACAUUGAGUAUAAAUAAUAGGAUUCGUUAGCUCGACUCGACUCGAAAAUUUUUUACUCGAUUCGGUUCAAUUCAAAAAAAAUUCAAAUUGAGUUUCGUUGCUAAAAUAUGAUUCGUCAACUCGAUUAACUCAAAAUUUUUUGACUAGAUUCGACUCGACUCGAUCGGAUACUCACCCCUAACGUGGAAUAUUGGAGGCUUUCUUAUAUUGAUUUGCCUUUCAUCUGCAACAUAAAUGGGAAAUUUUCAGCUAUGGUAGUUGUGCUGUAACUUAAUAUUAUCCAUUUGAUUAUUGAAGGGCAUGCUCAAAUUAUUUUCUAUAUUAUAUAUAGAGAGAAGGGGAUAAUAUUCGGUUAAAUUAUGCUAUUUCUCUCUGUACUUUGUAAAAGUUAUGGAUUUAGUCAUUGUACUUUUCGAAUUUUGAAAAUUUUAGUCCCACCCCAAACAAUGGUUGUUAAAUCUGUUUGUUUAAAUCUAAUUACUAGUCCUGUACAAUAUGUAUAGUUGUAGAUUUAAUCCAUAUUUUUCAAUUAGAUCAUUCUGAGUCUCAAAUUUUGAAAUUUCAAUCUUGUCGCAAAUGACAGUGGUUAAUCCAUAAACUGAAUUUUAGUGAGUGAUAUGUGGAAAUAACAAGCAAACAUGGCAUUACACGUGAUAAUAUGUUUGGCCCAUCAGAUUUUAGAAAUAACAAAACUUAACUUAAUGAAUUUAACAAUUAUCAUUUAGUGAUGACUAAAACUUUAAAAUUUGAAAAGCACAAGAACUAAAUCAACAACUUUCACAAAAUAUAUAAACUAAUAGCAGAAUUAAACCAUAAUAUAUUGAUACUUGUCUGAAUGUGAGUCAAAGCUUAAGUUAUCUUACUUUGUUCGGAUGUAUGUGUUGGAUACGAUUGUAAAUGGACACAAGUGCAAGUGUAUAUGUUGAUUUUUUAAAAAAUAUUUUUUUCCUUAUAUUUCAAAGGUGCUUUAAGGAUAUGCCUUCAUACACAUAUAAGUGUACUGAUUUUGAAGAAAUUAUUUUAUGGACCCUUCCCACCGCACUAUUCAUGGUCCUUUCCAAUAAUUUAAUGACAUUUUAGCAAAUUUUUCAUGUCAUUAACACAUAAUUUUGGAAGUUUUUACCUUGAACCCCGAACCUCGAAUAUUGAACCCUAAACCAUGAACUCCAAACCCCGAACCUAAACAACAAACCCUGAACAUGAACUCGAGGUUCCAAGUUAGAGGUUCAAGAUUCGAGUUUGGGGUUCGGGGUAAAAAAAAUUACCAUUAUUAUGUGUCAAUGACAUGGAAAAAAUUGUUGAAAUGUCAUUAAAUAACUGGAAAGGGACCAUGAAUGAUGUGGUGGGAAGGGUCUAUAAAAUAAUUUAUCAUUGGUUUUGCCUUCUAGUUGCACAUUUAGUUACAAUUAGCCUUAUUUACUAACUGUAUAGAAAAGGAGAUGCACAUUAAAGUCUGGUAACGUAGUUCGGAAAUUCCCUAUGCAUGUUUGGUCUUGCCCAAAGAGUAGCCCACUAUAAAGCUAUUUGUACAAUAUUUGAUUUAAGUCUAACAUGCUCAUCGAAUUGCAAUCUCACUCGUAUACAUAAACUAUAUCACUCUCGACUUUCCCCUAGUUGAAAAUUGAACAACGAGAACAAAUUACAACAAUUUUACACUAAAAUAGAUUUUUCAAGCGAACAGGUUAAGUGCUCUCUCAAUCUCGUCCAUAAGACUAAAAUAAGCCCUCUUUUAAAUAAGCAUACAAUGACUUGUUAAAUUAUAAUUAAUGCAUAUAUCUGUCUCAUCGAAUUCAUCUUAAUAAAGUCACCAAUAUGGAAUAGAUUUAAAGAUAUCUUCUUGGUAUAAUGGUUUUGUGAAAAUCAAAUCUCUUCAAAUAAGAAAUUUUCGAUCACAUUAAAAGUCUUCAAACAAUUUUUGCUUAACUUAAUUUUCACUUUUUUUUUUUUACUUCUAUAAGUUGCAGCUAAAACUUUUCAAAGAUGUGCUAAAAUAAAAAAUCUAAAAUUUUUCGAUCAAAAGAUAUCACUUAAAUAUGACAAGUCAUCUUAACUUGCAAAAUGCAAAUUAAGUUGCAACUGGAGUUGCAUCUAUAACCCAUAUAAUUGUAACUAAUAAUCUCCUUCCUUGACAUUUUUAUAAAAACAUUGCAGCACAUUACACUCCCCCUUAAUCAAUCAAUUCGUCUAUGAAACAUAACUAUGGAAUCAACCAUUCAUGCAAAGAUAACAAAAAGCAUUAAUAAUCAAACUCAUAGAACCAUAGCAAGAGGCCACUUCAAGUAAAUGCUUCAAAUCCCUGUAUUCUUCAUACAUUUGUAAUCUAAUAUUCUUACUUUUAUCUCAAGAAAUUUAGUUCCUUUACUAAAUUAAAAAUGUUAAGUUCAGUUUUUAACAUUGUUAAACUUUUUCAGUUAAAUUCAAGUUCAACGAAUUAGAUAGACGAAUUUUAACGGUAUUAAUAAUCAUACCUAAAUUUUGAAAUCUAAAAAUAGAGAAACUAAUUUUUUUUAACUAAAGAUAAAUAAACUAAAUUUCAAAUAUAUAAAAAGUACUACACAUUUAGUGGAGCACAUAUAUAGUUGUUUAAAAGUUAAAGUACCAAUGUUCAAAGAUUACCAUUAUCCAAAGUCCAAUUAUUUGGAAAGGUUCCUAAAUAAAGAGUAGGGGUGAGCGUUUGAUCAAACUGAGUGAAAAAAAUUUUGAGUUAAUCGAGUUGACGAGUCAUAUUUUAUCAUCUUAACUCGAUUUGAAUUUUUUUUGAAUCAAGUCAAGUGAAAUGAAAUUCGAGUCAAGCUGAAUCGAAUGAAAUUGUUCGAGUUAAAUUAAAAAAUUAAACAUUUCAAAUUAAAAUCUUGUUACAAAAUAAUUAAUUUCACGUUAGAGCAAAUAAAUUCGAAACCAUAUAUAUUUUAAAACUUUUUCAAAGCAAAAUAAUAAAAAAAUAAGAUACUUUAGUAUUAUAAACUUAAAUCAUUAAUGAACUUAUUUAGGUCCCAAAAUUAUUAUUUUAGAAAAUUUUUAAAUUUUUAACUUUCUUUAUAUAUUUUUUAGAUUUUUUUUAAAAUUUUAUAAUUUUUUAAAAAUAUAUAUAUAAUUUAGAAUUUUUAUAAAUAUUUUUAAUUUUAAAAUUUAUUUUGAUUUUUUGAAAAUUAUUUUGAAUUUUUUUUUUGUAAUUUUUGUUGAAAGAGAUCAAUUUGCUCAUUUUUAAAAUUGAUAGGGACUAAAAGGGUAUUUACACCAAUCUGUUAUUCAAAUUAUUCGAGUUAUUUAAAUUUUAAAAUUUAACUCGACUCAAACUCGAAUUACUUAUUCGAGUUGACUCAAGUAAUUUAAAUAACUCGAUUUGAUUAACUCAAAAUUUAAAUUUUUUUUAUUUUUUUCAAAUUAAAUCGAAUUUUAGUGAAUUGCACGGCCAAAAAGGUUAUAUAACAAACGUCAAUUAUCAAGGCUUGCAAAAGAGUUGGGUUUGGAUCAUUAGCUAAAAUUUUGCAAAGGAUCCUCGGAAUCCACCAGUAAUUCGAUAUAAAAAGUUUAGAUGUGGAAUUUAUAUUUACUUAUUACUAUAGAAACAUUUAUGUUACCCAACAGAAAUAAAUCGGAUUUCUUUAUUUUUUAAAUGUGAAAAAUAAAAUAAAUAUAAUUAAAUCAAAAUUAAAUUUUUGAGUAUAAUUAUAUCAAAUCAACAUUCACAUAUCAAAAGCACAUUGUAUCGAUAUAUAUUUUUAGAUUUAGUCCGUUCUCUAUACAUUAAAAAGAAAUGAAUGCAGAUGCCGCAUGGGAAGAGCAUGCACACAAGGUGAUGCGGUCGUUGAAAGCACCAAAAAUAUCUUAUCCCUAAUAAAUAAUGAAAAAGAAUAGUAAAAGGGAAGUAGGGUCAAAUUCUUAGGGACUGGAUUUGCACAAUAUCUUAUUCCGUGAAAUCCCGGCAGAAUCUUGCCCAAGAAAACCUGCGUGCUUGGAAAAAAAUAAAAAGAACAGAAUUAAAGGUUUGGAUCUGGAAAUGAAAAAUAAAAUAAAAAAAGAAUUAAGAAUAUUGAAUCGAAAAUUCGAGUAAUUAAAAAUAGAGUUGAGAGAAAGAAAAUUCUUAUGGGAGAUUCCAGCCUCCAGUUGUCUCGUUCUGCCUUGGGUUCAAUCCUCGGCUUUUAGAUGAUCCUUCCCAAACCGAAUAACCCAGUUAUAGUGGAAGAGGACACCUACGACUACCAGCUCCAAUGAUUUAGACUUACGAUUUAGUGGAACCUGACUCUAGCCAACAAUCGCUUCUGUGGGAUUGUCUUAUGCUAGAUCAAUGCUUCUCAAUGGAGAAUCCCACGCCAUUUUGUCCCUUGGGCUCGCCAACCUCUGACACAGUAAGCUAACGAACCAACUGUGCAACCUUCCCAAAACAUACAAAGCGGUCACCUUUGCAUACAUUGAAAAGCUUACUUCUUAAGGGACAUGGAUGGAAGCGUCAGCCCCGUAGUGCGGAGAAACGAUGAAUACUCAACGAGGAGGCUAAGUACGGACUCUAAGCCUCAAGAACCCUUUUUGGGGAAUAUCAACAACUUUCAGCUAGAUGGGUUUAGUGGCUCAUGGUUGUGGUGGAAAAGAAAAUAAAUAAAAUAAAAAUAGAGAUUUUAUUGAAAGGAAAUAUGAGAGGAACAAAAGCCUAGACUUUUGGGGAGAGAGUGUUUACAGAAAAAGAUGGAUCUCUUUUGAGUCACUUCACCCCCUAUUUAUAGUGCUAGGGGAGAUAGUCUAAUCCUACUUAAACUCCCAAAAGAUAAAUACAUUUAAUUGAAGAUAAAUAAAGAUAAAUAAAAUAAAAUCCUAAAAUUAAAUAAUCCUUAAUAAUUAUCUUAAUAUUAAUUAUCCUAAUAUAAUUAAAAUAGAAUCUGAUAGAAUAAAAUAUCUUCUUUUUGCAUUUCAACCCUUGUUUUCUCCAUGCUUGCACUUUUGGCACCAACUUUUCCUUGUGUUGCAUGUGGGCCCAUUUUAUCUCUAAAUUCAUGCUUUUGGCCCGUAAUUUUUCUUUUGCCUCAAAUUUAAUCCCUAUGAGAUAAAAGAUCAUAAAUAGCUCAAAUUAGCAGGAUCAUACUCAGAAUAAAUACAUAAUUAACACAUAAAAAUACGUUAUUUUAGAGUGUUAUCAAAUUCUCCCCUACUUAGCCCAUGCUUGCCCUCAAGUAUGGUUCCUAUCUACUGUGAAAGUUAGAUUCUGCCAUAAAAGUAAUACCACUCCAAAGUUGUAUAAAAAGCAGUCAAAAAUGCAUAUGAAAAAUAAAGAGAACCCUAAGCUUGCUUUAAGUAAAACAGAAAAAGUUUUCCAACUAAUACACAAAAAUUAGAAUCGACUUGAAUUAUUUAAUGAAAAUUAGGUAAAUUAUCAAACCUACCAAGACACCCUAUUUGUUUCCUCCUUUAGUCCCCAAAUAACUUUUUUUUAUAUGAAGACUUUAGAGAAAACAAAUAAUCAAGUGUCAAAAAUAAGUUUCAGUAAUUACCUUAAUAGUCAUGAACAUAUUUUAGCAUGCAAAUAUAUUAAGUAUCCACUUUGUAUUAAACUUGAUCAAUUUUACGAAAAGUAAGAUAAAGUUAACUCUAUGAAUCACAAUUAUUUUUAGCCUAAUAAGAAUAAAACAGUGGAGAUGGCAUCAGUUAUGGAAAAUCUUUAAUUUCCUCAGAAAACAAAAAUCAUGCUUGUAGGUCAAACAGUAAGCAAUUCUUGGUAAAAAUCUUUGGCAUGAAAAGAGGCAGGAUAUUCUAAAAUAAAUAUGGACAAAAUGGAGCCUCAACUAGUAACACCAGCCAAAUAUAAUCAUAGCAACAGCAACAACAACCAAAAUCACAGCAGAAAAUUAUAGUAAUAACGAAGAGUACCUCCCCCUACUGAAAGCACAUUGUCCUCAAUGUGGACGAAAAGAAAUAAAUAGUUAGAAAAGUUUAGAAAACUACCCGUGUUGUUACUGUCGAUUUCAUAUGAUGGCAAUGAGCUCGGCUAGUUGCUGGCCAAAGGUUUCAAGUCGGGCUUCAAUGCGCUCUAAGCGUUGCUCAACGGUUUUCUUCGCAUUUUAGCUCUGUUUUAUCUAAGAAAAAGAAGAAAAUUUUAUUAAUAUUCAAAUAAGUAAUAAAUAAUAAAAUAAAAUAAAAUAAUAAAUAAAGUAAAGAAACUAAAAUAAAUAAAAAAUAAAAAUUGGGUUGCCUUCCAACAAGCUCUUGUUUAACGUCAUUAGCUCGAUGUCGUUAUUGGUUCUAUGGUGGUUCCAAAUGGAUUUUCUCAAUCGUGUGGGCUUGAAAGUUCUCAUAAAAUGACCGCUGGCCAUUGACUAUAAACCACUUUCCAGAUUCUUCACUCUCUAUUUCAAUCACUCCAUGUGUGAACACUUCAACAACAAUAAAAGGUCAUUGCCAUCGUGAUCGAAACUUACCUGGGAAUAACUUUAACACGGAGUUAUAAAGUAAAAAUUUUUGUCCUACCGAAAAAUGCUUCUGAGCUAUUCUCUUAUCAUGAAACAACUUUGUCUUGUCUUUAUAAAUGCGAGCAUUCUCGUAGGCAUCAUUGCGAAUUUCUUCUAACUCUGGUGCCUGUAUAACAGAAGGUAACAGGUUAGUAUUUAGAGAUAAUAACUCAUUAACAAAUUUAAAUUCAUCAAGUUCAAAAUUAUCUCCAAAAUUGACUCAAAAUUCUCUUCCACUAAAGAGUCAAUUAUGUCGAUACAAUUUACACUCAAGAUUUUUCUUGGAUGGCUAAUGGCGUUGUAGACAUUAAACUUUACGAUCUCCCCAUCAAACUCCAUCGUGAGAGUUCCACUUCGAACGUCGAUCCUAGUACUAGCUGUACUAAGGAACGGUCAACCCAGCAGGAGAUCUGAAGAUCCAGGAUUGCUAUCCUCCUCCAUUUUGAUCACAUAAAAAUCUGUAGGGAAAAUAAGCUCGUUAACUUUUACCAAAACAUCCUUAAGGACUCCUUCUGGAUGCACAACAGACCUGUCCGCCAAUUGAAUGAUAACACCUAUUUUUGUCAAAAAACCCGCGUUAAAUUAUUCAUAAAUCGAAUACAACAUUACAUUUAUAGAAGCCCCUAGAUCACACAUAGCCUUCUUAAUUCCCAGAUGGCCUAUUUUGCAUGGUAUUGCAAACAUGCUCCUAUCCUUGCAUUUUCCUGGCAUUUUUCGCUAUAACAAUGCAGAUACAUUCUCACCAACAUUCACCCUUUCAUUACCUGUUAAUUUUCGCUUGUUGGUGUAAAGCUCUUUAAGAAAUUUAGCAUACUGCAGUAUUUUCUUGAUGGCAUCCAACAGCAGAAUGUUGAUCUUGACAUUUCUAAAUGUUUCGAGGAUUUCCUUGUCCUCUUUACCUCUUCGACACUGGUUGAAUCGUUCUGAAAAUGGAGGUUGAGUUUUAGGCAAUGGAGGCUUCGGUCAGACCUGUUCUUCUUUUUCGGGUUUUUUUGGGCAAUUUCUUGGCCAAGAUUCCUGUCAAGAAUCAAUUCCAGUACCUUUCAGCUUCGCAACGUUACUACAUUUGCAUUUUGUCUAGGGUUUGGUUCUGUUUGUGACGACAGCUUCCUUUGAGAGGUCAAUUUCUCGAUCGAUGUGGUCAACUCUCUGAUGGACGCCUCGAUUUUCUGUUGGAUAUCCUUCAUCUCUUUUUGGAAAUUAAGAGUUUUCUGUUGAAAAUCAAGAACAUUAGUUGCUAACUUAUUGACCAUGGUUUCUAGAAAAUUACCUGAACCUUGCAGCUGUUGCGAAAACUGAUUUUCGUAUGGCUGGUUAUUUCGUGGAUUGGACCCAUAACUUAAGUUAGGAUGGUCCCUCCACCUUGGGUUGUAGGUAUUAGCGUAGGGGUCGUAUCGCCUUUGUGGCGACCUAGGGAAAUUUCCCACAGCAUCUAGAUGGGCCGUGGUAUCAUCAUACAAACUGGGACAUGCAUCAGUUGCAUAAUCAGGUGUAGCACAUAUUCCGCAUAACCGGACUGUCUUAGCUUUUUCUGUAAUAAGAGAGUUCAUCAUAUUAGUAAGUCUAUCAACUUUAUCCUUUAAUGUUGAAUUACUUAGCUGGUGAACCCUUCUAGGGGGUUCAGUAUUGGCUCGAAACUGUUGAGAAUUUACAGCCAUCGUGGAGAUCAAGUCUCUUGCUUGUUGGGGAGUCAUGUUGACUAAUACUCCUCCACUAGCGGCGUUUACCAUAUUCAUCUCCAUGGGCUUCAAACCUUUGUAAAAAUAUUGGAAGAAAGAUUGCUCCGUUAUACCAUGUUGUGGGCAACUUGCACACAACUUCUUAAACCGCUCCUAAAAAUCGUAAAGGGACUCAGCUUCUUUUUGCCUUAUUCCAACGAUCUCUCUUCUUAGCUCAGUUGCUUGAGACACUGGAAAAAACCUGUUCAGAAACAAACGAGAUAAAUCAUCCCAAGUUGUAAUAGAUCCCGAUGGUAAAUAAAAUAACCAUUCCUUAGCGGGAUUUGCUAGGGAGAAAGGGAAAGCAUGCAAUUCAAUCUAAUCCAAGGGAAAGCACGCAAUUUAAUCUGAUCCUCAGUUACCCCCUGAGGUUUCAUGCUAAGACAAACCAUAUGAAACUCUUUCAGAUGCUUGUGGGGAUUUUCAUUUUGCAACACACGAAAAGUUGGCAGUAACUGGAUUAAACCUGACUUCAACUCAAAAUCAGCAUCCAUAGUAGGAUACGCGAUGCAUAACGGCGGUUGGUCUGUCGGAGCUUCAGCCAGUUGUCAAAUCGUUUGAGCCAUUGGUUGGUGUGCUAGAUUCGGGUUUUUAUUAACCCUAGUGUUAAGCACUUCUUCUAGUCAGUCGACUUCUACUUUUUUUCUUUCAAGUGUUCAAGUAGGGUUUUCGUUAACCCUAGACUCAGCUUUGUCGUCGGCUUCGAUUUCUGGCGGUGGGUUACUUUGAGUUCCAACCACCGCUGACUACUUUUUUCACAACUUUGUCUCCUUACGAUUGGCUCUAGCAGUCUUCUCAAUUUCUGAAUCGAACGCAAGAGUACCUGGAGCAGAUCUGGUCAUAAGAAACAAAAAAAACAAGAUUAGUACGUUGCUAGUCCCAGGCAAACGCGCCAAAAUUUGAUGCGGUCAUUGAAAGCACCAAAAAUAUCCUAUCCCUAAUAAAUAAUGAAAAAGAAUAGUAAAAGGGAAGUAGGGUCAAAUCCUCAGGGACUGGAUUUGCACAAUAUCUUGUUCCGUGAAAUCCCGGUAGAAUCUUGCCCAAGAAAACCUUCGUGCCUGGAAAAAAAUAAAAAGAACAGAAUUAAAGGUUUGGAUCUGGAAAUGAAAAAUAAAAUAAAAACAGAAUUAAGAAUAUUGAAUCGAAAAUUCGAGUAAUUAAAAAUAGAGAUGAGAUAAAGAAAAUUCUUAUGGGAGAUUCCAGCCUCCAGUUGUCUCGUUCCGCCUUGGGUUCAAUCCUCGAUUUUAGAUGAUCCUUCCCAAACUGAAUAAGCCAGUUAUAGUGGAAGAGGACGCCUACGACCACUAGCUCUAAGGAUUUAGACUUACAAUUUAGUGGAACCUGACUCUAGCCAACAAUCGCUUCUGUGGUAUUGUCUUAUGCUAGAUCAACGCUUCUCAAUGGUGAAUCCCACGCCAUUUUGUCUCUUGGGCUCGCCAACCUCUCAUGCAGUAAGCUAACGAACCGACUGUGCAACCUUCCCAAAACAUACAAAGCGGUCGCCUUUGCGUACGUUGAAAAGCUUACUUCUUAAGGGACAUGGACGGAAGCAUCAGCCCUGUAGUGCGGAGAAAUGAUGAAUACUCAGUGAUGAGGCUAAGUACGGACUCUAAGCCUCAAGAACCCUUUUUGGGGAAUAUCGACAACUUUUGGCUAGAUGGGUUUAGUGGCUCAUGGUUGUGGUGGAAAAGAAAAUAAAUAAAAUAAAAAUAGAAAUUUUAUUGAACGGAAAUAUGAGAAGAACAAAAGCCUAGACUUUUGGGGAGAGAGUGUUUACAAAAAAAGAUGGAUCUUUUUUGAGUCACUUCACCCCCUAUUUAUAGUGCUAGGGGAGAUAGUCUAAUCCUUCUUAAAUUCCUAAAAGAUAAAUAUAUUUAAUUGAAGAUAAAUAAAGAUAAAUAAAAUAAAAUCCUAAAAUUAAAUAAUCCUUAAUAAUUAUCUUAAUAUUAAUUAUCCUAAUAUAAUUAAAAUAGAAUCUGAUAGAAUAAAAUCUCUUCUUUUUGCAUUUCAACCCUUGUGUCCUCCAUGCUAGCACUUUUGGCACCAACUUUUCCUUGUGUCGCAUAUUGGCCCAUUUUAUCUUUAAAUUCACGCUUUUGGCCCUUAAUUUUACUUUUGCCUCAAAUUUAAUCCCUAUGAGAUACAAGAUCAUAAAUAGAUCAAAUUAGCAGGAUCAUUGUAAUAGCCAAUUUUGGAUGACCCGAUACAGAUAAUAAAUAAAACCAAAAUAAUAAGUCCCAUUAAUUUCCAUUUACAUCUAAAACCCAUACCCAAAUACAUAGCCCAAAUCAUUUUAAGCUAAACUAGACUAACCCAAAAGACCCAACUAAAACCCAAACCCAUUAAGCCUAGCCCAGCAAACCAACUCAGUACAAAUCCCAACCCGAUUGCAGAAACCCUAGCAACAAACUACUUCAAGCGCCGCAGCCACCAAGGCCUUCCUCCACUCGUGCUGAGCCUUUGCCCUUGCAUGCACCUUCGUACUCUCCACGCCACAGCGCCUCCGUACGGCCGUACCUCCAGCACGCAGACAAAGAAACAACAAAAAAGAAAGAAACAAAAAUAACAUAAAAGAGGACUUUGUAUUUUUUUCUUGGGAUUUUUCUUCUGUAUUUUCGGCUAUAUAAGCCAAGAUUCGAGCACUGUAUUUUUUUACGGAGAUUUUAUAAUGAAAAAUACAAAAACAAAACAAAGGUGAUUUUUUUUCUCUUUGAUUCAGUUCUUAAGUUUUUCUUUUCGAUUUUUUUUCCAUCGAUACUUUGAUUCUUUUUCUUUGUUCGUUUACUCAUUAAGAAAAGAGAAACUAAGGGAGGAUGGUUUACCUGUGUAUUAAAGCCUCGAAUCCCUAUCUUCUCUGCCGUAAUCGGAGUCCAGAUGGGGACGACGAGGUGUGUGGCGGCGCCACCUACGAGUAGAGAAGGGGGCUAGGGUCGGAACCCUAGCAGAGAAAUACUCAACUUUUUUUUAUUUUUAGGUCCACAACUGUUUUUUUAGAGAAUUUAGUUUAAAUAGUGCCAUCAUACUGCACCGUUUUGAGCAAGGGCUCAUAAGCGUUGAAACAACGCCGUUUAGGCUAUAGCCCGCGCGUGACCCGACCCGAGGGGGAGGAUCCGCGCGUUUUGUCCCAGGGGUCAAUUUGCGCGAAUGGUCCUCUCUCUUUUAAGGUGUGUUCAAAUCAGUUUUUGCCAUUUUUUUUAUUUUUCGCCCUGCAUUUUUUUUUUGGUUUCAUUUUGGCCCAGGUUGAAAUGCUACGUUUUGGAGGGAAGGGAAUAUUUCCUAUUUCAGUCCCCCAUGUUAUUCGCGCAUUGCACAUUGGCCCUUAUUUGGCUUUAUUUAUGUUUGUUCCCUAGAAAUUCUGUUUUAGUUGCAAUUUAAUCCCUUUCGUAUUUUCUUCAUCAAUUAAUUUAAUAAUAUUACUAUUAUUUAUUAAUCAUAUUAUUAUUUGUAUUAUUAUUAAAAUUUUCAUCCAUAUGUAAUGCUUAUUUAAAUUAAUAUGUGUACAUUAUGUUAUGAAUUUCGAUUUUAUUCCAAAAAAUGCAUUUAAAUACUAUUAUUUAUAUAGUGUUUAUUUUAUUAACUUUAUUUUGAAUCUAUCAUGAACUCAUAUAUAUUUAUUUUAAAAUUUAGUGCUUAUAAUUUAUUGACUAUCAUUUCUUCUCUUGUUUUCAAUAUGUCUUUUAAGGUUGAUUAUUAAUGCCUCUGAUUUUUGAAUGUUGUAUGAUGUGAGACGAUUGCUAUUAUGCGUAUUGUGUUGCUUGUUCCUAUUAUUUGAUUAUUUGUCAUUUAUUAGUAUACAUUGUGGCUUAUGAAUUAUUAUUUUGCGUCAUCCAUUUUCAAUCCACCACACUUUAUUCGUUUAAAAGGGUAUAUCUAAUAUCGUUUAAAUAUCAAAAUCAUUUCAUUUAAAAGUUUUUAAGAUAACGCAAUGUUCGGUAUUUGGGAUCUUCGAAAGAAUUGGGCCCUAACGUAUUGGGUUCCAAUUUUCCUCGUUGAGUCUAAAUAAUUGAGAAUAUUCGCUAAUCAAAACGUAAAUAAAAAUCUCCCUCUCGGGAAUUUGAUACGUUGUGUCCUAAUGUAUUGGACAUGACAUGUUGAUUUUUCUCGAGACGAAGAUUUUUCUGAAAAUAAAGGCAAUAUUCGAUACUUGGGAGUUUUGUGAAAUCGAACCCUAACUUACUGGGUUUUGAUUUUCUCAUUUGACCUAAAUAAUCAGAUAUCCUUCUCAAAAUGCAUAGGUUUUAAAAGUCAAAAGAAAAACUUAAUUUUUGAGGAUUUGAAAUGUUGCACUCUAACUUACUGAGUGUAACAAUUUAAUUCUUUGAAAUAACUGAGCCUUAUCAUCCAAUUCAUUUUAUUCAAGAUAAAAGGAUCGUAUUUUAAAAUCUUUUCAAAAUUUCGACACUAAGACAUUAAACAAUCGAUUCGGUACCAAUUUUGGGCGUUACGAGGGUGCUAACCCUUCCUCGUGCGUAACCGACUCCCGAACCAGUUUUCUCAAAUCUCGUAGACCAAAAUCGUUUUAAGGUGUACCGAUCACACCCCAAUAAAGGAUCGGUGGCGACUCCAAUUUUUUUUUAGUUGACAGCUAAAUUUUUUGUUUUUCAAAAAAGUGGUUUCGACAAUCAUACUCAGAAUAAAUACAUAAUUAAUACAUAAAAAUACGUUAUUCUAGAGUGUUAUCACAAGGCCAAGCUUAGCUUGGUGGUAAGUAGAACUGAUCAUGGGUCGGGUCAGGCUGAUGCAAAAUUUUAAGCUUGUUUAUUAGGUUUGGGUCCAACCUGUCCCGAAAAUGAACUUAAAAUUCUGCCAAGCUCAAUCCAAAUUAAAAAGGCUAAAUUGAGCUCGACCUAGCCCACCCGUAUUAUUAUUUUUAGAUUAUAAUUUCUAUAAAAAAUAAAUUUUAAAAAAUAUAAUACAUGAAAUACACAAAAAGAUUAAAAUAAAUGUUUCCCAACAAAUUGAAAAUACAUUUUUUAAAAAAUUUAUACUUAAAUAACACUAAGAUAGUUUCAACUUAACAAGCAAAUGCUUCUAAAAUAGUAACAAAAUUAACAAUAAAAUAAGAGUUAUACAAUAUCCAAACAGUAACAACAAAAUAAAAGUAAUAUAAAAGCAAAAUGGCAGCAAAAUAACAACAUAAAAGAAAGUUUAGGUUAAUUCAGGUCGGGCUGGGCUGGGCUAGGCUAGGCCAAUUUAGAAAGCGGGUCUUAUUUUUUUCUAAGUCCAUUUAUUGGGUUUAUAUUUUUGUCCAAACUCUCUUAAUCAUCAAGCAGGCCUUCAGACCUAGAUAGAGAACUUGACCCAAUUGCAAGGCUUAGAGUAAUUUUCUCGGUGUUUAGAGAUAUAAUUAUUGAAUCAAAUUGCUAUGUUGUAAUCUGUAAAUUUACCUAUGAUACACUCAGUAUUUUAAUUCGUUGAAAUUUGUUUAUACUCAUAGAUCAGUCUAUAGGCUUGUCGAUUCUCUUAGCUGCAUGGGUUUACUUGACGUAAAUGAUGUUCGAUUUGGUGUGGACUACCCAAACGACAGCGGAUAUUAUUUGAAUUGUUGAAUGAAAUUGCAGUUUUCGACCUUUGUUGAUGAGUUGAUUCUCAAGCAAAUCCAGCCAAAUGCUCUUAUUUAACUUAGCUUGUAGCAAAUUAAAGCUCUUGAUGUGUCCCUAUUCCUUUGUCAUAUCAUAUAUAGAAUCCGAUUUCUCUUCUUUGGAAAGCUCGCUCAUUCUCUACCAAUACCUUUCUAAGCGGAGAACCCAAUAUAUACUUCGUUGAAAUUUGUUUCAAGUGUUUGAGAUUUAAUCUUGAAAUUUGAUUCUAAGGGCCUUCCAUAAAUUUAAUAUUGAAAUUUGAUUGUGGAAAUAAAAAUAACAUUUCGGAUCAGUUCAAGAUUAAAGUCAUGAAAAUUUUCUUAUUAAAAUUGUAUCUUAAAGAUUAAAUUGGAUAUCAUCAUUCAAGAUCAAGUCAUGAAGGAUUUUGAAUCCAAAUUGUAUUGAAAAAUAAUAAUCUAAAAACCCUCUACUUUAAGAGUAUGAUUAGAGAGUGAAGUAGACUACUUCAUCGAUUCAAAACUAUGUUGUCAGGAGUCGAAUUUAAAUUAUAAAUUUUUUAAAGAACUAAAAAUGUAAAUUCAUUAUUGUAAUAAUGUAGAAUUUUACAAUUUUUUAAACUAUAAAUUUUACAAUUGUACCAUUAAUUAACUUAAAAACCCUUCAUUUUCUAAAAGGACUAAAUGGAUAUUUUUGGUGGGGAGUACAGCCCUCCUCUAGCUUUGUCCUUGUCUUGUGAAAACACUUGGAUCAAGAGUAUGGUUGUCCAUGGGUCAAGUCAAGUCGAGCCAGGUGAAAAAAUUUAGGCACGAUUUUUAGGCUCAGGUCCAGCCCAAAAAAUGGAUCUAAAAUUUUGCUCAAACUUGGUUCGAAAAAAAUGCUAAAAUCCGAGUUCAGCUUGGCUUGUCCGUAUUAAAAUUUUUUCUACUAUUUUUUAUAUAAAAAUAAAUUUAAAAAUAUAAUAUAUUAAAUACACUAAAAACAUUAACAUAAAUGGAAUUUUUAAAAAAAAUAUACUUAAGUAACACUAAGAUUGAUGCAACUUAGCAAGCAAAUACCUCUAAAAUAGUAGCAUAUUUAAUAAUAAAAUAAAAUUUAUACAAUAUUCAAAAAAUAACAACAAAAUAAUAGCAAUAUGAUAGCAAAACAAUAAAAUAAUAACAAUAAGCAACCGUAUUUUUUUUUUCAAAUUCGAGUAGAGUCCGGGCUAAAAAAAGCUUACUCGAGAUGUAGUCUGUUUAAAAAACAUGCCUUAUUUUUUUGUCCAAGCCCUUUUUCGAGUCUAUAUUUUGCACAAACCCUCUCACUUCUCGAGUAGACCACCUGUCCUGACCAAUGGACAAGUAUAAUUGAGAGAGAUUGUAACUUAAAUGUUUCCUAAAAAAUAAUUAUUUAUCUUCGAAUUUUAUUAUUCAUAUUUCACAAAAAAAAAGGUUAAAAUGAUAUAAACAUGUAAUAUGCUAAAGAGUUAAAUAAAUUAAGUAUUCUAGAUUUGGCUUCAUUUGGAAAAUUGAUCCUCUAAGCCUCUACUCUUUAUAUAAACACCAUUGUAAAUUCUUUGAAAACAAAAAUGAACUCUUCAAGUUCUAAAUUAUUCAUUCUUUCAACAUCUUUCCUAUUAUCAAUUUCAUCCAUAACGUCAAAUUCAGUUCUUGAUAAUUUCCUCCAAUGUCUUCCAAUACAUUCCAACACUUCAAAUCCAAUUACAAAUUCUAUAUACGUUCCCAACAAUUCCUCCUUUCAAUAUUUAUACGAAUUGCGUGCAAAUAACCUUAGAACCAUAUCAUCUUCCACAAUAUCAAAACCUUUGGCUAUUUUAACUGCCCGACAUGCCUCCCAUGUCCAAGCUGCUGUCAUUUGUGCCAAGAUCCAUAGUAUCCAAUUAAGAAUCCGAAGUGGCGGCCAUGAUUACGAAGGCUUAUCGUACGUAUCCGACAUCCCGUUUGUCAUCCUCGAUUUGUUCAAUCUUCGGUCGAUAAAGAUCAAUAUCACAAGCGAGACGGCGUGGGUUCAAGUCGGGGCGACGACGGGGGAACUUUAUUAUAAGAUAGCUGAGAAAAGUAAAGUCCAUGGAUUUCCAUCGGGAGUUUGUACUACGCUUGGCAUCGGUGGACACUUUACCGGAGGUGGAUAUGGGAAUAUGAUACGAAAAUACGGACUUUCAAUCGAUAAUGUAAUCGAUGCUUGUUUAAUCGAUGUCAACGGUACGAUACAUAACCGUAAAUCAAUGGGAGAAGACGUGUUUUGGGCUAUCCGAGGAGGUGGUGGAACUAGCUUUGGUGUUAUCCUUUCAUGGAAGAUCAAAUUGGUUCAUGUUCCCCGUAAGGUCACUGUUUUCAAAGUGCAAAGGACAUUGGACCAAGGUGCUACGGAUAUUGCAUAUAGUUGGCAACAUAUUGCACCUAAGCUGCCUAAAUAUUUGUUUAUAAGGCUUCAACCUGAACCUAUAACAAUUGGCAAUGGAAACAAAACAAUUCGAGUUUCUUUCAUUGGCCAAUUCCUUGGAAGAAGUAGAAAACUUAUGAAUCUGAUGAACGAGGAAUUCCCCGAAUUGCGUUUACAACAAAAUGAUUGUAUCGAAAUGAGUUGGGUCGAAUCGACCCUUUUUUGGGCCGGGUUUACCAAUGGGACCUCCAUUGAUGUAUUGCUUAAUCGUGUGGUGGAGAAUAAAGUGUUCUUCAAGACCAAAUCUGAUUACUACAAAAAUGUGAUUCCCAAACAAGGACUGGUGAUGUUAUGGGAAAUGUUGAUGGACAUAGGGAACAUUUUCGUGCAACUAAACCCUCACGGUGGACGAAUGGACGAGAUUUCAGAGACUGAAACGGCGGUUCAUCAGAGAGGUGGGUACCUUUUUAAGGUCCAAUAUACAGUUUACUGGUCGGAGUCCGAUGGAGGGAUCGGUGCAGCCAAGCGGUACGUUGAAAUGUCGAGGAGAUUGUACGGCGCAAUGGCUCAAUAUGCGAGUAGUGACCCUAGGGAGGCGUUUCUUAACUAUAGAGAUCUUGAUAUUGGUUGCAAUGAAAGCAAUGAUACGGAUUUUGGUGUUGCGGAGGUUUAUGGGACUAAGUAUUUUAACAAUAAUUUCAUGAGAUUGGCUCGUGUGAAAGCCAUGGUAGACCCUGAGAAUUUCUUCAAAAAUGAACAAAGCAUUCCACCGUUGCCAUCAUCUCAUUGAGGUGCUUAGUUCUCACAUGAACCUAUAGAAUCAGUUGAAACGAAAUUUAAUUUUCUGAAUUUUCUUAACUUCUUUGGCCAUAUGCAUGAAUCGACUUCUUUCCUUUUACUUUUUGUCAUUGUUACUAAAACCAAUUUGUUGGUACUUUGGAACACGAGGAGGGAUCGAGAUUAAAUUAUAUAUUUUUAUAGGAAUUAAAAUGUACUUUUCCAUUUGUAUUGGUUUAUAUUAUUAUGGGUUUCAAAAGAACUAAUUCAAAAUUCUAGCAUUUGGGAGGGGGGUUAAACUAUAAUUUUAUCAUAUAUUAACUUAGGAUUUUAUAAACUUUUAGAUUCUAAAAAAGGAAUUUUUCAUUUUAGGGGCAAGGGUCCCUACAAGCCCCUCCUUUCGCCCUUUAUUGCUAGGAGUGAUGGUUAUCAAUCCCGAACAUGAAUUGUAAAACUGAAAAUAUUUAAAAAAAAACGUAUUCAAAAUGUUACCUUUAAUUUUUUUUAAAAACAAUCUCAAUAUAGGUUCUGAUCAUAUCUACUCUUUUUAACAUAAUGCCUAGAACUACCCAUAGCUCCUCUCUAACCUAUAAAUAGGAGGAUAAUGUGUUUCAUUGCACUCAGACCCACAUCCUCUUGCAUUAAAAACUAUUCUUAUACCAAUCGAACUAAGACUCAAUCGGCUUAGCUUUUAUUUUUUAGGUUGCAAGGACAUGGAUUAUUUAAUGGAGCAAACUUCAUUGUUCAAUUUCUGAAUUUGAAGGAUUGAGAUUUUUUUCUAUUGAGAAUAAAUAUUUUAAAACCUUUUCCAUUUUAUAUGUAUUAUAAUUCCUUGCCUUAAUGUUUGUAUCUUGAGCCUUUAUUUGAUUUUAAUAUAUUCAAUCUAGUAUACAUGUCUCAAAUUAUGAACAUAAUCGAUUGAAUUAUCUAAUUAAUCAUACAAUUGAAUCAGAAUUUGUUCACCCUUAAUUCAUAUACACAUCUCUCAAAUUAAGGAUGUAUUUGAUUGAAUUAUCUAAUUAAUCUUAAAAAUUACAAAUAAUUAUUUAACCUUUUAACAUUCUAGUGCAAGAAAUAUACUUGAGAGAUCGAUCAAUUUAAAGAAACGAUAAGACUGCAUUAAGAAGUUCCUCUUUCUUUGAUAUAAAAACUCAAAUCAAAAUAAUUAAUGCUAAUUUUAUACUUCAUAAAAACAUAAGAAUGUAGAAAGAUAAUAAUUCAGUUUCAGUAGCGAUUGAUUUAAAAUCACGAAAUUUAGUCGAUCAAGAAAUAAAUUAAGCUAAGGAUUGAAGAAUAAAUUUCAUUUAGUAAAUUUUAUAUAUGUUUCUUUUUGCAUUCUUCAAAAUUUUAUUUCAAUAUUUAUAAUGCUAGCAUAUUUCCCACCCCCAAUGCUAAUGCAGAACUAACAGAUAUCAUAUAUGUAUAUGACAUACAUGCUUUUUAUAACAGAUUCACCAUGCUUAGCAAAUAACAAAUUAUAAUUACAUAAUACAGAUCAAACCUAGCAUAAACCUUAUUAAUCAUGCGUAAAUAACUCGUAUUUACCAUUAACAGAACAUCAGAAAUGAGCUUAUAUUAGUAGUUGAACCUAAACAUGUCCUUAGUCUAAUUGGAAAUGUACAAACCGAUUGAAAGACUAAUAUGUUGUCUACCAAGUCCAAUUGGGAAGAUGCUUUGUCUUGGCCAUCGGAGCGAAUGACUCCAGAAGAUAGAGAUAUAGACAUGACCGGCUGGACUGACAGUACAUUAGUCUGGACCCAAGAAGAAUAAAACCUGAAUCUAUUUAUAGAUUUAUUUACUAGUGACGUUCAUAGUAUGAGAUACCUAAAUCUUGAGCGGAUGAUAGAUUACGUAUGUGUGAUUCGUACACUUUAAUGUAAUUAAAAACCUUAGUUCGAAUAGAUAAGGAAUCAAAAGCUGUUGCGUUGGGUGUAUGACUUCUGUAGUAUGUAACAUCAUUCACAAUAGUGGGAUUCAUAGCCCGAGACAUGGGUAAAUGAUAUCCUCUCAUUGGCAUUACAUGGUUGAUGAAAAGUGAAUAUGGCCACGGGUCGUUCGUCUCUGUGAUAGAUGACUUGAUUACUAUUUGAUAGUAAUUGACUUUUCAUGAAAGAAUAUAUAAUGGUUACCAUGAGAUAAAAUAGGAUCAUAUUGGCAGAACGAAUAUUACCCCCAAAAUAUUAAUGAUACCCUAUGAAGGUAACACACUUAUGACAAGGUUAGUGGACAAACACUGAUCGAGUUGCUUUCAUAAUGGUAUGCUGCUGGGAAGAGUUCAGACACGAUAUUAUAGUGGAAUAACUUUGUGACCAAAUAAGUUUAUAAUUAAUAGGCGAAAAUGGAAAAAUGGGAAACAUUUGGAGAUGAUUAUGGUUUUCUCAAAUAUGAAAAUGAAAAUGGAGAAAUAGAAUCAUUUGGAAAUGAAUGUGGUUUUCUCCUAAAUGAAAAUGACCUGAAAAAUGAAUUUAUGUUUUUCAAAUUAAAUGAAGUUCAAAAAUGAAAAUAAAUCAUUUGGUCAUUGUUGACACCAUUUUUUUGGAGAAAAUGAGGUCGACUUAGAUUUUUAAAAAGAAAACAAAAAUGGGAGUCGCCACCAAUCCUUUUUUGAUGAGGUGUGAUCGAUCACCUCUUAAAACGGUUGUUUUUAAUAAUCGAUCUAGAUUUAUUAAAACAAUGCUUUUGGUCUGUGAAAUUCAGAGAAAUAGGUUCGGGAGUCGGUUACGCACGAGUAAGUGUUAGCACCCUCGAUACGCCCAAAAUUGGUACCUAGUUGAUUAAUUAAUGUCUUAGUGUCGAAGAUUGAAAACUCGAAAAGAUUUCAAAAAAUACGAUCCCUCUUUAUAGUGUUACUUUAAGAUUACUUGAGCAAAUCAAAAUGGGAAAUGCCUCCUUAUCUCGAAGUAACAAGAUGUCACAUCCAGUAAGUUAGGACACGACACCUCGUAUUUUUGAGAGUAAGCUUGCCUUUUAUUUUUUAUUUAAACCUUAUUUGUUUUAAUUUUAAAAGGAUAUUCGGUUAUUUAGGACCAACGCGAGAAAAAUCGAAGCUCAGUAAGUUAGAACACGAUUUCUUGAAUUUUCUAAAUACGGAAUAUUGCCUUUAUUUUCGAAAUUUUACCCUUUAGAAUUUUGAGUACGAAUUAAUAGAAUAUUUAAAAACCAAAUGCGUGCAAUUUUGAUUAUAUUUGAAAAGAAAUUGUUUAAAAUGGAAAGGGUGCCGUACACGACCUAUAAUUGAUAUACAACAUACAUUUAAAAUCCUUAACAUAAUAUGCAUCAUAAAUAUACACAUAGCAUUGAUACUAAUAAAUCGAAAUGCAUGAAUAAUAAUGUAAGAAACAAUAUAACAAUAACAUUAAUAUGAUAACAAAACAAAUACAAUCCUAAUGAGUCUAGAUUUGAAAACAUUUGAAGAUAAAUGAAUAAUUAAGAGAAUGAGAUUGCAAUAAUAAUAGCAAAAUAAAAUAAAAUAAACAAGACAAAAAUUUUAAAAAAAAUUAUUAAUGAAUGAACAAAUAAAAUAAAGCUAACAUAAAUUUAACCAAUAAUUAAAAAUAGAUUAAUAAAUAAUAUUAAAUAGAAUAUUAAAUAAACUUGUUUUGUUUUUUUUAAAUAAUAAUAAUAAGUAAACUAGCUAGGGACAUAGUCGUAAACAAACUGAAAUUUGGGGGUCAAAAUCGUAAAUAAAAUAAAGGUUGCCAGGGACAAAAAUAGAGCGCUCUGAAAAUUCCAGGGAGCAGAUGAGCAAAUAUGACAGGCACCUUAUGGCAGCAUUUUAACCUAGGGUCGGCGUAAGGUUCAAGGACCGAAUUGAAACGCCAGCAAAAUUUGCAAUCCAAAUUAAAAAACUAAAAAAAACUGAUCGCGCCACGUUGUAAAAGUGGAGGGACUGCAUGCGCAAAAAACCCAUUUGUGAAAACGCGCGGAUCCCCCUGGAGCGGGUCGGGUCGCGCGUGGGUAGAUGCUAAAACGACGUCGUUUUGGCGCCUGAAACCAUGGCUCAAAACGACAUCGUAUGGUCCCUCUAUAAAUGUCAAAAAAAUUAACAAAAAAAUUUCUUUCAGCCUUUUUUUAAAAAAACAAAAAAAAACUCUGUAUUCUCCCCUCUCUCAACAGCCCCCCACAUCUGGCCAUAGGUUCCCCUGGCCUCCAUCGCGCCGCCGCCGUGGCCAGUGGGGGGCAUUGCGCAAAAUGGGCCUUUCGGCCUUUGCUUCGCAGCGCCCUCGAAGGCUAGGCCUUCUCAACCCGAGAGACCGAAAGAAAAGGUCCCUAGACCCCUCCCUUAUUCGACUCCGACGAUGGCGAAUGGGGACUCCGACGCCAGGCUUACAGGCUGAUUCAGGUAAGUUUCUUCCCUUCCUUUUUUAUUUGUUAAAACAUUUGUAAAUAAAUAAAUAAAUAAAUAAAUAAUAGAUGAUUAAAAAGAAAAAAAGUAAGCGAAAGAUAAAAUAAUAAAAUCUCAACCUUUUUCAACUUCUAUUCUGUUUUUUUUUAUUGUUUAGUGUGUGUAAAAAAUGUACAAUGAGCAUAUCUUAGCUUUUAUAGCCCUAUUACAACUGUUCAUUUUCAUCUUUUUUGUUUUUUGCUCUUUAUUUCUUUGUAUUCUCCUGUUGCUUGCAUUCAUUCUUCUCUGCAGGUGUCAGACGAGGCCGAUGGCGGUGGCAGGGUGCGUGCAUGAGGGAGCCUGGCAGCAUGCGGCGCUUGGAGGCUUGGGGGCUAGGGUUUGCUGCUGCUGAAUAUUUUUGUUGUGGGCUGCGGUUGAUUUGGGCCUAGGGUAUUUUAUUUGGGCUGGUUUAGUAAUGGGCUUUAGUUUGGGUACUAGGCCCGGGUCAAAAAUUGGUCUGUACAGUCAUAAUUAACAGUUGAAUGAAGAAAUAUUAGAUAUAUUUUGUUAUAAAUUCUUUUACGGUAAAGUUUUAUGAUUUUAACGAAAUUAAAAUUGGGUUAAGAAAAUUAUUUAAUUAGAAAUAUAUUAAAGUUCAUUUUAGGAAAUAGAAAAACUAAUAUUGGGUUGGAUCAAAUUAUAAAGUAUUGGGUUAAAAGCCUGAGAAAUACUUGUAAUUGGACCUGAUAUGGAGAGGCCCACAAGCCCCUCAUGUUAAAGAGGUGGACGACAGACCCUAGUAACAUUAACUAAGGUUACCGCCCCCUAUACUCUUAUUAGAUUAGGAGUUUGUUUUUCUAGUUGAAAUAAGCUUUUACGAUGCAACAAAUAUCAUUAUUUUGCUAUUUACCCUAUAAAUAAAUGACACUAGUAGGGCUAUUUACCCAACUUUCAAAUAUCAUUAUUUUGCUUGAAAAUAGAGACACUUUUAUUCUUUAAGAAUUAAAUAUAUUUUCCGGAAUAGCAAUUCUAUCAGUUUCUAUUUGAGAAGAGAAUUUUCAUUUUCACAUUAAAGAAAAGAAAAUUAUUUCUAGUUUUGUGUUUGAUUUGAAUCUUUCAAACUCACACUCGAAGCAGUUCGUGGUACAAGAAUAGAGAAAAAUAUUGUUUGGUUGAAAGUCGAGAAUGACAAGGAUCAUUUUAUCGAAAAACACAAGUGCAAAUUUGGUCUAGUGUUUAUUGCUAUAUAUAUCAUAAACCGAGUCGAUUUUCAAAAUUUUUAUUUUUCGUUGUGUAAAAAAAUCGUCUUUAAAUCGAAUUUUUUUAAAAACUAAAACUGGGACCAUAUAGUAACUUGCACCAGACUUGGACUCUCUAGCUGGGUCUUAAAAACAGGCCUACUUUUACCAAAAAGAUGGUAUUGGAGCUCUUUCCAAAUUGGCAAAAUUAGACUGAAUCCAAUCAUCGUCACAAUUUGUUGAGAAGAAAGUAGACAGUUAGUUGGGUAGUUAGACUCUAUUAGUAUAGUUAGUUUGUUAAUCAGUUAGCAUGUAAUUUAUAAAACUAGUGAGUUUGUAAUUAUAGAUAGACUGGUAGUUUUUUACUGAAUGUACUAUUAGUUUUUUCCAUUCAUCAAUAAAUUCUUGAUCAGUUUUUCAACAUGGUUCCAGAGCUCCGGUGAUCGUUGUCUUUCGGCUAUUCGCGAUUGUCGUCUUUCCAGUCAUUCUUGGUUGUUUAGUACUGCUUCCGAUCAUUCCAGUUUGCUCAGUAUUGUAGGUUGAUCUUGUAUUUGUUUCUAGGUUCUAUAGGUUAAUAGACAAACCCAUUUCCUGUUGGUUUCUACUGGCCCAAAUACGUUUGUUGGACAAAGUCUGGUUGUUAAUAUAGGGCUUUUUUCAUUUGUGGUGUUUUCUUCCUGCUCUUACUCGUUGACAUUUUUUUUAUUUUCAACAUCGGAGUUUUUUUUAAUCAUGGUGAAUCCUUCUGAAUCGAUUAUUGAUUUUAAUCAUCCCUUUUGCCUGCAUCCAUCCGAUACUCCAGGUACCUUGUUGGUGUCUCACCAGUUGCUUGGAGUUGAGAAUUAUAAUGUUUGGAUCUGGACCAUGAAAAUCGCGUUGUCAGCCAAAAACAACUUGGGGUUUGUAGACGGUACUUGUUCUAAGGAUUCAUUACCAGAUGAGAUGGGCUAUCAAUGGGAGCGGUGUAAUGCCAUUGUCUUGUCUUGGAUUUUGAAUAUAGUUAGCAGAGAGCUCUCAGUAGGGAUUAUUUUUGCAUCUAGCACAGCAGCGGUGAGGAACGAUCUUGGUGAAUGGUUCCACAAGGUUGAUGGUUCUAGAUUAUUUUUUGCAUCAUGAAAUCACCUUCAUUUUCAAGGUACUGCUUCCAUCUUUGUGUAUUUUACUAAAUUACGAUUGUUCUAAGAUGAAUACGAUGCUCUUGUGCCCUUUUCUUCAUGUGGAUUUGUUCAGUUACAGCAAAAUGUUAAACAUGUUUUGCAACAGCAUCUAUUCCAAUUUCUAAUGGGAUUGAAUGAAACAUAUAAUGCGAUGCGUAGUCAAAUCUUGUUAAUGAACCCAUUACCAUCUGUCAAUCAAACGUACUCUAUGCUCGUGUAAGAGGAAUCAUAGAUGCAACAUAGUUCUAGUGUUGUUGGGUUCGAUCCAGUCUCUUUUCACUCAGCACACAUGGUACAAAAGAAACGUUUUACUGGAACUUGUGAUCAUUGCAAGAUUAAAGGGCAUAAAAGGGAAAGUUGCUAUAGGAUAAUUGGUUGCCCUGCAGAUUUUAAGUUCACUAAGAAGAAGGCAAACAAUGUUUUUGGAUCCGUAGUGAACAAUGUUUCUGUUAAUGAUAUUGUAAGUGGAAAUGAAAUGACUAGUGAUGUUGGUGUAUCUAGUCCACAAGCACAUGUGUUUACUCAAGCAUAAUAUCAGCUAAUCUUGAGUUUGUUGAACAAUGAGCCUAUAGUUGAAGCUACUGUAAGCCUAGCAGGUAUGGUUGAUGUAGGUCAAAAUUGGAUUAUGGAUACUGGAGUUACUGACCACAGUCUCUAUGAUUUCCAAUUCUUAGAAUCUCCUGUUGCAUGUGCAUCGCAUUCACAUUGUGUUCGAAUCCCAAAUGGCUAUUUUGUUUCAAUUACUCAUGUUGGCACCUGUACUGUUCAACCUAAUCUUCAUCUUACCAAAGUUCUCUAUGUUCCCAAUUUCCAUUAUAACCUUCUUUCUAUUUCUAAACUUACUAAUGAUCUUAAUUGCGUUGUUUCGUUUUGUCCUUAUUUUUUUGCCUCAUACAGUAUCUCUUAAGCGGAAAGAUGAGGGGGAUUGGUAGGGAGCGAGGUGGUCUUUACAUCCUAGAACCUUCUGGAUAGACUAGUGUAGCUGUGACUCCGUCUGUUGUAUCUGUUACAUCCAUUGAACCAUCAUUUUUUUGGCAUACUAGACUUGGCCAUGCUUCUGUUUCAAGAUUGAAUAAGGUGCUUAAUCUUCCCUGCACAAUUUUGAAUAGUGAUAGCAUACAACAAUGUCCUAUGUGUCCUCUUGCUAAACAAACUAGACUUCCAUUUCCCACAAGUACAUCUUGUGUCGAUACUAUUUUUUCUCUUAUUCAUAUAGAUUUGUUGGGGCCCUAUCGAGUUUCUACUCAUAGUGGCUAUAGGUAUUUUUUAACCAUUGUUGACGAUUACUCAAGAAUGACAUAAGUGUAUUUGUUAUGAUAUAAAAGUGAUGCUCUUGUAUAUCUCAAACAGUUCUUUGCCUUGGUUAAGAAUCAAUUUUCCACUAGCAUCAAAUUCGUUCGUAAUGAUAAUGGGUAUGAAUAUUUUAAGACUAAGUGCAACGAAUUUUUUAAUAUGUUAGGCGUUGUACAUCAAAGCUCGUGUGUUCACACUCCUCAGCAAAAUGGAGUUGCUGAGCGUAAACAUAGACAUUUGCUUGACAUUGCUAGGUCUCUCGAUUUCAGUCUCAUAUGCCUAGUAAAUUUUGGGGUGAGUGUGUAUUAACUACAUAUUUUUUUGAUAAAUCAACUACCUACUCCUCUCUUGCAUUAGAAGAGUCCUUUUGAACUUUUAUAGCGUAAACCUCCUUAUCUUUCUCGUAUAAAAGUGUUUGGAUGUCUUUGUUAUGCUACCACACCCAAUUAUCAUGAUAAAUUUUCUCCUAAGGCUAUUCCUUCUGUGUUUAUGGGACAUUCUACUGUUCAGAAAGGUUACUUGUUAUUCAAUCUUGAAACCAAAAUUUUUUUUUGUUAAUUGCGAUGUUGUAUUUCAUGAGACCAUGUUUCCUUUUGUCUUUCCCACAAAACAUUUUUUUUUAUUUUUUCCUAUAGCUGAUAGCUCUACUUUUCAUAAUCUGGAGCAUUUGUCUUCCAUUCCUAUCCUUUCACCAUCACCUAUUUUGCCAAAAACUUCUUCUUCCCAAACCUUACCAACUGAUACUACUUUACCUACUCAAUUUUGCAUCCUUCCUGAACCAAUUUUUUUCCCAUCAAACCCCUUACGACGCACCACACUGUCUGUCAAGCCACCUGCCUGGAUGAGAGAUUAUGCCUGUUCCAACCAAUCUUCCGCUUCCCUUACUACAAGUUCAUAUCCUAUUUCUCAUGUUUAUUCCUCGUUGCAUUUACCUGUUCACAUCCAAUUGUUUGCAACCUAUAUUUCUUCCCUGACUAAACCCCAAACAUAUGCUGAGGCCAUCUCGGAUCCAAGAUGGGUCUAUGCUAUGCAACAAGAAAUUCGAGCUUUAGAAGACAAUGGUACGUGGGAGGUCAUUUCUUUACCUGCUAGUGUUGUUCCUAUUAGGUGCAAAUGGGUCUAUAAGAUCAAGUAUAACUCUGAUGGCUCUGUUGAACGGUUUAAAUCCCAAGUGGUAGGGAAAGGAUACAAUUAGCAGGCUGGUAUUGAUUUUCAGGAGACUUUUUCCCCUGUGGUUAAGCAUGUCACUGUUCGGACUAUUGUUAGUAUGGUUGCCAUGAAUGACUGGCCCUUUUUUCCAAAUGGAUGUUUACAAUGCUUUCAUGCAAGGAGAUUUGUGUGAAGAGGUUUAUAUGAUCAUUCCAGAUGGUUUUCACAACAGGGGGAGCACAAAGUGUGUCGUCUGCUCAAAUCAUUGUACGAUUUGAAACAAGCUUCUCGGCAAUGGAAUUUAAAGCUUACUAAGGCAUUGUUGCAAGGAGGUUACACACAAAGCAAAUAUAACUAUUCCUUGUUUUCCAAAAGAGAAGGGGGUAACAUAGUCAUCCUACUUGUCUAUGUUAAUGAUAUGCUAAUCACAGGAAGUGACAUUGGUAUAAUAAAUGAGCUUAAAAAGGUCUUGCACCAAAAUUUUAAGAUGAAAGACUUGUAACAACCCGAUUUUGGGCCUAAUCGGAACAGUGGUUUUGAGAUCACAAAUCUGACGAGGAAAAUUUUAUUUUAUUAUAUUUUUAUGGUCUACAAUUUCACAGAAUAAUUUUGUGAAAAUUUCAUUCGAAAAUUUCGACAUUUGAGCACUCAAUUUAGUAAAAAGGACUAAAUUGUAAAAAGUGCAAAAAUUGAGUUCUACAUGUUAGAACUGUACAAUUGUUAUGAAAUUUUAAAUUGGAGAUCCUUAUAUGGUAAUUAGACCAUUGGUUAAGUUGGUGGACAAAAAUGGACAUGGUUAGGCAUGUUUCCAAAGUUUUUCAUUAAGGGUAUUUUAGUCAUUUAGUAAUUAAAAUGAAUUAAAAAGAAAAUUAAAAUCCAAUUUUUGUCCAUAUUUAAGCUAGGGGCCGAAAUUUUCAUGGAGAAACCAUGGCUAGGGUUUUUCAAGCUUCCAAGCUCGAAUGUAAGUUCGUUCUAGCCCCGUUUUUAAUGAUUUUCACGUUUUUGAAAUCCUUGUAACAUGCUUUAUUUAUUCCUACCAUUUAUUUGAGAUAUGAUGAAGGUCUAGGUUUUGACCCAUGUUAGAAAUUUGUGUAUUUUGAUGGUUAAUGGUAGAUUAUGCAUGUUUAUGGUUAGAGAAACAACUUUUACUAAGUGAUUUUCGGUGAAAAUGCAUUAAAGGACUAGUUUGUAAAAAGAUUGUAAAAUGUGUAUAAGUGUGUGAAUAAGUGAAAAUUGUGGACUGCUAUAGUUAUGAAAAUGGUUCGGCUAGGCCUAAAAUGCAAGGAAAUUUAAUAAAAAUUAUUUUACGAGUCUAGGGGCAAAAUUGUAAUUUUGUGAAAUUUUAGGGGAAAAAUUUAAUUUUGCCAAAGUAUGAUUUUUGGACUAAAUUGAAUAAUGUGAGUGUUAAGUAAGUUUGUAUGUGAAUAAUGCAUUGUUUUAACUUUAUUUAAUAUAUUGUUGAGAUAUGAUUGAAUAUAGAAUAAAUAUUUGACGUAGAUUACAAAAAUGUGGUUAAAUUUGAAAAAGUUGGUAAAAUAUUGUAAAAUAAGGUUCCCGAUUAAACACUCGAAUUAGACCAAGAUUCAUUGAAUGUAAGGGGUUGUUAAGUGCAGAUUCCUCGAAUCACUAAUCAAAAAGGGGUUGCUAAGUGCAGAUUCCCCGAAUCACUGAUCGAAAAGGGGUUGCUAAGUGCAAAUUCCCCGAAUCAUUGAUCGAAAAAGGGUUGCUAAGUGCAAAUUCCCCGAAUCAUUGAUCGAAAAGGGGUUGCUAAGUGCAGAUUCCCCGAAUCACUGAUCAAAAAGGGGUUGCUAAGUGCAGAUUCCCCGAGGGGUUGCUAAGUGCUAAUUCCCCGAAUUAUUGAUUCUAAAGGUGGUUGCUAAGUGCUGAUUCAACCGUAUCCUUGAUUGUGAAAGGGUUGCUAUGUGCUGAUUCCCCGUAUAACUGAAUAUAAGGUGGUUGCUAAGUGCUGAUUUCACCGAGUAACGGUUAAUAUUUCGAAGUGUUCAUCAGGGAAAUUGGACAAGUGAAAGUACAUGUGAAAUGAAUAAGAUUACGUGAUGAAUACUGAGUUCUAUAUUUAAUCAACCCUUGAGUAAGAUGAUAUGAAGAAAUGAAACUAUUAAAGAGUAAAUUUAGAAAUAAAAUAGUUUUGAACAACAGUAGUUGUGUGACUUUGAAAAAUCACCAAAAAUGGUUGAAAUUGAAUUAGAGGUUGAAUAAUAUAUGCAAUUAAAGCUGAAUGAGCCUAUUUUCACAUAAAAGAGACAGAGAAAACAAAAUAUUUUUAUAUUAUGAGAUAUUUGAAUUUUAGUGAGACAGGGCCAGAAUGAUUUCGAAAUCCCCUGUUCUAACUUUGGAAAAUCAUUAACAAUUGUAAAAAAAUAAUUAUGGGCUAAAAUUUAUAUGUUUAGAAUACUGAAUGAGUCUAUUUUCAAAAGAAACAAACGAGAACAUUAUCCAAAUUCUUUACAAUGAGAUAAUUAAUUUUUAGUGAAGAGGGGUUGGAACUGUCAAGUAGUGAAAUAGGGGAAACUUUAAAGAAUAAAUUGUACUUAUUAGCUAAGCCAAAAAUUCUGAAAAUUUUAUGGAAAAAAAGAUAUAUGAGUCUAGUUUUGGGAAAAAUUAACAUAUCUUAAUUUGGAGCUCUGUAGCUCGAGAUAUAAAUAAAUUAGUGACUCUGACUCAGACAGACAGCUUGAAUUUACAUACAGGAAAAUUGUGAAAGUAUGGAUAAUGUUGUUUAAGUGUGUUAUACACAUUAAGGAUGUGGAAUGGAGAGGAGGAGGAGGAAAAUUGGAAAAUAUAUGAAUUAUUUGUGUAUAAUUAGUCAUAUGUUCGGUUAUAAUUGAUAAACGAUGAAAUAGAAAUGACAUUUAUAUUUGUGCAAUUAUUGGUCAUGGUUUAAGCUCAUGUGGGAAAAUAAAGUUUCAUAGUGUGUGUGUAUGGUAUAUUGGGUAUAUGAUUUGACAUGAAGUAAUGUUAUGAAUGUUUUAUGAAUUAACUCAUGUUGGUAAGUUUGAUACAUGAACAAAUAUUGUGCUCAUCAUUGCUUAUAAUGCUUAUGCUAUAUGUUUAUUUGGCUAACAUAUUUGGAUAUAUGCUUAGGCUUUGGCCAAUUUGUGGCUGGAUUAUGCCACGUUAAACUUAUAAGUUAUGCAUUGAAAUGGUAAGUGCCUAAAUGAAAAUAUGUGUGUGAUCAAGAAAGGGGUGAUAAGAUUCAAAUUAUGUAAUCUCUAGUGAAAUAGUUUAUCAUGUGGUUAGUUCCAAAAAGAAUUAUGUUUAAAUACACUAGCUUGCGACUAUGGUUGAAUGAUAUGUUUAUGUCUUGUGUGAUAUGCAUAGGAAACGGGUAUAGAAAGGUAAUGAAAUAGUAAGUUCAUACUUGAAGUGUAAAAUAACGAAAAAGGGGAUAAUGAGUUGAAUUAAUGUUAUUUAAGCUAAAGUGAUAUUUUCAUUGCAAAAUUGAGAAUUUCAUAGAUGUGUUAAUGAAUGGUAUAAUCGAUAAACAUUGAGUUAAAUGGUAAAUACGUAUUAGUAUUGAUCUUAAUGAUAUUGAAUUGUAAGUGAAUUAAAAGGAAAUUGCUAGUGAUAUGAUUUGAAUUGUAAGCAUGAGAAAUUGUGAAAUGAAUGAAAAGGAAAUGAAGCAUUGAAUUGCAUGAGUAUGUAUCGGGUCUAGUAGUCCCUAUUUAUUAUGAAUAUAAUAUUUUGAGGAUAUAUAGUGAAGAACUAUAAAAGUAUGUUAAUAAUUUGAAAUUUUUAAUUUAGAUGAAAUUUUAUAACUAGGUUCAAUACGUUUACAAGUGUAUGUGUUCUGGUAAUGCCUCGUACCCUAUUCCGAUGUCAAAUACGGGUAAGGGGUGUUACAAGACUUGGGUGCAUUGAAAUAUUUUCUUGGAAUAGAGGUUUUGAGAUUAAGUGAAGGAAUUGUGUUGAAUCAAAGGAAAUAUGCGUUGGAGUUGAUAGCUGAUGUUGGGUUAGGAGAAGUAAAACCAGUGAGUACGCCCUUUGAACAAAAUCAGAAACUCACUUCGAUUGAGUAUGAUGAAUCUGUACAUAUGAGGGUUGAUGGCGAUGAAUUGAUUACUGAUGUUGCAGUAUAUUAACGACUUCUAGGAAGGUUGCUAUAUUUGACCAAUACACAACCAGACAUAUCGUUUGCAGUCCAACACUUAAGCUAGUUCAUGCACAAACCAAAAAAAUCUCAUUGGAGGCUGUUUUCUGGGUGGUUCGAUAUAUAAAAAAAAAUCCUGGUCAAGGUAUCCUGUUGGCUGCAUCUAGUAAACCACAACUUAUUGCAUUUUGUGAUUUUGAUUGGGCUUCAUGUCCCAUGUCCAGACGAUCCGUCACUGGUUUUUGUGUUAAGCUUGGAGAUUCUCUCGUUUCAUGGAAAUAAAAAAAAUAAACUAUUGUUUCUCGAUCGUUAGUAGUGGCUGAAUAUAGAAGCAUGGUAGCAGUAGUAACAGAGGUUAUUUGGUUGGAUGGCUUGUUGAAAGAAGUCUGCCUUAGUUAGCUUGACAAGUCUUUACUUUUUUCAGAUAGUCGGGCAGCAUUACAGAUUGCAACAAAUCAUAUCUUUUAUGAACGCACUAAACAUAUAGAAAUUGAUUGUCAUUUUGUACGAGAUAAAAUUGGAGAAGGUUUGAUUCAAAUGUAACAUAUUGGGACAACUGAACAGCUUGCAAAUUUGAUGACUAAAGCUUUUGGAAUCAAGCAGCAUGAAUAUUUGGUGUCUAAGUUGGGAGUUAAAGAUUUUUAUCACCCCUCAACUAGAAGGAAAGUGUUGAGAAGAAAGUAGACAGUUAGCUGAGUAAUUAGACUCAGAUAGUAUAAUUAGUUUGUUAGUCAGUUAGCAGGCAGUUUAUAAAACUAAUGAGUUUCUUACUUAAUAUACUAUUAGUUUUUUUCCAUUCAUCAAUAAAUUCUUGGUAGCUUUUCAACACAAUCAUCAUUCUGACUCAUCGUUCCAAGUGACAUUAAAUGAUUUGUUCUUUGCAGGCUUUUACUAAAAGUGCCAAAAGCAUUCAUAUUUAUGGCAUUUAUUUCCUUUUUCGUUUCGUCGGAAUUUGUGUCAUUGAAAGCAACUCUCCUUCUGCCUUUGCUAUUAUUGCUUUUUAAAGCUCAUUACUAAGAGAGCAAGUUGUUCUUAUAACUCUCCUACUGUCAUAGUUGUGUCAUUUGUGGUGCCUUUGGAGGUAUCAACUCCAACUUUCACACUUAGAGCUAUAUUAUUGCCUUGCUUAACUCUAUCUUUCUGUUCAUUUCAAAUCUCCAUAAUGAACCAAUUAGUUCGUUAAUGCUAUUACCUUCUUCAACAGCGGCCACAUUAGUCCCAAACUUUUCUCGAAAACGAAUAUUUUACGUGAAAAACUCUUAUUAAGAAAAUUACGAGUAGAGAAAGAAAAUUUUACUAAUGUUAAAAAAUAAUAAUACUAGAGGUUUUCGGCCCUUGGACCUUCGCCUCACAUAUCCCCAAUUUUACCCCUUUAUUUUUUUUUAAACAAGUGAGUUGUACAUCAAACCUUUCAAACCGGAUCAAAUGGGAUUUGGAUCACACAAUGCUAACAAUAUAAAUGUGUAUAAAAAACAUAAAUAGAUUCAUAUAUCCUAAAAUUUUCAAAGUUGGUGGUAAACAUUUGAAGUUUGGGCAUUUUAACCUUGGAAAUUCUUUCCUGGGUAGUCUCCAAAAUGUUCCAAGCUUCUCAGGGUGAGACACAUUUGGAAUUUCCUGUGAAAUCUUGUGGAUCAAUGCCAUUAAAAACAACAUACAAGUGUUUAAAAUUGUACUUGGCAGCCUUGUCUUCUUCUAGCUUGCUUCAGGCUUUAGUGUAAUUUUCCUAUGUUUUUUCAUAAAUUGAUUUGGUAAAAGUUAAAGGUUUUCUUAUAAGAAUAGUUUAGAUAUGACUUGUUUAUGUAUCGGGGUGACUCAAUUUAUUCGAGUCCAAAUCAAUUUAAAUAAUAAAAAAGUAUUUGUAUUUAAAUUUAAUGAUAAAAAUGUUAAUAUAAAAUACAUUUUCUAAUAUUUUGUACAUUAUAUUAACAAAGUGAGAAUUUAAGUUUAAAUUUUACGAAGCACCCUUAUUGAUAGGGCUUAAUUUUUAACACCAUUGACCUUGACAUGAAAAUCGAGAAAUCAAAAACUGAUUUCAAUUAAAGUGUUUUUAUAGCUUACAAAAUACAAAUUAAAACUCAAAUUUAGUAUAUAAAAAUAGAAAAUCGAACCGAAUUAUCAUGAAUAAUUUGAAUUUUUUUAAAAAAAGCCGGGCCGAUCUUUUAUUAUGUGCGGGCCUUUUGCUACUGUUUUGGUUUCUUUAAUUAUUUGUGUAGGGCUAGUUUAAGAAUUGUUAAAAAGCUUUUACUCAGAAAAAUAUUAAUUAAGUUUGUAAGGAAAAUAUAUAUAAUUGAAUUCAUCUGUUAACGAAAAUUGUUAUUGAUUGAUCUAAUUAUUUACAAAUACCGAUAAAAGUAGUGGGAAGAUAACAUUGGACACAUAAAAAAAUUAUUUAAAACACGUGCAGAAUGAACUUGGAUAAACGGAAGUCUAAGAUCAUAUUAAUGUGGAUACUUAUUUAUCUAUAUUCAUUUUAGAUGUGGUUCAAAAUAGAUUAUAUUAAAACAAGCAUAUAUAUAAUAAAUAUUAAAAUUAUAUUUAUAUUAAAUAAAAAAUAUAAACUAAAAUUAUCUUAAUGUUUUUUAAUGUAUUAUAUUAAAGUUAAAUAAUAGUUAAAAUUAUAUUUAUAUUGAAUUAUAACACAUUGAUGGUGUAGUGGAAAAAAUUGUUUAUAAAAAUUUUAUAUGAAAAAUAAAGUAGAGUUUGAUAUGAUUACUUAUUUUCAAAUCCUAUCAUGUGUCGAUAUGAAUUGAUUUUUAUAAAUUUUAUAUAAAAUAUAUAAAAUAAAAAAUACUCUCAAAAUAAUAUUUUUUACAUAAUAAUAAUAUUAUAAGGGUGUUUAUAUUAUUAUAUAUAUUUUUAUUAUAUAAAAUCUAAGAAAAUACAUUAUUUUUUUCAUCGUUUUUGUUAUUAAAUUCCACCUAAAUAUUAUAGUUGGGUUAUAAUCUAAUGUUAAUAUCCCUUCCUUCAAUGAAUCAAAAAGAAAAAAAAAAUUUCUCCUAAGAAAAAACAAACUUUUCUCCUAAAAAAAGUACGGAUACUCGUGUAUUAAAAGUUAAAUUGUAUUUUGUCAUAUUUACUCAAAAAUAAAUAAACCAGUCCCUAUAUGUUAGAAAUUGAUUCUUUUUAUUAAAAAUUUGGGUAAACCAUAAAAAGAGUCACUUUUGUUUGUCUCAGAUUUUAUUUUAGUCACUUAUGUUUGAAAUGUUACGUUUUAAUCACUUAUGUUAUCAUUUUUUUAUGAAGUGGUCAGUUUGUCGUUAUGCUCCAUUACCUCCCUAACGGCAAUCCUACGUGGCAGUUCAAAUGGGUUUUAAAUACCAACUGGGACGAGAAUAGGUUUUUAAUUAAAUAAAUUUAAUUAAUUGAAAAUUUUAAAUUAAUUACACCUUGAACUGGAAAAGAAAAAUCAUUCAUCUCCUUUUUCUUUUAGUUUUCUUUUCCAUUUUGACUGAAAAAACUAUUCUCAUCCCAGUUGGACAUCCAAGUCAGCAUUUAAAACUCAUUUGAACUGCCACGUAAGAUUGUCAUUAGGGAGGUAUGAAUCUUAACGACAAAGUGACUACUUCAUAACAAAAUAAUAACGUAAGUAACUAAAACGUAAUAUUUCAAAUAUAAGUGAUUAAAAUGUAAUAUGAGGCAAACAAAAGUGACUAUUUUUAUACUUUACCCUAAAAAUUUCAUCCAUUUCUACUGUUAAAAACUAGUAUAACUGACGGAAUAAUCAGACAGUUACACAUGAAAUACUACGUGUGCUUCAUGCUGACAUAUAAAGACUAAUUUUUAAUAAUAAAAAUGAAUAAUUUUUUUAACAGAAUAACCCUUUCUUCUUUCAUCUUGAUCUAGCUUACAUUAAUUAACUGGUGAUAACUUGCAUUAAUUAACUAGUGAGGUGGGGCAGACAAAAUACUCACAAAGCCAUAUGGGAUCCAAAGGAGACCUCAAUUCCUUGACAAUGGGAAGGGAACGUGGUGUAUGAGCAUUGAGCAAUGUAGGUAAAUUGAGUUAUUGACUCGAGGUAGGUAGCAAUUAAUUAAUCAGUGGGAAUUGGUUGGGCUGACAAUAAAGCAUCAAAUGUGCAUAUCUCUAGACAGCCCAAAUUCAGAAAUUUUGCUGUAUGUGUUUUCUUUUUCUUCUGAUGCGUACAACAGAAUCCCUCAGUAAUAUCUUAAAAGAUCACAUAGUAUCAUUUACAAAAUAAUAAAAAUGAUAUGGUGAUCUUUUUAGGUUAAAAUGUGCUACAAGUCCCUAUACUUUUCUUAAAUUUAAAAUUUAGUUUCUUCAUUUUUAUUUUUAGGUAUUUAAUCUCUCAACUUUUCAAAUUUCAAAAUCUUGAUCCAAUAGUUAACCUCCUUAAACAUUUUCUACUAAAUUCAUUGGGUUCACAGUCUGAAAUAAAGAAAUACCAACGUUGGUAACCAUGCAACAAGAAAAAUGAUGUUGUAAUGAAACUGGUUUUAAUAGAAUAUUGGAUUUGAAUGUUUACAUCUGAAAAGUAGUAUUAUUAAACUGAAAAAUUAAAUGCUAAAUUUAAAUUAUAAAAUUUGUUUGGUAUAUUAUUUAACAUUAAAUAUUGAAUAUAAUUAAAUAUUAUUUUAAUCACAUUUUAUCCUUGAAUGAAUCUGCCACCUAUUCUCAGAUCACUAAGAUUUUCCCACUAUCGCACUUACGUUUUUUUUUUUUUUUGUCUAAUCGACAUCACUUAGGGGUUUACAUUAAGCGAGUGGACAAUGAUGUCCAUGUUUAUCCCUAGAUUGUUUACUAUAGACACACGGAAAUGUCAACAUUGCUAUGAAGAAAGGUAGAUAGGAGUUGCUUGCCUUGAGGGUUAAGGAGCUUGUUAAUGCUCAUGGUACGUUCUGAGUUUUGUUAAUUGAGUUGGAGUAGUUCCACCUCCAUAGUUGAUUGUGCCAUUAGCUACGCAUGCUGUAGGUGAUUAAGAUCUUCUAGAGUUAAAGCUUGGUCAGAGAUGACAUGAGCUAAAUUUUCAAGUUGUUAGUGAGGGUCAUGCCUUGUCAGGAUAAAGCUGUGAGUAAGCACCGAUAUUUCGAUAUGAGAUGUUUCAAUAGGUAUUAGAAGGGUGCACAAGAAGUUUGGUAAUGGACAUUAGUGAGGCGCAUGCAAUGGGGUCUUGGAAAGUCUUUACCAUCGAAAAGAGGGGUGUUAGCUUCAAUGGUAGGAUUCAUGGCACCAAUUGUUUCAAUCAUUUGAGACAGAGAUGAGAUAAAGAGAUUAUGCGCCAAGGAUGAUCAAAGGCUUGCAAGACUAAGGGUAAAUUAUAGGGGUGCCAAAGCUUGUGCUCCUAGAUGUUGCCCGAUGCUUAAGUCAGAUAGAGGACACUUGUAGGCUUAGGAGAAUAUCUAGGCAGAGUAUAGAUAACACAUGAGCUCAUACUUGAGGAUAGAGCCUCUCCUUCACCUUGUAUCCUAUCCAAGAUUGCUAGUUCCUUCUAAGGUUUAUGAUCGUGGGGAGCAAUUCGUGGUCAAUAGAGGCGCAUGUCCUUGGUUUGUCAUUACUGUGCCUUCAACCUCUUUGUUGGCUCUGCCAUCUCACUCGAGUUUGCUUACAAAAUUGCACCUGAGUACAAAUCCUUAUAUGAAUAAUGAUAAUUGUUUUCUCAGUUAUCUUCUACCUAGAACAAGCAUAUUAUAUAUAAGAGUUUAUGCUUGCUAAGGUACAAAUCAAUUGCAAUCGCACUCUCCAUAAAUAGCCAAUAAAAUAAGGAUUGAGAUCUUUAAAAUAUUUUAAAGUUAGCAUGAUCUGAUCUCUUUAAACAAUGAAACUUAGAUUACAUUGAAAGAUUUCGAUCCGAUUUUGUGUGAUUUAAUUGUGCACAAUUGUACAUAUUUUGGAUUAAAAGAUUGUAUUAAAAAAAUACACAAAUCUCUUCUUUGCUAGAAUACUCGUCCCUAUUAUUUGAAAAUUAUUUAUUUAUUUUCUCGAGAUUUUAUAAAGGAAAAAACUAAACUCUAAAUAUGUUUAUAAAAAUAUCAUGUCAAAUCAUGACCUGAAUCUGUUUAUAAAAAUAUAAAUAUAUUUUUAAGGUGAUAAUGUGAACAAAAAAAAUUUAAGGACUAAGUUGAAAAUUUUACCAAGUUCAAGGGCUAAAUGAGUUUAUCCCAAAAAAAAAUGCAAAAUGGUUUAAUUGUAUGUUUAAUGGUUUGUCGGUUGGCUGGUUUAAUAAAUUGCAAAUGGAAAUGUAAAAACACAGCAGAAUAGGUCAAAUUUUGUUAUUAGACCAUGUACUUUGUAUACGUUGUAGAUUUAGUAUUUAUACAUUAAUUUGAUCAAUUUUAAUCCUAACCAAACAACAACAGCUAAGUAUAUUUAGUUAAUUUUAUUAUUAGUCAUGUAUUAUGCAUAAAGUUGUAAAUUUAGUCAAUAUUUUUCAAUUGAAUCAUUCUUAGUCGCUACAUAUUUCGAUUUUCAAAUUUUCAAUUUUUUUUCGAGCAAUGGUGAAAAUAACAAAUUGACAUGGCUUACAGAUGCGACAACAUGUUUACCACAUCAAAUUUUGAAAAUAAAAAAAUUAAUGAAUUUAAUAAGAACCAUUUGGUUUGAACUAAAAUUUUAAAAUUCUAAAAGUACAUGAAUCAAAAAUAAUCAAAUUAAAGUAUAAAAACUAAAUUUACAACUUAUGGAUAAUACAAAGACUAAUUGUAGAGUUUAACCCUACAGAAAAGGAUCUUCCGACUAUGAUGACAUUGAGGAUCGUACUCUCACAUUGAACUACACGAGAUAUCGGUUCAGUUCGAUUCGGCCGAGAUUUUUAAAUUUUUUAAAUUAUUCAUCAUAAUUUGAUAUCUUUCUUAAUUUAUUUCAGAGUCAGAUUUUUAUUUUUUAGAUUUAUUUCUUGAAACGUGUCAUUGACAGCCUGUAUAGUUUUAUUUAUUUUGUACGUUUAUUUGACUAAUUUAUUUUUUUGGCCAUUGCAGAGGCCUGCCUAAUUCAGACCUUUUGUUUUCACUAAAUUAUUGUAAUUUUGAAUUAUAAAAAGAAAAAAAAAUAGAUUUUGAGAUUAGAGACGUUGAUAGGACGGGUCGGGUUGAGUCCAUGCAAAGUUUUUAGAUCAAGUUUCUAAGCCUUGGUUCGAUUCGAUCUGAAAAAUGGGUUUAUUUAUUUGCUCUCAAGCCCAGCCGAAUUGGAAAAAGGUAAACCCGAGCACGACCCAGUCCGUCCAUAUUUGAUUUUUUAGAUUAGUUUUUACUUAAAAAUAAUUUUUUUAAAUAUAAUACACUAAAUGCAUUAAAAAAGCUAAAAUAAAAGUUUUCUAACACAUUGAAAAGUAUUUAUAUAACACAAAAAAAUAUAAUAAAUGUUUUUAUUGUAUUAAAUAUAAUUUUUAAAAUUCUAUAUUUUGGGUUGAGUUAUUUAUUUGGGUAAGUUAUUUUUUAGAUUUUGGGUAAUGGGUUUAAUUGUUAUUAGAUUAGUGAUUUAAUAUAAAUAUAAAAAUAUAUAAUUAUUAUUUAACAUAUAUAAUUAAUAUAAUGUUUUUUAUAACAUAAUAUAUUUGGGCAUGGCUACGCUUAGGCUAAAAAAAAAUCUUGCCCAAGGCCCGACCAUAGAAAGCGGACCUUAAAUUUUACCCAAGCUCAUUUUCCGAUCCUCGUAUUUUUAUCUAAACCCUCUCAUUUUUCGAGUGGGCCUUUGAAACUAAGCAAGUAAACCGGCCCUGAACAAGUGUAAUUGAGAUAAAGUUCAAUUCUAAAAAAAUAUAAGCUUGAGUUUGAGUCUGGCUCAAGUAAGUUCGUUUAAAAGGCUUGUUUUACUAUUUAAAAAAUCAUAAAAAAAAAUAUUUUUAUUUAACAUUAAUUAUAUAAACAAUAAAAUAGAUCAAGUCGAUAUUGAAAAUAUAAACUCAAGCCUAGGUCAAUGUGAGUUGGAUCGGGCCACUCGACUCAUGAACACAUUUACAAGUGUUCAAAUCUCUUAUUUUUAAUAGAAUUGUGAAAGAAUUUGAAGUCCAAUCAUUUGGUGAUGAUGAUUUUUUUGGGUAUAAUCAAUGUAUAUUUAUGUCCAUUUUACGGUCCAUGAGAUUAACUUUUUUAGGACUCGUGGUUAUCCCUUUCAACAGUAUUAUCUUUAAGCUUUGAAUCUACAUUCCCCCCAUUGAAAUUGCAAUAUGUCUUACAACUGCACUCAAUGUUUGUUGGUAGUGAUGAUAUGAUUUUGUGUUCAUUUCGAUAAUUAUAAUUGUCGAGAUCCUAAUGCAUUUUUAGAAUUAUACAAAAAAUCUUAUACUUAAUUGCCACAAAAUUGAUUCGAGAUAAUACAAUCUCUAUAUUUGUUGAGGUCAGAGGUGACGUCAGGGGAGAGGGGGUUGGUAGUAACCUUGGCCCCUCCUAAGAAUGAAAAAAGAAUCAAUUUAGUCCCAUUAGAAGUAUUAAGAUUGUAACAAAUUAAUCUAUAGUAAAAUUGUACUUUAAUUCUUAAAAUAUAAAUAAAAAAUUUGUUUAAUCCUUUCAAAAAUAAUAAAAUUAUAUAUUAAUAUAUGAUAAAAUUUUAUUUUAAUCUCUCAAAAAAAUUAUAAUUCAAUUACGAUCUCUUUUAGAGUUAGAAGAUUGUGAAAUCACCUUUACCUGAUAUAGCUUGACGUACCAAAUUGUACAAACUCCAAAUCAAUUCCAAUUAUAAAUGUGAAAGUACUUACUUCCAAAGUUGUCUUUUUUUUCUUUUUCUUUUUAUGGCAUUUAUUUUUGUCUGAAAUUGUAACUCACGAUGAAUGGAGGGGUAAUAAAUUUGUAUUUUAGUACUAUUCAUCAUGUGUUUAAUCUUUGAAUUUAUAAUUAUUUUAUUUAAAGAUGAUAUAAAAAUAUAAAAUGAUAAAAGCAAAAAUGUUGAUAGGGGUAGGAUAUUUAUAUAAAAUAAACAUUUUAUAUAAAAAUAUAUUAAUAAUAUUUUAUUAAAAGAAAAUAAUUUUAGUAAAUAAAAUUACAUUUGUAUAUUUUAUUAAAAUACAAUCUAAAAUCUUACUAAUUAAUAAUAGGGUAAACUAUAGAAUCAAUCACCUAAGUAUUAGCGUAUUUCUGUUUUGGUCACUCGACUAUGGAAAUUUUCAAUUUAGUCGCCAACAUUUUAGAUGGUUUUUAUUUUGGUCACUCUUCGUUAAAUAGUUAAUAGAAGUGAUGAUGUAGCCUUUUUCUAAUUGGUAUAAUGACACAUUUAAUCCUCAAUACUUACACAUUUUAUCAAUUUGAUCCUAAUUCUAAAUAAUUUAAUCCUCCAUAUUUACAAAUUCUAUCAAUUUGAUCCUCAAAUACAUAUAUUUAAAUAUAAUUAUAAUUAUAUGUAAACAGAUAUAAUAAAUCUGGAUAAACUUAUAUGUAAAUUUGUGAUUUUAAUAAACCAAAAACUCAGAACCCCUAAAGGUCAAUAAAUUUGUGAUUUUUAUAAACUUCAUUCAUGAUCGUGCUGAUAGCAUUCUCAACAAAGGAGCGUAAUUUUUCCUAUGAAACCUAACAAAUAAAAAAGAGAAACGAAAAAGCUUCCUAUAAGCAUUUUUCAAAUCAUUAUCUUUUACAUUAUUGUCAACUUGAAGAAUCGUGUAAUAAUUUGCACCUAUAUAUCUAAGAAUAAAAUUUAUUGAAAAACUUAUCUUAAUCUAAUUUGUUUGCAUUUUAUUUAGAAAAUGAUGUAAAUUGUUGGGGUUUUCGAUUUUCCUAACUUGAAUUUACAUUUUUUUAAUGUUUUUUUAUUUUUUAGAUACAUAUUUUUUUAUAAUUUACAAUUUCUUUUAUAUUUUUGAAAAAAUAUAAAAUUAUAUAAAAUUUUAAUUUUUUAAUAUUUUUAUAAAAAAUAGAUUAUGGCAUCAUUAGUCACAACAUCAGAGUACCAUGUGUCCUAUAUUUAACAUCGUUACAAAAAAAUUACCAAAACACUUGAUGAAAUGAAAUUUUAGGUACCAACUUGGAAAAAAAAAUCAUAAGUACCAACUUGGGAGAAUGUAUCAAGUUUGAGGGGCUAAAUGCAUAUUUGAGUCUUAUAAUUAUAAUUAAAUAUAAACACAUAUAAUAUUAUAUUUUGUACUUUUCCAUAAUAUAUAAUUUAUAUUUAAUUAUAUGUACUUGAGAAUCAAAUUGAUAGAAUUUGUAAAUAUGAAGAGUUAAAUUUAUUGAAGUAUUUAGAAUUAGAAUCAGGUCGAUAGAAUGUAUGAGUAUUAAUGGCUAAAUGUGAUAUUAUACAAAUUAGAAAAAGGUCACAUCGGCACUUUCGUUAACCAUUUAAGCAAGAGUCACCAAAAUAAAAAUGAUCUGCCCAAUCAAACUCUUAAAUAAUUAUAUAAAUAUAUAUUUUAUAUUAAAAUCAAGUGAGCCUUUAGUUGAAAUGAUUAAAUGAAAAUAUUUUGUCUCGCUUUGGUACUUUCUCAACUGAAUCGGUCUCCGGUUGAUUUGUGUCACAAAUGGUAACAUUAUAAAUUUGUGGAUAAUAAUGGAUAACUCUAAUAUUUUAGUAUUUAUGUCAAUUUAGUCCAAAAUGAAAAUUGAAAAGUAACUAAGCAACAAGAAAUGAUUUAUCAUUCAAUCUAAAUCAAAUCAAAUAUAGGUUUACUUUGAAAAUUAAUUACUUUAAAACAAAAUUGAAAAUAGAGAAAAAAGAGAAGUGUCUUUUUGUCUUUCACGCGCCAAUAUGACGAGUAGACAAAGACGAUCAAACCAUUUGAAACCAGAUAUUAAUAUCUAAUCAAAUAAAGAUCCCCUCGUCGCCUAUAAUAUUUUGGGUAAAUAUCAAUAUUACUCGCUAGAUUAUGAGUAGGUUUUUGUUUUGGUCAUUUAACUAAUAAAAAUUACAAUUUAUUAAUAUUCUUUAUUUUUUGGUCACUAACACAUUUCUAGUUUGUAUAAUAAUAAUUUUAGUCCUCAAUUUUUAUACUUAAUUAUCAAUUUGACCUGAUUAUUUAUAAAAUGAUAAAAUUGAAAUUCUUUUUUAAAAUUUAGAAAUUUCUAAAAAAUUAAAUAAAAGUAGAUAAAAUUUUCAAAAUAUACAAAGCGAGAGAAAACGGGGGAAAUUUAUUUUUAAACCCUGCAAAAUUUCUUUCUGUAUUAUUUGUAUAGAAAUAUCCAAUACUCAUUCUUUAAAAAACUAUAGAAAAAAUAAAAAACAUUAAGCAAAAUUAUUAGGUCUCUGUUUUUUGCCAAUUUUGUUUCUUGACAUAGCUUUUUCUUUAGAAGAAAAGAAAAAUAUUAGAAUAUAAAUUGUUUUUACAAUUUAGGUUUUGAAAAAAAAUGAAUGGAUUGAAAAUUUGUAUUGAGUUUGAAAAAAGAAAAUUUUGUGAUAUAUUUUAUAUAUUUUGGCUGAAAAUGACAUUAGUUCGAUUUAACAAACCUCUAUAAUAUCAAUUCUGGAUGUUUUUCAAGGGCAUGGAACUCAACUUGAUGAGAUUACUAAUUUGGUUCGAGAAACACUAAAGAAACAUGUAAUGAUCUAACAUUUUUUGGGGUUUUGUUCUAUUUUUAAUUUGUUAUUGGAUUCUAUUGAAUGAUAAUUUUUUUAUUUCCUUUACAUAUUAGUUCUUCAACAACAACAUGUUCAAGAUUUUAUUUUUCUACAAUUUUUCAUAUAAAAUUUUCUACUUUUAAAUAAUUUUGAGUUUUUUUUAUAAUUUUUAUAUAGAAUCAAAGUAAAUUUGACAGAAAAUAUAAAAGCUGAGGACUAAAAUUAUUAUACCAACUAAAAAUAUGUCACUUAACACUCGUGUGACAAAAAAAACCAAUUUUAAAAACAUUAGUGACCAAAUUGUAACCUUUUUAGUUAAGUGACCAAAGCAAAAAUUUACCCAUAGUUUAGAGAUUAAUGGUGUAGUUUACCAAAAUAUUUUUUGGUAUGGUACAAUUAAGGGGGUUAGUACUUAUACACACGGUGGAGACAUAUUCACAUCAAACAUGCACACACUAUGUUCAAAGGGAGUUUUUCCCUUUUUUCAACAUUAGCGACCACAAUGUUUAGGUUGGUUCAAAAACCACAACCUGAGGUCGAAAUGGGUAAGAAUGAUGUCUUUAUAUUGUUGCCCAGAAUGAGUUUGUUGCAUUUGAGGUUGUGCUUAAAGUCGAGCAUGAUUGAGGCUAUAUAGAUGAGGGUGAGGUCUUGGGGACCCAGUAGGUGGAAGAUCAUGUUGUCAACUCCACAACCGACUCCUAGUUCAAUGACGCAAUGAUGGAGGAUAUGAAAAUUGAGGAGUUUGGGAGUAAGGGUUAUUGGUGUCGAUGUUUGUGGGCAAAGGCGGAGCCCAAUGCUCAGCAAAUAUGGCGAGAACUAAGGAAAGCUAGAAGUAUAAUAAAUAAAUUAUUAUUUAUAAAAUAAAAUUAAAAAUAAGGAAAGGUUGAAUUUGGUUUAAGUCUUGUUUGUGGUCUUUAAAUAGUUUAUUUGUAAAAUUAUCAUUUUAAUAAAUAUAUCAUGAUACAAAAAGAGGAAAAUGGAUGUUCAUUCAUUUAUAAUUUUGCAUGCAUUUUUACAAAAUUUUAUUUUUAUCAAAAAAUGAAAUUUUAACUUUUUUUAAAUUUUAAAAUUUUAAAAUCAAGAUUAAGUUGACAUAAUAUGUAAAGUUGAGGGUUAAAUUUGUUGAUUUUUUAGAAUUAGGACCAAAUUGAUAAAACAUGUAAAUAUUAGAGCACUAAAUUUGUUAUUAUGCUAAUGAAAAACGGUCACGUCAGCACUCCAGUAGUGAUCAAAAUAUUAAAAUUUGAUAACAGUAGUGACUAAAAUAGAAAAUUUUAAAUUUGUAUGACCAAAAUAAAAAUUGGUGAUUAUUUACACAAUUUACCAAUUAUAAUUAAAGUUUAUUUUAUUCAGAAAAGGACAAAAAGAAAGUGAGGGAGGUUGGGUUCUUUAUUUAUGUACAUAUACAGACAGAGAAGAAAAGGGACGGUUUUAGAGAGGCUUUCAUGGUUGAGUGAUGAAAAUUAAAUUAGGGGUAUGGUUUCAAGAAAAAAAAAAGUAAGCAAAAAGAGGAGAGUCUCUCUUAAAAGUAAAUUCGGAUCGAGUCUUAAUUCAAUUGAUAUUAUUGUUAUUUCAUCAAUAACGAGAACAUGAGUUUCAGUAUGUUUUUCUUCUUUUAUUUAAGGGCCAAAAAAGUUUUAGUUCAAUUAGUACGAUUGGUAUUACAGAAAUAAUGAGGACGUGGGUUUAAACAUGUUUUCUUCGAUUCAAGGGUUGAAAAUGUCUUAGUUCGGUUGGUACUAGAGGACGUGGAUUUGAGCAUAUUUUUUUCUUUAAUUUAAAGAUUAAAAGAGAGAUUAUGAGAAAUUUUAUCAUACACAUAUACAUGUGAAAACCACGUAUUUAAAACAAAGAAGUGUGUUAAAAAAUAACAUACAAUAAAAAAUGAAACGCAUGAUUUGGAACUAAUUAAUAAUAUCACAUGAGAUAUGUACGAUAUUAAAAUGAAAAAAAAAAGAUUAAAUUGUGACUAAAACGAAAUUUAAAAAUAAAAAUACAUCAAAUUAAAAAUACUACAUGAAUAUAAUUAUUUGAACCAGUUUUCUCUAUAUUUAAAAUAUUUUUAUUUCAUUUCAUAAAAUUUUAAUAAUUUAUUUAAUUGAAACGGACGAAUCGAUAAAAAUAGGUUAAGUAGUACUUAUAUACAUGAUUAUACGUGUUAAGUUGAGGUUUAAUAUGAAAUGUUUAAGUUGAUGCAUAAGUGAGAGUGAUAUAGACAAAUUUAGGUUGAAAUUGGUAUGAAUUUAGAAUUGGCUUAAAUGGUGUUUUAUUUUAUUGUUUUGAUAAUAUAUGUGAAGUACCUAUGAGGGUACAUUGGUUAGGAAACUAGGAUGAUUGUUUUGACAUGUUUUAAAGGUAUUAAAUCGUGUUUUAAAGUGAUUGAACGAUUGGUUUUUGAGUUGCUUGGUGUUCAAGGUUGCAAGGAAGGUAAACUUGAUGUUUAAGGUUCAUUUUGAGUCCACACAGCCAGACACACGGUCGUGUGAAUGGAUCGUGUGAGACACACGGCUAACACAUGGGCGUGUGUCCCCUGCACCUAGGAAAAUUUUUGAAAUUUUGCGAAAAAUUCUUGGAGUACCGGAUUUAUUUCUAACACAUAUUUUGGGCCUCGAGGGCUCAUAAAAGGGACAAUAUGAUUAAAUUAUGGUGUGUAUGCUAGAUGAUUAUAUAAUGUUCAUAUUUGAUCUGAAAAGUUCGAUAAUGCUCCGUAACUCUAUUUUGACGACGGAUAAGGGUUAGGGGGUGUUACAUUUUCAAGCUUAUCUUCAUAUAUUUUGUAUUUGUUGUUCAUCACUAGUUUAUAUCAUACCGAUUAUUAUGUACAAAAAAAUAGAUUGGUUAUUCAUUUCUUCUAUGAUUCAUUUGUACUAUUUUUCUUGAGAUUUAAGAUUUUAAUUGCAAUAAUCAAUGGAAAAGAGAAAACUUCUUUAGUUUGUAUAAAAAAAAGAAAAUAAAUCAUGGGAGAAAUUUAUAAUUUUUAAUAUUUUUUUGAAAAAUUUUAUUAUAAGUUCUGGUCAUAUAUGCUUUUUUUUGACACAAUGUCUAGAACUACCCAUAGCUCCUCCUCAACCCAUAAAGAGGAGGAUAGUGCACUUCAGUGCACUCAAACCCAUGUCCUCCUACAUUGACAACAAUAUCCAUGCCAAUCGAGCUAAGACUCAAUCUGCAUUUUGAAUAUUUUUAAAAUAGGAGGAUAUUUUUUAAAAUUUUAAAUAUUUUUUGGAUUUUUAUAAUUUUUUUAAAAUAAUUUUUUUACUUUUUUUGAAUUUUUUAAAAUUAAUUAAUUGCUCAUGUGACAUACACGUGGAUUGCAGUUGAUAACUUUUCCUUCCAUUUUGAGAUAAUUUAACAAAAACACAAAUUCAAGACUUAAAAAGACAAUUUAAAUAAAGAGCUAAAAUAAUUUUUUUUAAAAGUUGGAGGACCAAAUAAAUCAUUAUACCUUUUUUCUUUUAUAAAAUGGAGAUAAAUGUUGGAUUUCUAGAAACAUUAACUUAAAAAAAUAGUUUUAAGUACAAAUUAUAAUAAAAAAAAGUUUAGAUACUAAAAUAAAAAAAUAUUUAAUUUAAGUACCAAUCAGUAAAUUAAACCAAAAAAUAAAAAGUCACGAGCGGGAAAGUGAUUGUUUUUAUAUCUAUAAUGAUAAUAUAUAAAAUUUGGCGUUAUAUUUAUCUAUGAGAUGUGAUGACAUAAUGCCAUUAUUUUAUAAGAUCCUGUUUCGGCCAUUUAUAUAAAAUGUAUUACAUUAAUAAUUUAUAUUACAUCAAAACUUGAGAUACUGGUGCAUAUGAAAUAUUAAUAAAAAAAUUUACGGAUCAAAUUGCAAAAAGUUGCUAACUUCAGGAACUAAAUCUUGCUAUAUCCCGAGUUACUAUUUUACUAGUUUUCUAACUUUAUAAAAUAAAGUUUAGUAUUUAGUACACUGACUGUGUACUUUUUUUCUUCCACAAGUAAUUUUAAGAUAUUAUCACAAUGUUGAAUUUAAGUUAUAAAAUUUGUUUGGUAUAUUAUUAAUUAUAUUGUUUGAUAAAGCAUAAUAUACUUUUUUUCCUCUCUUUUUUUUAAAUAUUUAUUUUUUUAACAUUUUAUUAGAUCUUAUAGGGUACUUGUCAACCCGCUAACCCUGCUUGUGAAGUCUAAAAACUUCAAUAAUAAUAUACUAAAUACUUUCUCAUAAAACAAAUUACCAUUGUAAAAUAAAUGUAUUACCAUUUAAUAUUUAAGUAUUUUUCAUUCUAUUAGUAACAAGAAAAAAGAGUUUAAAUUAAUAUUAUAUUAUAAAGUGUUGAAAAAAAUCAAUCAACUGAAAACCCACAAUGGAAACUACUAGUCACUAGAUAGAAUUUUUCAUUAAAUAGCAAUGGCAAAUCCAAGGGGGCUGGCAGAGCCCAACCCUCAUAAAAUUUAGGCCUUUAAAAUUUUUUGCACCUUAGCUUUCUUAAAAAUAAUAACAUUUUGAUUUAAUUUUUUAAAAAUUAUAAUUUAUUUUAUAAUUUACUUUCGGCCAUUCCUAAAAAAAUUUUCUGGCUUCGCCUCUGUUAAAUAGUGUAGAAAAUGAUAAGUAGAUAGGAUUUACUUAUCACUUAAUAAAGAAUAAAUUCAAUUGUAUUUUAAUUCAUUAAAGAUUAUAUUAUGCUUUAUCAAACAAUAUAAUUAAUAAUAUACCAAACAAAUUUUAUAACUUAAAUUCAACAUUGUAUUUUUCUGUACUUAUUUUUUUCAGCACAUAAUUUUUCAUUUUAUCAAAAUAGCCUAACUCAAACUUUUACUAUGGUUUAAAAUAUUUUAUUGUUAAGACUUAAUCGUCAUAAAUAUUGUUGUCAAUAUAAGAAAAUGUGAGUUUGAGUGCGUUAAAGCAUACUAAUAAACUCUAAUUUUCCAUGUGUUUUAUUGAAGAAACUACACUUUCCGAGAGAAAUAUUAAGAGAAAAAAUAAUUUUCCAUGUGUUUUAUUGAAGAAACUACACUUUCCGAGAGAAAUAUUAAGAGAAAAAAGGAGCCCUUAUUUCCAUAAGAAAGAAAUUUUAAUUGCAGGAGCAUUAGAAGCUCAUUGGAACUUUACUUACCUACUAAUUAACAAUACGUUACAUAAAAGUUAUCAAUAUGGCUGAGAUUCCCUCUUAUAAAUAUUGCCCUUUCAUCUCUUUCUUUCUAUUCACUUAACAGUUCCUUUCAGUAUCCUGUUUUCCCAGAAAACUUUUCCUGGGUUUGGCUCUUGAUCCAACCCAUAAGUCUUUAGGGUUGGUACUGCUUUUUCAUGUCUCUUUCAUCUAUUUCAAGUUCUGGGUAGCUUUCUUUUCUUUUUUUACUGAAUCGUGGGAUUUAAUGUGUUUGUUGACAGUUUCAAAGAUAUGGCUGGAAAGGAGUUCACUGUUAAUCUGAACAAACCCCUUGUCUUCCAGGUUUCUUUUUUUUUUUCUUUUUACAACUUUCGGUUUUGCUUUUCGUAUAUUUUGGUACAAACAUGAUGACAAAGGAAACAUAAGCUAAUAACAUCUUCACAUGUUGAUUAUAAAUUGGUAAUGGCAGGUUGGUCACCUUGGAGAAGCUUACCAGGAAUGGGUUCAUACGCCUAUUGUGACAGAUGAAAGUCCUCGCUUUUUCAAGAGUGAUUUCAUGGAGGUAUUUUUACCAAUCUUUCCCCUUUGAAAUACCAUGGAGUAUCUUGUAAUGGGAGUUAAAUUGUAUUUUUUUUCUCUCUAAGCAAAUUAAGAGUAAAUUAGUUGUUUUUGUAGACGUACAAGCCAUUUGAUUAUUCUGUCAAUCACAUCAGUUUUUAACAAAAAUAAAGUCCUCGCUUUUUCAAGAGUGAUUUCAUGGAGGUAUUUUUACCAAUCUUUCCCCUUUGAAAUACCAUGGAGUAUCUUGUAAUGGGAGUUAAAUUGUAUUUUUUUUCUCUCUAAGCAAAUUAAGAGUAAAUUAGUUGUUUUUGUAGACGUACAAGCCAUUUGAUUAUUCUGUCAAUCACACCAGUUUUUAACCUGUUUGAUCUAAUGUAUAAAAAUUAAUUUACUUAACCUUUUUCAGUAAAAAAAGUAAAAUAUAAUUUAUUUUCACACUUUGAAAUACUUUAAUGAUUGCAUUACCCAAAUUCAAUUGGGUUCGAAUUAUUUUGAGUUUGGUCAUAAUUUGUGGUUGAAAUAGAUCCUGACUCGGACAGUGUGGUGGGUAGUACCAUUGAUAUGGGUGCCGGUUGCAAUGUGGUUCAUCUCAGUCUCGUACACAAUGGGUCAUACACUUCCCCAAGUUGUUUUAAUGUCUGUUGUUGGAAGUUUCAUUUGGACAUUCUUGGAAUACUGUUUCCACCGUUUCCUUUUCCACAUUGAAACAAAGAGUUACUGGUUAGUGUUUUCUUUUUCUCUUGGACUUACUUAUAACGCACAUACAUAUUUUAUGAGAGGAUGUAGUAAUUCAUUGACAACAUUGGUGAAGGGCAAACACUUUUCACUAUCUAAUCCAUGGCUGCCACCAUAAGCACCCUAUGGAUGGGCUAAGGCUUGUGAUUCCACCUGCAGAAGCUGCUAUACUAGCUAUAAUGGUAUGUAUAUAUUUAUAUGCAUUACUUUAUUUUUUGUUUUUCAUAUAUGGGUUGAUUAAGAAAAAUUAUUAUUAUUUAGAAAUAUUUACAAAAAAACUUUUAAAAUUUUGUCAAAUAAUAUUUAAAAGCAAUAACAUAAAGUUAAUUUUAUCAAAAUAAGUCUAAAACUCUAAAACUAAAAAUUAAUAUGAAAAAACCAAAAAUGGAACCGAGUGAAUUCAGAAAUUCUAAAAAAUCCAACCGAAUCAUCCCUACAUACAUUGCAUGGGUUUAGGGCUCUCACCUCUAUAAUUAGUAAUUUAAAAUUUUUAAAAAAAAUUCUUAUUGAGUUGGUGUUACGGGUCAACUAGACACCAUCUUUACUGAUAAUUUAUUGAAAUAUUAGUACUGACUACACUGAAUUAGACCAAUGGGGGUAGCAAUUUAAUGAGAGGUAUAAAUUCAGUUGAUUCGUGAACUGGUUGAGUCGAGUUAAAAAAAUCAAUUGAACUAAUUUUUACUAUAUAUUUUUUUAUUUUUACUUAAUUUUUAACAAUUUAUUUACCUUGAAUCUACCUUACAAAAUAUUUUUUUUAUAUAUGCAAAAUAACAAAUACUAAUACAAAGAUAAAUUUUACCAACAAAUAUAAUUUAAAAAUAAUGAAAUUUAAAAACAAGUUGGUCCCAUAUUAAUUAUUUCUAACAAAACAUUGGGAUAAGUAAAGUUUGAUAAAAUAUUAGUUAUUUGAUCUUCACGUGUCAAGUAGUGUUAAAAAAUAUAUAAUAAAAAAUUUAACGGUGAAAUUUAUAUUUCCAACUAAUAAAUGGGAAUACGUGGCCCAAAAUAGUGACCAACUUUUUAAGGGUAAAAAGAGGAAAAAAUUUAAAAGUUUCAAAAAGAUAAUUUAAGUCGCAUUGAUUGAGACUUUUAGGUUAAAAUCUUAGUUGAAUUAUGGUAGUUGAUAAAAUUUGUCAUUAUAUUUAUUUCUUAUUAAUUAUAUAUUAUGUUCCAGGGGUGAAGUUAGAAACAGAAAUUAAAUUGUAAUUUUACUAUUUUAAUAAUUUAUAUCUUUAUAUUUUUAAAAUGAUUAAAUAAAAAAAAAUUAUUUUAGGGGGGCCGGAGGCCUACUAGCUCCCCUAGCUAUGCCCCUGUCAUGUUCUAUGAAGACAACUUAAUUAGCGUGCCAAAUUGAUAAAUUAACAGUAAAUACAAAUAAUGCUAAUCGUUGGGUUGAGAUUAUUAAAUUAGAAAAAUAAGAUUACUUAAUUUUUAAAAUUUUAAAGUAUAUAUAUGAAAUUUCAAAUCUUAAACGAGAUUUAAUGUGUUUGUACCAGUUUUGGAACUUGUAUGGGAUUUUAUUCACUAUCUCCACAAGACCUGCAUUAUUUGGAGGUGGACUAAUUGGAUAUGUGAUAUAUGAUAUGAUACAUUACUAUGUGCACCAUGGCCAGCCUACCAAACAAUCUAUCAAAAAACUUAAGGUAUGAGACUCCUUUUGAAUUGCUAAUUUAUCCUUCCUCAAUCAUUAUCUAUAAAAAUUCAAUUAAAUUAUUGUUUUAGAUUUUUUUUCCCUUAAAUUUGAGGUUUAAUUUUUCACUUGACUUAAUUUAGUUUUUUAUGUUUAUAACGAUAUUAUUUAGUUCAAAUAGUUAGCAUUGUUGAUUAUUCUAGUUAAAAUGUUAAUGUAAUUUUUUUUCUUAAAAAUUCUCCUUUCGAAUUGUUUUUGGUGCUGAAUAGUGUGUUUUUAAGAAAAAUCUACAUUAGUUGGAAUAUAUAAUAAUAUUAACUAUUUGAGCUAACUAAAUAAAAGUAAAGGGAAUAGGGAUUAAAUCCCAAAUUUGAGUAUAAUAAAAGGAUCAAAAAGAGAUUAAUAUAUUAUUUGGUAUUCAAAUUUGGUUUCAAUGUUUAAUUCAGUAUUUGAGUUUAACUUCAAUAUUCAGAUUAGUACUUAAUUUUUUUCCUUUAUCCCAAUUAAGCAUUUAAGUUUGGCUUAAAUGUUCAAUUUGAUAUCCAAAAUUUUCUUUUGGUCCCAAUUACGUACUUAUGUAUUUUUUCACUAGAGCACAUGUGUCAAAUAUUCAUUAGCUGCUGUUUGAUUUUGACAUGAAAACUAAAAUCAGAUACCCAAAAACAGAUUUUAUAAGAGGCUAAACAAAUAGAUGCUUGGUUUGAUUGCAGAAAUAUCACUUGAACCAUCACUUUAGGAUUCAAAACAAGGGCUUUGGCAUAACUACAACAUUGUGGGACAAAGUUUUUGGAACCCUUCCAAAGACCAAAGCAGACACGAAGAGUGGAUAGAUGAUGAUGAUGAGGCUGACAAGCAUCACAUGAUUGCACCCUGUCAUGGCCUUGUCAAUGUUUAAAUAAUGAUUUUGCCCUCUUUACUUUUAUUGUGCUCAAUAAUGGUGGUUGGGAUUGUGAGGGAGGAUCUUAGCUAAGCAACUCACUUCAUGUCUCCUGUUGUACUGUGUUUUCCCUAUAAAUAGAUGAAAUGGAUAGUGUAGUUGUAAUGGUUUAUAAAACUUUAUGAAGGUAAUAAAUUUUAUAAAAUUUUAAAAAUUAUAUUUUUAAAUAAUUUAAUCAUAUUUUUAUUUAAUUUUAAGAAUUAUAUUAAUUGAUUUUUCAAUUUAUCAAACAAUACUGAAUUUAUCAAAUAGGUUUUUCACCUUAUUUAUUGUAAUUAAUUUUAAAUACAAUUAAUUUCAUGAUAUUCAAGAAAACAUGAAAACUUUUCAGUUCAAAUAAUAGGCAUUUCAGUCUAAUUUAUAAUAAAAAAUCAAGUGAAUAUUAACGUGUUAGUAUAAAACACAUAAUAAUUGAAAUAGAUAUUUCUUGAAAAGAAAAAAUAAUAAUAAUAUAAUUUAAAACCUGAUAUAUGAUGUUUAAGAAGCCCUUAUUUGAGCAUUUUCGAAAAUGUUUGGCCCUUAUUUGAACACUUUUAAAAAGGUUUAUCUUUCAUUUGAACACUGUAGUAAAAGUUAAGCCCUUAUACGAUAUUUUGAAAAUUUUAACCUUUUUGUGAGUACCCCUAAAAGAUUGGACCUAAUUUGAACAUUUAAUCUUUAAUACCCAAAAUCAUACGAUAUUGUGUGUAUGUGUCACAUCCCAAAAAUAAGGUUAGAAGAAUCGGAUUUGUGACAACUAAAAGUGGUCACGCCUCGAUUUAUAAGGUUAUCUUUGUGUGUUGUAAAUAAACUGAGGGUUUGAAACGGAUACCGAAAUUAGGGUCAUAAGUAAUUAAUUAAAGUAUUAAAAUGAUAUAAUUAUGUAUUAUUAUAUUAAUUAAUCUAAAACAAAACUUGAUUACAAGGUUUAAUUUGAAAACAGUGUGUUUUAAUUGAGUUAGGAUCUAACUGGAAAAGGGGUAAAAUGAAUUAAAAUAUUAAUAAUGAGACUUGACUAUGAGUAUUAAUUAUUGUAUAUAAACUAAAAUACGAAUGUGUUAAAAACUAUAAAGUUAAAUAAGUUAAUAACAAAAAAUUGAGUAAAUGUAUAAGCUAAUAAAUAAUAGGUAAGUUGAGUCCGAAAUAAAUAUAUACAAUUAAGAAAUAAAAUUAAGUAAGAAAUGAGCCUUAAGUUUGGUGGUUAAGUGCUAUUCCCCGAUCAAGAGGUCCUAAGUUCAAGCUUCUUUCUCUCAUCCCAUCAAGAGAACAAAUAUUAUUUGAGGUAAAAACUAAACAAGAAAUAGACUUAAGUCUAAUGGUUAGCACACUAAUUUCCUUCUCAAUUGACUCUAGUUUCCUUUUUAUUUCGUAAUUUCGCCAAAGAAGAGAUUCGAACCUGGAUCAAUUGGGAAAGAAACUAGCAUAAAUAAAUUAAACAUUUAACUGUUAAUACCCAAAGUCAUAUAUGUGGCUCCACCAUUGUUCGUAGACUUACCAAUUCGGAAAAGAAAAGAAAAAACCCUUAUUUAAGAGUUUCAACUUAGGGUGAGUUUGGAUGGGCGAUAGAGUGCGGUGCGGUGCAUUUAGCCUACUUUUUGACUCACGCUAUAAUAUCACUAUUGUAUCUAAUUUUACCGUCAUCGUUGUUUUUACACUAACUGCAAGUAAAUACACUACCUAUCCAAACCCAUCCUUAGUUAUGACAAUACAAAAAUACAUUAUUUUUACAAAGAAAAAUAUAUUAUUUUGAGAAUAUGUUUACCUUUUAUAUUUUUUUACAUAAAUCUAGAAAUUACAUACGCAUGAUAACCUAAAACAUUGUGAUUUUUAUUAUUUGAACUUUACCAUUUUAACCAAAGUCACAUUUGAUAUUUAUAUCAAUUUUUUAUAAAUAUCUUACAUAAAAUUUUCACCCACGUUGUAAAUAUACUAUAAUCUGAUGUUUAUAAAUUGUUCCAUAUUUAUAAAACUAUGCUAACAAAGUAAAAAAGGACAUGGGUCUCACUUAAUUAUUUUAAUUUUUUUUUAAAAAAAUUUAAGUACAGUUCAAAAGACAAAAUAUGGUUAGUAUGGGCAAAAUGUGAGGUUCUCAAGUUCCAUUAUACGUGGAUAUCAUGUGCAGAUUUUCAAUCUAGAUUUUAUUCUAAUUUAAGUCUCACUACGUACGAAUCUUUUUUUAAAAUUUAUUCCAAACACGUAUAUAUCAAAUAUAAUUAUAAUUUCAUUAAUACAUUAUUAUGAUUAAUUCUCGUUAUAGUUAUACGGGUAUAUUUAUUGUAACUGCCUAAAACUAGCAACCAAACACAAAAUACACCAGAUAAAAAGGAGAGAUGUUUAAGCCCACCCAAUCAACACCACCAAUUCCCACUACAAAUGCUCUUUCAUCUUCAACCACCAAACAUACCUAGAAUUAUGAAGAAACUUACCGAAUCUUCUAAAAUUCAUGUAAAUUUAUUUAAAGCCUUGACAAGGACAUCAUUAGAUGCAAAUAUGUUUGAUGUAUUGUCUUAUCCAAUCUUCUCAGUUGAUUUGGUCUUUGGAAGGGUACCAAAAACUCUGUCCCACAAUGUUGUAGUUAAGCCAAAGACCUUGUUUUGAAUCCUAAAGUGAUGGUUCAAGUGAUAUUUCUGCAUCCAACCAUAAAUAUAAGCCCAUUGUAAAAAAAAAAUUGGUUUUUGGAAUUUAUUAUAGCGUUUGUACCUGGGUUUAGUGUUUCUGACACUGUCUGCACUAGCUACAGAUGUAGCCUGGGAUCUUGGAUUGGAGCAUGAUAUACCUCUAUCUUUCCCAAAAUACCCCAAAGAAGUAGUGGAAUGGUCAUGAUAUUUCUUGAAUUUCUUUGAGGAAGACUGAUAUGACUUUCUGGUAAAUAUUUUACUUGAAGUUCGGGAUUCAAUCACAGUUUGUCUCUUUUCUUUACUCAAUUCUUCAGCUUUAUGUGCUCGGUCAAUCAGUUCAACAAAUUCUUUUAAUUUAAGAAUCCCAACCAAUAACUUUAUGUCUUCAUUUAAAUAUUCUUCAAACCGCUUACACAUUACCAUUUCAAUCGGGACACAUUCUCUAGCAUAUUUGCUUAGUCGAACAAAUUCUCUUUCAUAUUCAGAUACUGUUCUAUUCCCCUGCUUAAGUUCUAAAAAUUCUUUCCUUUUCUGAUCAAGGAAUCUUUGGCUAAUAUACUUCUUUUUGAAUUCGGUUUGGAAAAAUUCCCAAGUAACCUGUUCUUUUAGCACAACAAAAAUUAACGUGUUCCACCAAUGGUAGGUUGAGUCUUUUAACAAAGAUACAACACAUUUUAGACAUUCGGCCGGUGUGCAAGACAGUUCGUCCAAAACCCUGAUAGUAUUUUCUAACCAGAAUUUGGCCCUUUCAAGAUCAUCUUCAGUUGUUGCUAUGAAUCCUUCUGCCCCAUAUUUACGGAUUUUAUCUACAAGAGGCUUACCAGUUUUAACAAGUUCUGUACUUUGUGACAUAUCAGGAAUCGGUUGAGAAAUAGGAGGGGUGGAGGUUGUUGUACAGCCGAGUUUGUUCUUAAAAACUCUGUAAAUCACUCGUUCAUCAUUUAGAAUAAGGUUUCUUUUGCCUCUCCUCCUCGACGCUCAGAUACGGGCCUUCUACUACUAGAUACUGCUCUUUGUACUGAAGCUUGAGCAUUGCUCUCAGCUUCUUCGGAUUCAACUCGGUUGGAUGAAAUUAUUCUAUGAAAAAUAUAUUUAAAAUGGUCAGGAGAUAUCACACUAUCAUAAAUUAUAUAAUGGCAUGUAUAGCUAGACUCGUAUACGUUAUGUUAGCCCGAGAAUCAGCUAAACUGUAGCUCUGAUACCAAUAAAUGUAACACCCCUAACCCAUAUCCUUCGUCGAAACAGGGUUACAGAGCAUUUUUAGAGUUUACAGAACAAAUACAAUUAAUUAAUAUCAUUUACUAUUCAUAUCCGAAAUCAAUCAUAUUGUCCCUUAAAUGGUCUUUCGAGGUCCAAAAUAUACAUUUAAAACAAGUUGGGACUAAACCGGGAACUCAGAGAAUUUUUCGCAAAAUCGUAAAAAAUUUCCAAGGUGUAAGAAACACACGCCCGUGUAGCUAGGUCGUGUGUCUUACACGAUCAAGAGACACGCCUGUGUCUCAGGCCGUGUGGACAUUCGAAAUAGGGACACACAGUCGUGUCCCAGCUCGUGUUAAAAUUAGGGUGGUUACUGACUUGGGUCACACGGUCAAGCCACACACUUGUGUGCUAAGCCGUGUGAACAUUUUAAUUUACAUUAAUUAGGUACAGGGGCCACACGACCAAGUCAUACACUCGUGUGCCAGGUCGUGUGCCACACACAGCUGAGACACACACUCGUGUCUCUGCCUGCGUGAAAAUACUUGAGCAUUCUGUUUUGCAAUUUUAAAGAUGCAGGGGACACACGGCCAAACCACAUACCCGUGCGUAUGGCUGUGUGUCACACACUGCUGAGACACGCGCCCGUGUCUCUACUCGUGUGGACAAAAUAAGGCCAUUUCCAAGCCUUAUUUCUCACCCAAUUGGUCUUCCACUUACAUUAACAUUUUAAUACAUUCACAAUCCAAUUUUUAAUAUACUUACAAGAUUUCCAUCAUUCAACCAUUUCAAGAACAUAUCAAACAUAUUAAGGCCAUAUAUAUACACAUCAAAACAUACUAAAUUACAAGCCAGAUCAAAUGGCUAAUUUCAACCAAACACAUACAUACUAUCCAUGACCACUUUAGCCUAUACAUGCCAUUAUAACCAAAAUGUAUUUACUAUAUAUGCCGAAAUAAGCUGAUGGAUAGUGUGAUGAUAUCUUUGUCAAGCCUCCAACCCAACGAGCUUCUGAAUUACUAUAAAACAGAGGAAAUAGAACAAAGUAAGCAUGUAAUGCUUAGUAAGUUUGUAUAACGGAAAUUAACUUACCAUUUAAUUGCAUUUAAGGUAAAUAUACAUAAUAUAUUCAAAGCAAGUUGGCCAAUAGCCUAUACACAUGUAAGGGCCCAAUUUUGUCUGUGCCUUAAACAGAAACCAAAAAUAAAAAAAAUAGUUCAUUUACAAAACAUCAGGCCCAAAUUACAAGCCCAAAUUUAAAACCUAUUACCUAAAUUACAAAGCCCAAAAAUUCAAAAAACCCUAACAGCCCAAAUGUCCCAAACACCUAAACUAUUCAGUGUACAGAAACCCUAACCCUAGCCUUUUACGCCGCACCCUACCUAGCCGCCGCUGCUCCUUCCCAUGUCAGUACCACACCAACUCGUCUGCCACCGUCAUUAACCACCACCUGCAAAAAACAGCAAAGAACAUGCAAGGAACAGUAGAGAAAAAAUAAAAAAUGUAACGAACAGUGAAACAUAUGGGUAUAAAAGCCAUAACCAGAUCGUAAAGUUUUUUUUACUGAGAAAUAUACCAAAAAAAACAAUAUACAAAAAAGCAGAGAGUUUGAAAUAGAUUCAAAUAUCAAAAGGUGCUGUUUUUUAUUUUUAUUUUUUUGAAAUAGAUAAAUAAAAAAUAAUAAAAACUUACCUAUCAAUUUGUCUCCCCUCGCCAUCGAACAUUGCUGGUGUCUAAUGAGGCCAUUUUUUAUUCUCACGUAUUAUUUUCUUUUCUUGAUUUCUAAACCAAAAAUCUGAUUUAAAAGUUUUAAAAAUGGGAGGGCUGAAAAGGCCCAUUUUUGUGUAGCUCCGGCUACCGGCCACGGCGGAGUUGCGGCAGAGGCUCGCCGGUCUCCAUGGCCAAAUUUUGGGAUACCCAGAAAGAAAAGAAAGGAAGAAUUUUUUUUAAAGUUAUUCAAAUGAUUUUUUGUUCUGUUUUUAUUAUUUAUAAUAGGACAAAUACGACGUCGUUUUGAGCCUAAGCUUCAGGCGCUAAAACGGCAUCAUUUUAACAUUAACUCGUGACCCGACUCGAUAGCAUUUAAGAUCCUCGUGUUUUUAAACAAAAUGGUCUAUUUUCUUUAUGGGUCCUUCCGCUUUUGGACUCCUUUUCAAUCUGGUCCUAUCUGUUUUAUAUAUUUAAAAUUUUUCCACAUAAUUUUAUUUUUGUUUCAUUUUGGUCCAUAUUGAAACGACGCACUCUAAGGACUGGGAAUAAUUUCCCAUCUAAUCCCUGUACCUUUGCGCGCAUUUUACUUUGGACCAUCCUUCUGCCUUUUCUUUUUUUUUACAAUCUAUCCCUAAAAUUCGUUUAAAUGGCGACUUAAUCCUUGGUUAUUUAAUUUCAACCCUUGAUAUAUUUUUUAUAUAUGUUUUGUUUAUUUAUUUAUCUAUUUAUUAUCUUAUAUUCUUUAUAUAUAUAUUAAAAAUUAUAAUGUUUAUAUUUUCUUUAUUUAAAUACUUGUUGUUCGUAUUAUUUUAUCCUUACUACUAUUAUUUAUUUAUUAAUCCAUUUAUAUUAUUAUUAUAUUUUGUAUAUGUUUAAAGUGAGAUUAUUACAUUUUUCUACUUGCACAUUUUUACUUAUUUAUUAUUGUUACUAUAUUACUUUUUUUAUCUCGUUUUUACUAUUUUGUCAUUUCUUUUAGCAUCCUCGCAUUAUUUAUGGUUAUAUUCGUCAUGAGGCAUCUAACAUUUUAUUUCUUUUGUUCGUAUUACUUUAUUUAUUUUAUUAGUAAUGACACGAAUUAAUAUCCUUAUUAUGGUUAUAAUUAUAUUAUUAGUAUUAUAGUAUUAUUUUAUUUACCCAUUGUUUAUCGUCUUACCCAAACAAGCUUUUAAAUUAUUUCAUUAUCAUUAUAUCAUACAUUAGGCUUAAAUAUUUAUUCAUUUAUAUAUAUGCCCGAAUAAGUUAAAAUGCCCAUCUCUGUAAGCAUCAUGUUCGUUUUUUUGCACAAUGAAUAAAAAGAAAAUUUUAAAUCAAAACGACGUUCAUUAUUUUUGGAAUUAGAAAAGUCGUGUUCCUAACUUACGGAAUAUGUAUUCUUUCUAAAACCGACAUAAUCGAAUAUAUUUUAAAAUAAAUAAAAUUUUUAACGUUUAUUCUCGUUUUCGGGGAUUUAAGGCAUUGUGUCCUAACUUACGGGACGUGAUCCUUUUUCUCGAUUAACUUGAAACAAACCCCUUUUCGUGCAAAUGAACUUAGUUAAGUAAUGUUUUAAUAAAAGAUCAUAUUUUAAAAUCUCUUCAAAAUUUCAAUUUUUAACACUAAAGACACCAAAUAAUCAACUAGGUACCAAUUUUGGGUGUAACGAGGGUGCUAAUCGUUCCUCGUGCGUAACCGACUCCUGAACUCAUUUUCUGGAUUUUUUGUAGACUGAAAAACAUUGUUUUAAUAAAUCAAACAUCUUGUUAAAACGAUCAAAUUACGAGGUGACCCGAUCACGCCUCAUAAAAGAAUGAUUGGUGGCGACUCCAUUUUUGUUUUUAAAUAAAAAGUCAAUUUCGAAAAAGGGUCUCGACACACAUAUCCUCAUAAAAAUGUUAGUCAUUUAUUUCACUUGAAUAUCAAUAAACAAGUAUGACUUAUCAUUAAUCAAGUUUCCUUAUUCAUGUACCUUCCAUAUCAUGUAUUCAAACUUCAUAUACAAGUCAUGUUCAUGUAGUCAAAUAUAUGUCCAUAAUCUUUUAUCACAAAUUCAUAUUGUUAUUUAUCAUAACUUUACUCGUUGAACCACUUAUAAUAUCGAUGGAUACAUGGUUAGCACACACAAAGUGUACAUACUAUAUUCCGUCAAUUCAUAUUCAGGAAUGCUCAUUGAGCAUUUAAACGGGAAGCUCUUCCAAUCCAAAUAACAGAAAGCUCAGGUGAGCUUGUAACGGGAAAGCUUAUCCGAGCUUAAUAACAAGAAACUCACAAGAGCUUAAAUCAGAAAGCUCAUGCGAGCUUAACGGGUAACUCUGAAAAGCUAUUAUCAGGAAGCUCAUGAAAGAGCUUUUAAUCGGGAAGCUCCGGAUAGCCAUAUAUCAGGACACUCACAAGAGCUGCGGUGUGUCCGCAACAUAUGCAAGAUCACUACCGAUCAAAAUGCUCAUAGGAGCAUAUAAACGGGAAGCUUGGAAGAACCAUAUAUCGGAAAGCUCAAGAGAGCUUAUAUCGGGAUGCUCAUGCGAGUUAUAGCGGGACGCUCUUGCGAGCUAUGGUGUGUUCGCAACAUAUGCAGAACCACAACCACUUCAGGAACCCUAUAUCCAUCUAAUUUCAUUUGUUCAAAUGGGAUUUAUUUCUAGUUGGACAUUAUCGGAUAUGUGAUUUAUUUUCAUACUUAACAAUUAUACAAAUUACAUACAUAUAAAUCAAGCAUAUCGCAUAAAUAUACAAUUUAGUUACACGAACUUACCUCGACAAUGUUGGUGUUUGUAGGGUACUAAUCCGAUACUUUUUGUUUUCCUCGAUCCAAUUCCGUACUAGGUCUAUCCGGAUCUAUAUGAGUAAAUUUAACUCAAUUUAAUAAAAUUCACAUUCAAUUCACAUCUUAGGAAAAAUUAUCAUUUUGCCCAUAUACUUUUAAUUAAUUUUGAUUUCAUCCCUAGGCUCGAAAAAUGAAAUUCAUGCAAUUUAAUCCUUAUUCCAAGCCUAGUCGAUUUUUACAUAUCACAAUAUCAACCCAUGUAUUUCACAAAAAUCAUAAUUAUUCCAUAAAUUUCACAUCUUUACAAUUUAGUCCCUAAAACACAAUUUCAUCAAAAUUCACUUUAUAAAAGUUGUUUACCUAUCAAAAACCUUCCAUUUUCUACCAUAAAUUUCAUAAUUCAUACUAAUCCAUGGAAAAACCCUAGUACUUUGAUAACUUUACAAAUUAAUUCCCAAGAUAGCUAAAUUAAGCUAUUACGAUAUGGGAAACAUAAAAAUUACUAAAAAUGGGACAAGAAUACUUACCCAAUUAAGCCAAAUAAGCUUGCUUGUACUCUUUUCUCUUAGCUAGAGUUUCUAUGUUUUAUUUGGGAAAGAUGAUGAUAAAUGAUGAUAUUUUUAUUAUUUUAUCAUUUAUCAUCUUUUAUUAUUUCACUUUCCAAUUUCAUCCUUUUCGUUAAUUAAUUUUCCAUUGAUGACUAAUCAUACUUAUCUACUAACUCCUCUUAAUGGUCUAAUUUCUAUAUAAUGACCUCAAAUUUUGAAUUCCAUAGCUAUUUGAUCCAUUUAACUACUAGAACUCAACUUUUACAUUUUAUGCAAUUUAGUCCUUUUUAUUGGAUUAGACAUAAAAUCAGUAAAAUUUCUUUACGAAAUUUGCAUUUUGACAUUUCUAUCAUAAUGCAGAGCAUGAUAUAAUAUUAAAAUAAAAUUUCUUCCAGACUCAAAUUUGUGGUCCCGAAACCACUGUUCUAAUUUCACUGAAAACGGGUUGUUACAGUCAAUAACAUGUAAAGAAUUACACAAAAAAGUACUAAUUUUUUAAAAUUGGUUGCACAAAAAUUAAAAAAAGUAUUAACUUAUUGAAAAAAAAAACAAAAUGAUAAAAAUUUGUAAAAGAAGAUAUUAGAUACAGACGAGUAUAUAAUAAUGCUUUGUUAUCUUUAAAAUUUAAUGUCGUGGCACUAUUUUAUUGGUGCAUAAAAACUAUUAUUUUUAGGAUGAUCUUAAUAUAAUUUAUUCCCUUAAAAAUAUUAGAGAUUAAUCUUAAAUAUUAUAAUUUUCAAUAUUAUUAAAUAUACAUAUUUUUAUUUUAAUAAAAGUAUUUAAUAUUAUAAUUUUAUUUCAUUAAUAAAAUUUAACAUUGAUAAUAAUUUCAAGUUCUAAUUAAUAUUUUUAAUAUUUUAUUACAAAAAAUUAUAUUAAUCUUUUAAUAAUAUAUUAAAUUUAUAAAUAUUUAGUAAUAAAUAUUUUAUAAUAUAAAACAUAAAUAUUUUAAUAAUACGAAUAUGAUCUUACUUAAAAUUUCAUUUCCCUUCCUACUAUAGUGUUUUACUAUGAUCUUGCUAUAGUAUUUGUUUCUAGGUUCUAUAGGUUAAUAGACAAACCCAUUUCCUGUUGGUUUCUACUGGCCCAAAUACGUUUGUUGGACAAAGUCUGGUUGUUAAUAUAGGGCUUUUUUCAUUUGUGGUGUUUUCUUCCUGCUCUUACUCGUUGACAUUUUUUUUAUUUUCAACAUCGGAGUUUUUUUUAAUCAUGGUGAAUCCUUCUGAAUCGAUUAUUGAUUUUAAUCAUCCCUUUUACCUGCAUCCAUCCGAUACUCCAGGUACCUUGUUGGUGUCUCACCAGUUGCUUGGAGUUGAGAAUUAUAAUGUUUGGAUCUGGACCAUGAAAAUCGCGUUGUCAGCCAAAAACAACUUGGGGUUUGUAGACGGUACUUGUUCUAAGGAUUCAUUACCAGAUGAGAUGGGCUAUCAAUGGGAGCGGUGUAAUGCCAUUGUCUUGUCUUGGAUUUUGAAUAUAGUUAGCAGAGAGCUCUCAGUAGGGAUUAUUUUUGCAUCUAGCACAGCAGCGGUGAGGAACGAUCAUGGUGAAUGGUUCCACAAGGUUGAUGGUUCUAGAUUAUUUUUUGCAUCAUGAAAUCACCUUCAUCUUCAAGGUACUGCUUCCAUCUUUGUGUAUUUUACUAAAUUACGAUUGUUCUAAGAUGAAUACGAUGCUCUUGUGCCCUUUUCUUCAUGUGGAUUUGUUCAGUUACAGCAAAAUGUUAAGCAUGUUUUGCAGCAGCAUCUAUUCCAAUUUCUAAUGGGAUUGAAUGAAACAUAUAAUGCGAUGCGUAGUCAAAUCUUGUUAAUGAACCCAUUACCAUCUGUCAAUCAAACGUACUCUAUGCUCGUGUAAGAGGAAUCAUAGAUGCAACAUAGUUCUAGUGUUGUUGGGUUCAAUCCAGUCUCUUUUCACUCAGCACACAUGGUACAAAAGAAACGUUUUACUGGAACUUGUGAUCAUUGCAAGAUUAAAGGGCAUAAAAGGGAAAGUUGCUAUAGGAUAAUUGGUUGCCCUGCAGAUUUUAAGUUCACUAAGAAGAAGGCAAACAAUGUUUUUGGAUCCGUAGUGAACAAUGUUUCUGUUAAUGAUAUUGUAAGUGGAAAUGAAAUGACUAGUGAUGUUGGUGUAUCUAGUCCACAAGCACAUGUGUUUACUCAAGCAUAAUAUCAGCUAAUCUUGAGUUUGUUGAACAAUGAGCCUAUAGUUGAAGCUACUGUAAGCCUAGCAGGUAUGGUUGAUGUAGGUCAAAAUUGGAUUAUGGAUACUGGAGUUACUGACCACAGCCUCUAUGAUUUCCAAUUCUUAGAAUCUCCUGUUGCAUGUGCAUCGCAUUCACAUUGUGUUCGAAUCCCAAAUGGCUAUUUUGUUUCAAUUACUCAUGUUGGCACCUGUACUGUUCAACCUAAUCUUCAUCUUACCAAAGUUCUCUAUGUUCCCAAUUUCCAUUAUAACCUUCUUUCUAUUUCUAAACUUACUAAUGAUCUUAAUUGCGUUGUUUCGUUUUGUCCUUAUUUUUUUGCCUCAUACAGUAUCUCUUAAGUGGAAAGAUGAGGGGGAUUGGUAGGGAGCGAGGUGGUCUUUACAUCCUAGAACCUUCUGGAUAGACUAGUGUAGCUGUGACUCCGUCUGUUGUAUCUGUUACAUCCAUUGAACCAUCAUUUUUUUGGCAUACUAGACUUGGCCAUGCUUCUGUUUCAAGAUUGAAUAAGGUGCUUAAUCUUCCCUGCACAAUUUUGAAUAGUGAUAGCAUACAACAAUGUCCUAUGUGUCCUCUUGCUAAACAAACUAGACUUCUAUUUCCCACAAGUACAUCUUGUGUCGAUACUAUUUUUUCUCUUAUUCAUAUAGAUUUGUUGGGGCCCUAUCGAGUUUCUACUCAUAGUGGCUAUAGGUAUUUUUUAACCAUUGUUGACGAUUACUCAAGAAUGACAUAAGUGUAUUUGUUAUGAUAUAAAAGUGAUGCUCUUGUAUAUCUCAAACAGUUCUUUGCCUUGGUUAAGAAUCAAUUUUCCACUAGCAUCAAAUUCGUUCGUAAUGAUAAUGGGUAUGAAUAUUUUAAGACUAAGUGCAACGAAUUUUUUAAUAUGUUAGGCGUUGUACAUCAAAGCUCGUGUGUUCACACUCCUCAGCAAAAUGGAGUUGCUGAGCGUAAACAUAGACAUUUGCUUGACAUUGCUAGGUCUCUCGAAUUUCAGUCUCAUAUGCCUAGUAAAUUUUGGGGUGAGUGUGUAUUAACUAUAUAUUUUUUUGAUAAAUCAACUACCUACUCCUCUCUUGCAUUAGAAGAGUGUUUUUGAACUUUUAUAGCGUAAACCUCCUUAUCUUUCUCGUAUAAAAGUGUUUGGAUGUCUUUGUUAUACUACCACACCCAAUUAUCAUGAUAAAUUUUCUCCUAAGGCUAUUCCUUCUGUGUUUAUGGGACAUUCUACUGUUCAGAAAGGUUACUUGUUAUUCAAUCUUGAAACCAAAAUUUUUUUUUGUUAAUUGCGAUGUUGUAUUUCAUGAGACCAUGUUUCCUUUUGUCUUUCCCACAAAACAUUUUUUUUUAUUUUUUCCUAUAGCUGAUAGCUCUACUUUUCAUAAUCUGGAGCAUUUGUCUUCCAUUCCUAUCCUUUUACGAUCACCUAUUUUGCCAAAAACUUCUUCUUCCCAAACCUUACCAACUGAUACUACUUUACCUACUUAAUUUUGCAUCCUUCCUGAACCAAUUUUUUUCCCAUCAAACCCCUUACGACGCACCACACUGUCUGUCAAGCCACCUGCCUGGAUGAGAGAUUAUGCCUGUUCCAACCAAUCUUUCGCUUCCCUUACUACAAGUUCAUAUCCUAUUUCUCAUGUUUAUUCCUCGUUGCAUUUACCUGUUCACAUCCAAUUGUUUGCAACCUAUAUUUCUUCCCUGACUAAACCCCAAACAUAUGCUGAGGCCAUCUCGGAUCCAAGAUGGGUCUAUGCUAUGCAACAAGAAAUUCGAGCUUUAGAAGACAAUGGUACGUGGGAGGUCAUUUCUUUACCUGCUAGUGUUGUUCCUAUUAGGUGCAAAUGGGUCUAUAAGAUCAAGUAUAACUCUGAUGGCUCUGUUGAACGGUUUAAAUCCCAAGUGGUAGGGAAAGGAUACAAUUAGCAGGCUGGUAUUGAUUUUCAGGAGACUUUUUCCCCUGUGGUUAAGCAUGUCACUGUUCGGACUAUUGUUAGUAUGGUUGCCAUGAAUGACUGGCCCUUUUUUCCAAAUGGAUGUUUACAAUGCUUUCAUGCAAGGAGAUUUGUGUGAAGAGGUUUAUAUGAUCAUUCCAGAUGGUUUUCACAACAGGGGGAGCACAAAGUGUGUCGUCUGCUCAAAUCAUUGUACGAUUUGAAACAAGCUUCUCGGCAAUGGAAUUUAAAGCUUACUAAGGCAUUGUUGCAAGGAGGUUACACACAAAGCAAAUAUAACUAUUCCUUGUUUUCCAAAAGAGAAGGGGGUAACAUAGUCAUCCUACUUGUUUAUAUUAAUGAUAUGCUAAUCACAGGAAGUGACAUUGGUAUAAUAAAUGAGCUUAAAAAGGUCUUGCACCAAAAUUUUAAUAUGAAAGACUUGUAACAACCCGAUUUUGGGCCUAAUCGGAACAGUGGUUUUGAGAUCACAAAUCUGACGAGGAAAAUUUUAUUUUAUUAUAUUUUUAUGGUCUACAAUUUCACAGAAUAAUUUUGUGAAAAUUUCAUUCGAAAAUUUCGACAUUUGAGCACUCAAUUUAGUAAAAAGGACUAAAUUGUAAAAAGUGCAAAAAUUGAGUUCUACAUGUUAGAACUGUACAAUUGUUAUGAAAUUUUAAAUUGGAGAUCCUUAUAUGGUAAUUAGACCAUUGGUUAAGUUGGUGGACAAAAAUGGACAUGGUUAGGCAUGUUUCCAAAGUUUUUCAUUAAGGGUAUUUUAGUCAUUUAGUAAUUAAAAUGAAUUAAAAAGAAAAUUAAAAUCCAAUUUUUGUCCAUAUUUAAGCUAGGGGCCGAAAUUUUCAUGGAGAAACCAUGGCUAGGGUUUUUCAAGCUUCCAAGCUCGAAUGUAAGUUCGUUCUAGCCCCGUUUUUAAUGAUUUUCACGUUUUUGAAAUCCUUGUAACAUGCUUUAUUUAUUCCUACCAUUUAUUUGAGAUAUGAUGAAGGUCUAGGUUUUGAACCAUGUUAGAAAUUUGUGUAUUUUGAUGGUUAAUGGUAGAUUAUGCAUGUUUAUGGUUAGAGAAACAACUUUUACUAAGUGAUUUUCGGUGAAAAUGCAUUAAAGGACUAGUUUGUAAAAAGAUUGUAAAAUGUGUAUAAGUGUGUGAAUAAGUGAAAAUUGUGGACUGCUAUAGUUAUGAAAAUGGUUCGGCUAGGCCUAAAAUGCAAGGAAAUUUAAUAAAAAUUAUUUUACGAGUCUAGGGGCAAAAUUGUAAUUUUGUGAAAUUUUAGGGGAAAAAUUUAAUUUUGCCAAAGUAUGAUUUUUGGACUAAAUUGAAUAAUGUGAGUGUUAAGUAAGUUUGUAUGUGAAUAAUGCAUUGUUUUAACUUUAUUUAAUAUAUUGUUGAGAUAUGAUUGAAUAUAGAAUAAAUAUUUGACGUAGAUUACAAAAAUGUGGUUAAAUUUGAAAAAGUUGGUAAAAUAUUGUAAAAUAAGGUUCCCGAUUAAACACUCGAAUUAGACCAAGAUUCAUUGAAUGUAAGGGGUUGUUAAGUGCAGAUUCCUCGAAUCACUAAUCAAAAAGGGGUUGCUAAGUGCAGAUUCCCCGAAUCACUGAUCGAAAAGGGGUUGCUAAGUGCAAAUUCCCCGAAUCAUUGAUCGAAAAAGGGUUGCUAAGUGCAAAUUCCCCAAAUCAUUGAUCGAAAAGGGGUUGCUAAGUGCAGAUUCCCCGAAUCACUGAUCAAAAAGGGGUUGCUAAGUGCAGAUUCCCCGAGGGGUUGCUAAGUGCUAAUUCCCCGAAUUAUUGAUUCUAAAGGUGGUUGCUAAGUGCUGAUUCAACCGUAUCCUUGAUUGUGAAAGGGGUUGCUAUGUGCUGAUUCCCCGUAUAACUGAAUAUAAGGUGGUUGCUAAGUGCUGAUUUCACCGAGUAACGGUUAAUAUUUCGAAGUGUUCAUCAGGGAAAUUGGACAAGUGAAAGUACAUGUGAAAUGAAUAAGAUUACGUGAUGAAUACUGAGUUCUAUAUUUAAUCAACCCUUGAGUAAGAUGAUAUGAAGAAAUGAAACUAUUAAAGAGUAAAUUUAGAAAUAAAAUAGUUUUGAACAACAGUAGUUGUGUGACUUUGAAAAAUCACCAAAAAUGGUUGAAAUUGAAUUAGAGGUUGAAUAAUAUAUGCAAUUAAAGCUGAAUGAGCCUAUUUUCACAUAAAAGAGACAGAGAAAACAAAAGAGUUUUAUAUUAUGAGAUAUUUGAAUUUUAGUGAGACAGGGCCAGAAUGAUUUUGAAAUCCCCUGUUCUAACUUUGGAAAAUCAUUAACAAUUGUAAAAAAAUAAUUAUGGGCUAAAAUUUAUAUGUUUAGAAUACUGAAUGAGUCUAUUUUCAAAAGAAACAAACGAGAACAUUAUCCAAAUUCUUUACAAUGAGAUAAUUAAUUUUUAGUGAAGAGGGGUUGGAACUGUCAAGUAGUGAAAUAGGGGAAACUUUAAAGAAUAAAUUGUACUUAUUAGCUAAGCCAAAAAUUCUGAAAAUUUUAUGGAAAAAAAGAUAUAUGAGUCUAGUUUUGGGAAAAAUUAACAUAUCUUAAUUUGGAGCUCUGUAGCUCGAGAUAUAAAUAAAUUAGUGACUCUGACUCAGACAGACAGCUUGAAUUUACAUACAGGAAAAUUGUGAAAGUAUGGAUAAUGUUGUUUAAGUGUGUUAUACACAUUAAGGAUGUGGAAUGGAGAGGAGGAGGAGGAAAAUUGGAAAAUAUAUGAAUUAUUUGUGUAUAAUUAGUCAUAUGUUCGGUUAUAAUUGAUAAACGAUGAAAUAGAAAUGACAUUUAUAUUUGUGCAAUUAUUGGUCAUGGUUUAAGCUCAUGUGGGAAAAUAAAGUUUCAUAGUGUGUGUGUAUGGUAUAUUGGGUAUAUGAUUUGACAUGAAGUAAUGUUAUGAAUGUUUUAUGAAUUAACUCAUGUUGGUAAGUUUGAUACAUGAACAAAUAUUGUGCUCAUCAUUGCUUAUAAUGCUUAUGCUAUAUGUUUAUUUGGCUAACAUAUUUGGAUAUAUGCUUAGGCUUUGGCCAAUUUGUGGCUGGAUUAUGCCACGUUAAACUUAUAAGUUAUGCAUUGAAAUGGUAAGUGCCUAAAUGAAAAUAUGUGUGUGAUCAAGAAAGGGGUGAUAAGAUUCAAAUUAUGUAAUCUCUAGUGAAAUAGUUUAUCAUGUGGUUAGUUCCAAAAAGAAUUAUGUUUAAAUACACUAGCUUGCGACUAUGGUUGAAUGAUAUGUUUAUGUCUUGUGUGAUAUGCAUAGGAAACGGGUAUAGAAAGGUAAUGAAAUAGUAAGUUCAUACUUGAAGUGUAAAAUAACGAAAAAGGGGAUAAUGAGUUGAAUUGAUGUUAUUUAAGCUAAAGUGAUAUUUUCAUUGCAAAAUUGAGAAUUUCAUAGAUGUGUUAAUGAAUGGUAUAAUCGAUAAACAUUGAGUUAAAUGGUAAAUACGUAUUAGUAUUGAUCUUAAUGAUAUUGAAUUGUAAGUGAAUUAAAAGGAAAUUGCUAGUGAUAUGAUUUGAAUUGUAAGCAUGAGAAAUUGUGAAAUGAAUGAAAAGGAAAUGAAGCAUUGAAUUGCAUGAGUAUGUAUCGGGUCUAGUAGUCCCUAUUUAUUAUGAAUAUAAUAUUUUGAGGAUAUAUAGUGAAGAACUAUAAAAGUAUGUUAAUAAUUUGAAAUUUUUAAUUUAGAUGAAAUUUUAUAACUAGGUUCAAUACGUUUACAAGUGUAUGUGUUCUGGUAAUGCCUCGUACCCUAUUCCGAUGUCAAAUACGGGUAAGGGGUGUUACAAGACUUGGGUGCAUUGAAAUAUUUUCUUGGAAUAGAGGUUUUGAGAUUAAGUGGAGGAAUUGUGUUGAAUCAAAGGAAAUAUGCGUUGGAGUUGAUAGCUGAUGUUGGGUUAGGAGAAGCAAAACCAGUGAGUACGCCCUUUGAACAAAAUCAGAAACUCACUUCGAUUGAGUAUGAUGAAUCUGUACAUAUGAGGGUUGAUGGCGAUGAAUUGAUUACUGAUGUUGCAGUAUAUUAACGACUUCUAGGAAGGUUGCUAUAUUUGACCAAUACACAACCAGACAUAUCGUUUGCAGUCCAACACUUAAGCUAGUUCAUGCACAAACCAAAAAAAUCUCAUUGGAGGCUGUUUUCUGGGUGGUUCGAUAUAUAAAAAAAAUCCUGGUCAAGGUAUCCUGUUGGCUGCAUCUAGUAAACCACAACUUAUUGCAUUUUGUGAUUUUGAUUGGGCUUCAUGUCCCAUGUCCAGACGAUCCGUCACUGGUUUUUGUGUUAAGCUUGGAGAUUCUCUCGUUUCAUGGAAAUAAAAAAAAUAAACUAUUGUUUCUCGAUCGUUAGUAGUGGCUGAAUAUAGAAGCAUGGUAGCAGUAGUAACAGAGGUUAUUUGGUUGGAUGGCUUGUUGAAAGAAGUCUGCCUUAGUUAGCUUGACAAGUCUUUACUUUUUUCAGAUAGUCGGGCAGCAUUACAGAUUGCAACAAAUCAUAUCUUUUAUGAACGCACUAAACAUAUAGAAAUUGAUUGUCAUUUUGUACGAGAUAAAAUUGGAGAAGGUUUGAUUCAAAUGUAACAUAUUGGGACAACUGAACAGCUUGCAAAUUUGAUGACUAAAGCUUUUGGAAUCAAGCAGCAUGAAUAUUUGGUGUCUAAGUUGGGAGUUAAAGAUUUUUAUCACCCCUCAACUAGAAGGAAAGUGUUGAGAAGAAAGUAGACAGUUAGCUGAGUAAUUAGACUCAGAUAGUAUAAUUAGUUUGUUAGUCAGUUAGCAGGCAGUUUAUAAAACUAAUGAGUUUCUUACUUAAUAUACUAUUAGUUUUUUCCAUUCAUCAAUAAAUUCUUGGUAGCUUUUCAACACAAUCAUCAUUCUGACUCAUCGUUCCAAGUGACAUUAAAUGAUUUGUUCUUUGCAGGCUUUUACUAAAAGUGCCAAAAGCAUUCAUAUUUAUGGCAUUUAUUUCCUUUUUCGUUUCGUCGGAAUUUGUGUCAUUGAAAGCAACUCUCCUUCUGCCUUUGCUAUUAUUGCUUUUUAAAGCUCAUUACUAAGAGAGCAAGUUGUUCUUAUAACUCUCCUACUGUCAUAGUUGUGUCAUUUGUGGUGCCUUUGGAGGUAUCAACUCCAACUUUCACACUUAGAGCUAUAUUAUUGCCUUGCUUAACUCUAUCUUUCUGUUCAUUUCAAAUCUCCAUAAUGAACCAAUUAGUUCGUUAAUGCUAUUACCUUCUUCAACAGCGGCCACAUUAGUCCCAAACUUUUCUCGAAAACGAAUAUUUUACGUGAAAAACUCUUAUUAAGAAAAUUACGAGCAGAGAAAGAAAAUUUCACUAAUGUUAAAAAAUAAUAAUACUAGAACUACCCAUAGCUCCUCCUCAACCCAUAAAGAGGAGGAUAGUGCACUUCAGUGCACUCAAACCCAUGUCCUCCUACAUUGACAACAAUAUCCAUGCCAAUCGAGUUAAGACUCAAUCUGCAUUUUGAAUAUUUUUAAAAUAGGAGGAUAUUUUUUAAAAUUUUAAAUAUUUUUUGGAUUUUUAUAAUUUUUUUAAAAUAAUUUUUUUACUUUUUUUGAAUUUUUUAAAAUUAAUUAAUUGCUCAUGUGACAUACACGUGGAUUGCAGUUGAUAACUUUUCCUUCCAUUUUGAGAUAAUUUAACAAAAACACAAAUUCAAGACUUAAAAAGACAAUUUAAAUAAAGAGCUAAAAUAAUUUUUUUUAAAAGUUGGAGGACCAAAUAAAUCAUUAUACCUUUUUUCUUUUAUAAAAUGGAGAUAAAUGUUGGAUUUCUAGAAACAUUAACUUAAAAAAAUAGUUUUAAGUACAAAUUAUAAUAAAAAAAAGUUUAGAUACUAAAAUAAAAAAAAAUAUUUAAUUUAAGUACCAAUCAGUAAAUUAAACCAAAAAAUAAAAAGUCACGAGCGGGAAAGUGAUUGUUUUUAUAUCUAUAAUGAUAAUAUAUAAAAUUUGGCGUUAUAUUUAUCUAUGAGAUGUGAUGACAUAAUGCCAUUAUUUUAUAAGAUCCUGUUUCGGCCAUUUAUAUAAAAUGUAUUACAUUAAUAAUUUAUAUUACAUCAAAACUUGAGAUACUGGUGCAUAUGAAAUAUUAAUAAAAAAAUUUACGGAUCAAAUUGCAAAAAGUUGCUAACUUCAGGAACUAAAUCUUGCUAUAUCCCGAGUUACUAUUUUACUAGUUUUCUAACUUUAUAAAAUAAAGUUUAGUAUUUAGUACACUGACUGUGUACUUUUUUUCUUCCACAAGUAAUUUUAAGAUAUUAAUACAAUGUUGAAUUUAAGUUAUAAAAUUUGUUUGGUAUAUUAUUAAUUAUAUUGUUUGAUAAAGCAUAAUAUACUUUUUUUCCUCUCUUUUUUUUUAAAUAUUUAUUUUUUUAACAUUUUAUUAGAUCUUAUAGGGUACUUGUCAACCCGCUAACCCUGCUUGUGAAGUCUAAAAACUUCAAUAAUAAUAUACUAAAUACUUUCUCAUAAAACAAAUUACCAUUGUAAAAUAAAUGUAUUACCAUUUAAUAUUUAAGUAUUUUUCAUUCUAUUAGUAACAAGAAAAAAGAGUUUAAAUUAAUAUUAUAUUAUAAAGUGUUGAAAAAAAUCAAUCAACUGAAAACCCACAAUGGAAACUACUAGUCACUAGAUAGAAUUUUUCAUUAAAUAGCAAUGGCAAAUCCAAGGGGGCUGGCAGAGCCCAUCCCUCAUAAAAUUUAGGCCUUUAAAAUUUUUUGCACCUUAGCUUUCUUAAAAAUAAUAACAUUUUGAUUUAAUUUUUUAAAAAUUAUAAUUUAUUUUAUAAUUUACUUUCGGCCAUUCCUAAAAAAAUUUUCUGGCUUCGCCUCUGUUAAAUAGUGUAGAAAAUGAUAAGUAGAUAGGAUUUACUUAUCACUUAAUAAAGAAUAAAUUCAAUUGUAUUUUAAUUCAUUAAAGAUUAUAUUAUGCUUUAUCAAACAAUAUAAUUAAUAAUAUACCAAACAAAUUUUAUAACUUAAAUUCAACAUUGUAUUUUUCUGUACUUAUUUUUUUCAGCACAUAAUUUUUCAUUUUAUCAAAAUAGCCUAACUCAAACUUUUACUAUGGUUUAAAAUAUUUUAUUGUUAAGACUUAAUCGUCAUAAAUAUUGUUGUCAAUAUAAGAAAAUGUGAGUUUGAGUGCGUUAAAGCAUACUAAUAAACUCUAAUUUUCCAUGUGUUUUAUUGAAGAAACUACACUUUCCGAGAGAAAUAUUAAGAGAAAAAAGGAGCCCUUAUUUCCAUAAGAAAGAAAUUUUAAUUGCAGGAGCAUUAGAAGCUCAUUGGAACUUUACUUACCUACUAAUUAACAAUACGUUACAUAAAAGUUAUCAAUAUGGCUGAGAUUCCCUCUUAUAAAUAUUGCCCUUUCAUCUCUUUCUUUCUAUUCACUUAACAGUUCCUUUCAGUAUCCUGUUUUCCCAGAAAACUUUUCCUGGGUUUGGCUCUUGAUCCAACCCAUAAGUCUUUAGGGUUGGUACUGCUUUUUCAUGUCUCUUUCAUCUAUUUCAAGUUCUGGGUAACUUUCUUUUCUUUUUUUACUGAAUCGUGGGAUUUAAUGUGUUUGUUGACAGUUUCAAAGAUAUGGCUGGAAAGGAGUUCACUGUUAAUCUGAACAAACCCCUUGUCUUCCAGGUUUCUUUUUUUUUUUCUUUUUACAACUUUCGGUUUUGCUUUUCGUAUAUUUUGGUACAAACAUGAUGACAAAGGAAACAUAAGCUAAUAACAUCUUCACAUGUUGAUUAUAAAUUGGUAAUGGCAGGUUGGUCACCUUGGAGAAGCUUACCAGGAAUGGGUUCAUACGCCUAUUGUGACAGAUGAAAGUCCUCGCUUUUUCAAGAGUGAUUUCAUGGAGGUAUUUUUACCAAUCUUUCCCCUUUGAAAUACCAUGGAGUAUCUUGGGAGUUAAAUUGUAUUUUUUUUCUCUCUAAGCAAAUUAAGAGUAAAUUAGUUGUUUUUGUAGACGUACAAGCCAUUUGAUUAUUCUGUCAAUCACACCAGUUUUUAACAAAAAUAAUCAAUUUACUGUUUGAUCUAAUGUAUAAAAAUUAAUUUACUUAACCUUUUUCAGUAAAAAAAGUAAAAUAUAAUUUAUUUUCACACUUUGAAAUACUUUAAUGAUUGCAUUACCCAAAUUCAAUUGGGUUCGAAUUAUUUUGAGUUUGGUCAUAAUUUGUGGUUGAAAUAGAUCCUGACUCGGACAGUGUGGUGGGUAGUACCAUUGAUAUGGGUGCCGGUUGCAAUGUGGUUCAUCUCAGUCUCGUACACAAUGGGUCAUACACUUCCCCAAGUUGUUUUAAUGUCUGUUGUUGGAAGUUUCAUUUGGACAUUCUUGGAAUACUGUUUCCACCGUUUCCUUUUCCACAUUGAAACAAAGAGUUACUGGUUAGUGUUUUCUUUUUCUCUUGGACUUACUUAUAACGCACAUACAUAUUUUAUGAGAGGAUGUAGUAAUUCAUUGACAACAUUGGUGAAGGGCAAACACUUUUCACUAUCUAAUCCAUGGCUGCCACCAUAAGCACCCUAUGGAUGGGCUAAGGCUUGUGAUUCCACCUGCAGAAGCUGCUAUACUAGCUAUAAUGGUAUGUAUAUAUUUAUAUGCAUUACUUUAUUUUUUGUUUUUCAUAUAUGGGUUGAUUAAGAAAAAUUAUUAUUAUUUAGAAAUAUUUACAAAAAAACUUUUAAAAUUUUGUCAAAUAAUAUUUAAAAGCAAUAACAUAAAGUUAAUUUUAUCAAAAUAAGUCUAAAACUCUAAAACUAAAAAUUAAUAUGAAAAAACCAAAAAUGGAACCGAGUGAAUUCAGAAAUUCUAAAAAAUCCAACCGAAUCAUCCCUACAUACAUUGCAUGGGUUUAGGGCUCUCACCUCUAUAAUUAGUAAUUUAAAAUUUUUAAAAAAAAUUCUUAUUGAGUUGGUGUUACGGGUCAACUAGACACCAUCUUUACUGAUAAUUUAUUGAAAUAUUAGUACUGACUACACUGAAUUAGACCAAUGGGGGUAGCAAUUUAAUGAGAGGUAUAAAUUCAGUUGAUUCGUGAACUGGUUGAGUCGAGUUAAAAAAAUCAAUUGAACUAAUUUUUACUAUAUAUUUUUUUAUUUUUACUUAAUUUUUAACAAUUUAUUUACCUUGAAUCUACCUUACAAAAUAUUUUUUUUAUAUAUGCAAAAUAACAAAUACUAAUACAAAGAUAAAUUUUACCAACAAAUAUAAUUUAAAAAUAAUGAAAUUUAAAAACAAGUUGGUCCCAUAUUAAUUAUUUCUAACAAAACAUUGGGAUAAGUAAAGUUUGAUAAAAUAUUAGUUAUUUGAUCUUCACGUGUCAAGUAGUGUUAAAAAAUAUAUAAUAAAAAAUUUAACGGUGAAAUUUAUAUUUCCAACUAAUAAAUGGGAAUACGUGGCCCAAAAUAGUGACCAACUUUUUAAGGGUAAAAAGAGGAAAAAAUUUAAAAGUUUCAAAAAGAUAAUUUAAGUCGCAUUGAUUGAGACUUUUAGGUUAAAAUCUUAGUUGAAUUAUGGUAGUUGAUAAAAUUUGUCAUUAUAUUUAUUUCUUAUUAAUUAUAUAUUAUGUUCCAGGGGUGAAGUUAGAAACAGAAAUUAAAUUGUAAUUUUACUAUUUUAAUAAUUUAUAUCUUUAUAUUUUUAAAAUGAUUAAAUAAAAAAAAAUUAUUUUAGGGGGGCCGGAGGCCUACUAGCUCCCCUAGCUAUGCCCCUGUCAUGUUCUAUGAAGACAACUUAAUUAGCGUGCCAAAUUGAUAAAUUAACAGUAAAUACAAAUAAUGCUAAUCGUUGGGUUGAGAUUAUUAAAUUAGAAAAAUAAGAUUACUUAAUUUUUAAAAUUUUAAAGUAUAUAUAUGAAAUUUCAAAUCUUAAACGAGAUUUAAUGUGUUUGUACCAGUUUUGGAACUUGUAUGGGAUUUUAUUCACUAUCUCCACAAGACCUGCAUUAUUUGGAGGUGGACUAAUUGGAUAUGUGAUAUAUGAUAUGAUACAUUACUAUGUGCACCAUGGCCAGCCUACCAAACAAUCUAUCAAAAAACUUAAGGUAUGAGACUCCUUUUGAAUUGCUAAUUUAUCCUUCCUCAAUCAUUAUCUAUAAAAAUUCAAUUAAAUUAUUGUUUUAGAUUUUUUUUCCCUUAAAUUUGAGGUUUAAUUUUUCACUUGACUUAAUUUAGUUUUUUAUGUUUAUAACGAUAUUAUUUAGUUCAAAUAGUUAGCAUUGUUGAUUAUUCUAGUUAAAAUGUUAAUGUAAUUUUUUUUCUUAAAAAUUCUCCUUUCGAAUUGUUUUUGGUGCUGAAUAGUGUGUUUUUAAGAAAAAUCUACAUUAGUUGGAAUAUAUAAUAAUAUUAACUAUUUGAGCUAACUAAAUAAAAGUAAAGGGAAUAGGGAUUAAAUCCCAAAUUUGAGUAUAAUAAAAGGAUCAAAAAGAGAUUAAUAUAUUAUUUGGUAUUCAAAUUUGGUUUCAAUGUUUAAUUCAGUAUUUGAGUUUAACUUCAAUAUUCAGAUUAGUACUUAAUUUUUUUCCUUUAUCCCAAUUAAGCAUUUAAGUUUGGCUUAAAUGUUCAAUUUGAUAUCCAAAAUUUUCUUUUGGUCCCAAUUACGUACUUAUGUAUUUUUUCACUAGAGCACAUGUGUCAAAUAUUCAUUAGCUGCUGUUUGAUUUUGACAUGAAAACUAAAAUCAGAUACCCAAAAACAGAUUUUAUAAGAGGCUAAACAAAUAGAUGCUUGGUUUGAUUGCAGAAAUAUCACUUGAACCAUCACUUUAGGAUUCAAAACAAGGGCUUUGGCAUAACUACAACAUUGUGGGACAAAGUUUUUGGAACCCUUCCAAAGACCAAAGCAGACACGAAGAGUGGAUAGAUGAUGAUGAUGAGGCUGACAAGCAUCACAUGAUUGCACCCUGUCAUGGCCUUGUCAAUGUUUAAAUAAUGAUUUUGCCCUCUUUACUUUUAUUGUGCUCAAUAAUGGUGGUUGGGAUUGUGAGGGAGGAUCUUAGCUAAGCAACUCACUUCAUGUCUCCUGUUGUACUGUGUUUUCCCUAUAAAUAGAUGAAAUGGA
rnacentral:lncRNA from 1 species